UUGCCACAGUUUGAGACUUGCAGGCGCAAUCUUACCCUUCUAGAUUCAUUAGAAAGUGGCUAAGAUUGAGGGAGGGUGUUAGACUGUAUUUACAUGUGUAUAUUGUAACGUUGUAUAUCACCUCAUUAUAUAUAUAUGUGAUAGGCCACCCCUAGAGGGUUGUGCCGGUUCCCCCCAAAGCCUAUUGUCUUACACUGUGCAUGCGUAUUUCAUUGUUUUUACGUAUCACGAAGGUCCUUUAUUGUUACGUAACUUGUCAUUACACACACAAGCACAACAGCUCCGUUAUUCUGCGGGGUAGGUAGCGAGAGACGCAUGCAUGUUGUCUAUCCGGGACGGUCCACAUGACAUCGUUUCUUCAGUAGAUACGUACGUACGCAUGUGUGGAUAUCUCGAUCUCCCCGCGUACGUGCACGAGCCAUGCAUGGCGCGCGCUGGCUGGCUGGCUCAGUAGUACGGCUGGAGCUUCCAGCGCUGGUUGUCGCCCUCGCACCACUUCCAGAGCACGACCUCGGUGCCGUCGCGCACGCCGCCGUGGUACUUGUCGCCGUUGAGGGCGUCGAAGUUGAGGUAGAUGUUGUUCACCAUGCGCACGCACCUGAACCCGUUGCCCACGUCCCUGCUCUCCGUCCACAGCACCGACUCGUCCAGGUAGUCUGGGUUGUACGGCACCAGACGCACCUGCAUGCACACCAAGAUGAUUCUAGAUUUCAGUUUAUGAAAACACAAAUGAAUGAAGGCAGCAGAGACUACUUACAGGGUGUGACUGGCCGAGGGAGUGCUUGAUGGCCUGCCCGGUGGCCUUGUUCACCAUGGCGAAGGCGGGGUAGCCCUCCUCGUCCUUGAUGCUGGUGCUCCACCUCAUGUCCUUGAUCCAGUGCUGGUAGUCGUCCUUGGGGUUGGCCGGCGCCAGCACCACCUUGCCGUUGCGCACGGACAUGGCGUAGUUGGGGUUGGCGCGGCAGUAGAUCUUCACCGUGGGCUGCGGCGGCAUCGGCCGCCCGCCGCAGUUGCCGUCGAUGUUCACCUGCGACAUGCCGUACGGCACCGGCGCCGCGUACCCGGGCGUCGCCAUCCCGUACCCGCCGUAGGUCUCGCGGUAGUAGUCCAUGGCUAUAUGCUCGAUCUCCUGAUCGACCUGCGCAAUGCAUGGCGACGGGACGGAGGAAUUUAUAGGGGCGACGGGACGAUCAUAUUCCAUUGGUGUGCUCUAAUACAUGGCGUUGGCCUCACGCUGCCUGUCAUGGUGAUAAGCGAUGUGGAUGUGCGGGGUGGUGGUGGGAUUCCAUGGAGCGAUUCCGUGGGAUAGACAGAUGAUGCCAUGGGACACUAGCUAGCUAGGUGGUGAGAUGUGGGUGUGCCGGACCAAGCUAGAGCCUGAGCUGGCUAGCUUUGCGUGAUUCGAUUUCUUUCUGGUAGUUUUGGGAAGAAGAAUCCCUCUCGUACGUACGUCCUCUAUUAUUGCUGGGGAGAUAGCUAGGGGAAGCCGAAUUUUACUAUGUGCUGUGCUUUGUCGCCGCACCGAUACAUUCCCGGUGUGCUCAUGAUGUGCUCGUUUCAAAAGUGAAGAUUUUUCUCCCGAAGAAAACUCUAAAGAAAAGAAAAGGAAAUAUUCGCGAUAGAAAUGGUAAGGUAAAGCGUCAAGACGGAACGGCCCAUUUCUGGAAUCUGGAUCAAUAAUUCAAUAUACUACCCCCCGCAGCACCAGAGAGAGGCGGGCCGGACUUGAUUUCGUUAUUAUGUAAAUUAAACAAUUGUACGUGGCCCGGCAAGACAUAUGGCAUUGGAUUCGUAUAAUCAUGGCCCGGUCUACCAGCAUGGCCCAGCGCAAGACAAGAUCUCAAAAAACAAAACUUACCGGGGCAUGCGGAUUAACUGAGCUCCAGCUCGGGUGAACAGUAAAAUCCAAAAGAAUUUAAAACAAAUUAAAUAAUUCUAAAAAAACUGUGGCAACAUUUGACAAAUGUUUAAAUGCCUGCAAAGUUUCACCAUAAAAUGAGAUCCGUGCAAGUUGUAGCAAAACAAAACCCCAAAAUCAAUGCUCCAAAAAGUUUUUUUCUAAGUGACUAUUUUUUUUUGCCACGACUUCAUGAAACAUUGCAAACAUUGAAAAUAUUUGUCAAAGUUUGUCACACAAAAAUUUCAGAAUUUUUUGCUUUUGUUUUCAUUUUUUUUUGGAUUUUACUGUUCACCCGAGUUCAUAUGAGUUCGAGCUGAGAACGGCACUUUCGCUUAUGAGGUUGUAUAGUUCAAUCAAUUUUUCAAGACCUUCAAGAUUAGUUUAGUUUGAGCUGAUAUGGUCUUCUGGCAAAGGGCAUCUUCAACGCUGAAAGGGCAUUUUCAACGCUGACUCCCAAAUCGGACAUACCAAAUUCGUCCGUGGACUGGUGGGUAUCAUUCUGUGGAAAGUGAUGCGGGAGCCAGUCAUUCAACCGUGCCCGCAUACAUCUCAAACCGGAUUUCAACAAACCGAAGGAAGUACACGCAAAUCAAAUGAUUUUCAUCUAAAUUGGAGCACAUUCAUUACAUUUUCGUCAUAUUUUCAUUAAACUAGCAUUUACAUGUCAAUGCCUCUUCUUAUUCCCUUUUUUUGGAGUCCUUUUCAACAUGUUUUGUGUAUUUUAUUCUCACGGUGGCAACUGAAUUUUGAAGGAAAUUUGUAGAUUGCUUAAGUGGCAAUAGUAUGGAAACAAAAUCUAGGACUUUUCAUGACCAAUUGCCCUAGUUCUUUAGAAUGGCAUCAUUUUAUUUCUUCGGGAGCUUUCGAAUGGUAUCAUGGUGUAAUGUAAAGGCUAGUAUCACUACAAGGAGGUUGCUAUACAUGGCAUACUCAUUGCAAAGAGCACUUUCCCUGCAUUUGUUCCUGUGGAAAACUUGUCUUGCAAAUCGUUAAGGCCUUGUUCGGUUCCAUGAUAAAUGAGAGGGAUUGACAUGUAUCGGCAGGGAUUAAAUCCCAUCUAGUUCAAANNNNNNNNNNNNNNNNNNNNNNNNNNNNNNNNNNNNNNNNNNNNNNNNNNNNNNNNNNNNNNNNNNNNNNNNNNNNNNNNNNNNNNNNNNNNNNNNNNNNNNNNNNNNNNNNNNNNNNNNNNNNNNNNNNNNNNNNNNNNNNNNNNNNNNNNNNNNNNNNNNNNNNNNNNNNNNNNNNNNNNNNNNNNNNNNNNNNNNNNNNNNNNNNNNNNNNNNNNNNNNNNNNNNNNNNNNNNNNNNNNNNNNNNNNNNNNNCAAAUCCCCUCCAUUCCACUCCAAUCCACUUGGGGAGUGGCUUAACCAAGGCCUAAAGGGAAAAUUUAACGGACUAGUUCUCACAUUUCAACUCCAUGUUAGAGGCACAACUUGAGCUUACAGUAUGAUUUUCAAGUAUGGAAUUUAGAUACAGUAUUUCUAAGGAGAGUACACAUUUCCCCUCGCAAAAUCAAGCCUGUUUGAUCUGAGAAAUUGGGCAUGGCAGAAGCUGAUGAACAAGCAAGGCCCCAACGGGUACAACAAACGUAGUACGAGGAGGGUGGAAGAUAGGUGAGCCCAUUGAUUAGAUCGCAGAAAAACGGAGACAAUGCAGGUCACAGAGUAGCACAGUACAGGGCCCAGUACCAAGAAAACACAGACGAGUUACAUCAAAGUUCAGACUUCGGAAUCAUGGUCCCUCUCCUCACUCUCUCCAACACUCUCUUCUUCCUCGCAGAAACGCCGGCUCAAUCAUUCAAUCACAAGGCGACACACGCACACAGACACCAUUGCCACACAUCGCACACGGUUUUAUUUGGACACAGCAACAUUAUUCGCUACCAGCGGCAGAGGACUACGACGACGACGGACGGACGGACGGACGGACGGCGACUAGGACGACUUGGGGGGCUUGUCCCCGGACUAAUCCAUGGCGAUGUGUCGAUGGCAAUGCGGCAGCUCAUCUCUGCACGAAGCAACAAUUCACUGGUCAGAACACAGAUGCAAGCAAGAUGUAUCAGGUUGAACUGCAGAGCAGUACGACUAUAGUACUUACACCAGGGGAGGAUCUUCCAGCGCUGGUUGUCGCCCUCGCACCACUUCCAGAGCACGAUCUCGGUGCCGUCGUGGACGCCGCCGUGGGCCUUGUCGCCGUGGAAGGCGUCGAAGUUGAGGUAGAUGUUGUUCACCAUGCGCACGCAGCGGAAGCCCUUGCCCACGUCUCGGCUCUCCGUCCACAGCACCGACUCGUCCUGGUACGCCGGGUUGUACGGCACCAGCUUCACCUGCACAUGCACGCACCAUCAAUUACAGAUCUUCAGUAAGAACUGCCGCCAGAUGCUUCUCUGCUCAAAUCAUGCACAAUCUUUAUGUGUGUGGGUGCUUACGGGGUGGCCCUGGCCGGUGGAGUGCUUGAUGCAUUCGCCGGUGACCAUGUUCACCAGUGCGAACGCAGGGUACCCUUCCUCGUCCCUGAUCUUGUUGCUGUGCCUCAUGUCCUUGAUCCAGUGCUGCACAAAGAUCCGGUAAUUUCAGUUUCAUUUACAGAUCGCCACACGGCACGACAGGUAAAAAGAAAGGACUCUGUUUAAUUUGGUCAAGUAGCGGCAGCAGAACUGACCUGGUAGUCGUCCCUGGGGUUGGUGGGGGCGAGGCAGACGGUGCCGUUGCGGGCGGUGAGGCUGUAGUCCUCCCCGGCCUUGCAGAAGACGCGCACGGCGUGCACGGGGGGCCCGCCGCCCAUGGCGUGGGCGUUGUUGCCCAUGGUGGCGCCGGACUCGACGGCGGCGUGCGCCUCGGCCCAGGGCCAGAUCUUCCAGCACUGGUUGUCCCCCUUGCACCACUCCCAGAGCACGACGGUGGUGCCGUCGUGCACGCCGCCGUGGUCCUUGUCGCCGUUGAGGGCGUCGAAGCCGAGGCGGGUGUUGUUGACCAUGCGGAUGCAGCGGAAGCCCUUGCCCAUGUCCUUGCUCUCCGUCCACAGCACCGACGCGUCCUCGUACGCCGGGUUGAACGGCACCAGCUUCACCUGCAACGCCACCGUCCCCCAUGGACGCAUAUGUCAAAGAUCAAUCCAACCAACCAACCGAACCGAAGGAGGAGAUGGACGGACGACUUACGGGGUGGGACUGGCCGAUGGAGUGCUUGACGGCGAGGCCGGUGGCCUUGUUGACGAGCGCGAAGGCCGGCAUGCCCUCCUCGUCCUUGACGGUGGUGCUGAAGCGCAUGUCCUUGAGCCAGUGCUGGGUCUCGUCCUUGGGGUUGACGGGGGCGAGCACCACCUCGCCGUCGCGGACGGCGAGGCAGUAGUCCUCGGAGGCGCGGCAGUAGAUCUUGAAGAUCUGGUUGGGGCCCGACGCCGGCGGCGCCUGGUCCUUGUGGUGGUGCCCGAACCCGAACAUCUCGGCGGCGAGGAGAGCGUGCGUGAUCGACUGGAGAACGGUGGGAGCUGUGGGAGUGAGGAGAGAGCGCUGCCCCAUGGCCCCGUUAUAUAGAGCCGGGAGCAGAGCAAACCAGGAGCAUAUCUCCACUCAUCACGCGCUGUAAAAUCUUGAAAAUCUUUGGAGCAUAUCUCCAGCGGCCUGGACUAAAUGGUAAAAAGUAAUUACAGGAUACGCUCGCUCGAUCGAUCGCUGCCAGUGCAGCACUAGCACUAGCCGUUUGGCGUGAAUGUACUACCGGAAGAUUUUGGUUCGAUUAGCAGGAUUUUGGCUCGAUUCACAGCAGCAGCCAGCCGGUUGCUGCCAGUGAAAAGUCUUGAUCAGCAUUGGCUGGACGCAUGCAAAUGUAUGCAAUGGCCAAAAAUGCCAGCAGCAUACAGUAUGAGUUGUUGUAUUGGUGGAGUGCAGUUAGUGUAUUUUGUAUUUUGCACAUCAUCCGUUGUCUAAUCCUAGCUGCUAGCAGUGUCUUCUUCUGGUGGGAGUAUCAUCCUUAGAGGCUAAGUAUCCUGGUAAUUAAAGACUAAAUAUUUUUCUCUGCUCUUGGAUUGUUUUGGUCCUGCAGCAGUACUGGUGUCAGAUUUCAGCUGACACUUGGCACUGCCUUGCAACAUAGGAGUACUACUACUAGCCGUUUGGUGUGAAUGUACUGGAAGGUUCUGGUUCGGUUUACCUACUACUUCAGUGUUUUCCAUGGCAUUAACUUUGCAUUAGCUGUAUGCAUGCAAACACGCAAUGGCCAGCGUAUUUUGGAUUAGUGGAGUACAGUUAAUGUUUUUUGUAUUUUGUACUCUAUCCAUUGUCUUAUCUCAGCAGCGUUUUCUUCUAGUAUACUCUUUUUUUUAGAAAAUCUAGUGUACUCAUCCUUAGAGGCUAAGUAUCUAUGUAAUUUGGUCGAUUUCAACAGGCCGACGCAAACGGACGCGGAUUUGAUCCGUUUUGUGUCCAUUUGGAUCGGCCGAGCGCACGAAGAUGCUCGGUUCUGUUCAAUGGGUCAUAGGUGCAUCCAAUGCGGCCAAUGCAUUUCAAAUUUGCGUAUUAAAAAAUAGUAAUCCAAGUAAAUCGUUAAAAAAAAUAUAAACUUCAUAGCUAAAACGCCAGUCAAAGUCUACUUACAUAAACUAAAUUUUAAAAAAACAAUAAACAUAGAAACUUUUAUAAAAAUGCAGCCGUUGGCCCUAGGUUGCGUCCUCGUUCUCCUCGUUGGUCUGAUCGAUGAACGUUCGUGUCUACACCCACAGGAAGGCCCGCAGUAGGCUACCUGCGCCAUGUCUGGCUGGGUAGUCUGCACCUCUUACACCACCUAGGCCGCUAGCUGCUUGGCCGCCUCCGUCGUCUACUCCACUUGGCGUUCGGCCGCCUCCCACUUGGCCGCCAAUGCACCCCACCCGGGCGUGCACGACAUGUAGAGAGGCAAGGUGCUCGUCUAUGACCACGUUUGGAGUGGCGAUGGAGCGGGCGGCGCGUUGGCCUCCACCCCGGCCGCAGAUUCGACCAUCACGAAAGCAAGGCCAGGUCAAUGCGCCAUCUCCUCGUGCUCGGAUUCCUCGAGCGUCCGCCUAGUCGCCUCCUCUAGAGCCGUGAGGUACCCGGCCUCCUUCUUAACGACCACAGGUGGUGGUGCAACACGGGCCUCCAUCAUGACGCUCCUAAGGCGGCCCACAUUGUGCUUCGUGGUGAACCACACAUCCCACAUCGGGGAGUUCAGCGCGUAGUCCGGGUCACAAUAGAGCGCGGGCAGGAGGGCAGCACGACGGUUGUGAAUGCCGGUCGCACGCGUGCGGUCAGACGGCGACACCGUCGACACCGGAACCCUGUCAGGGUUGAGGUGCGAGCCGUGUGGGAGGUUGACGUCCGGCCAUGGCAGAAGCAAGUGGUGCUCCCAAUGGUAGAGCAUCCAGUGCACAUGGAUGUACAACCUAUUGCAUUCGCGUGCCUGUCACCUCCAAGGGGCAUGCGACACCAAAGUGAAGUGGGCGGGGCGGCCUCGUGGUCAUGCUUGCCACACUUGCUAAAGAUGUCCAUGGCGACGACAUCGUGUCAGCCGGCAGGGGAGCAAGCUAGAUGUGGACUGGUAGACUGGUGGGGAUGGAAGUGGAUGAGGCGGCCCCCAUCGCACGCUUGCCAUCUAAAUAGGACGGGCGAGGAUGCUUCAUGUGGCUGACGUGUGGGCCCGAACGUGCGCGUGGUAUUUACUUGGACCGAAGGUGGUGGUUGGGCGGCCGACACGCGGGCCCGAGGUAGACAUAAAGCGAACGGGAGGUGCUUCCUUCUUGUGUCCGUGUGGACACAAAUCAUGCAUAGAAUUUGGGCUGAAAGUGCUUCCAGACGAACACCAAGCAGACAUAAUUUGUGUGUGCCGGCGCGUCGAGCCAUGUUUUCUGUCCGCGCGGACCCAAACAGGCACGGCCGGAUUGAAGGGAAUAUGCCCUAGAGGCAAUAAUAAAGUUAUUAUUUAUUUCCUUAUAUCAUGAUAAAUAUUUAUUAUUCAUGCUAGAAUUGUAUUAACCGGAAACAUGAUACAUGUGUGAAUACAUAGACAAACAGAGUGUCACUAGUAUGGCUCUACUUGACUAGCUCGUUUAUCAAAGAUGGUUAUGUUUUCUAGCAAUAGACAUGAGUUGUCAUUUGAUUAACGGGAUCACAUCAUUAGGAGAAUGAUGUGAUUGACUUGACCCAUUCCGUUAGCUUAGCACUUGAUCGUUUAGUUUGUUGCUAUUGCUUUCUUCAUGACUUAUACAUGUUCCUAUGACUAUGAGAUUAUGCAACUCCCGUUUACCGGAGGAACACUUUGUGUGCUACCAAACGUCACAACGUAACUGAGUGAUUAUAAAGGUGCUCUACAGGUGUCUCCGAAGGUACUUGUUGAGUUGGCAUAUUUCGGGAUUAGGAUUUGUCACUCCGAUUGUCGGAGAGGUAUCUCUGGGCCCACUCGGUAAUGCACAUCACUAUAAGCCUUGCAAGCAUUGUAACCAAUGAGUUAGUUGCGGGAUGAUGUAUUACGGAAUGAGUAAAGAGACUUGCCGGUAACGAGAUUGAACUAGGUAUUGAGAUACCGACGAUCGAAUCUCGGGCAAGUAACAUACCGAUGACAAAGGGAACAACGUAUGUUGUUAUGCGGUUCGACCGAUAAAGAUCUUCAUAGAAUAUGUAGGAACCAAUAUGAGAAUCCAGGUUCCGCUAUUGGUUAUUGACCGGAGACGUGUCUCGGUCAUGUCUACAUAGUUCUCGAACCCGUAGGGUCCGCACGCUUACAGUUCGGUGACAAUCGGUAUUAUGAGUUUUUGUGUUUUGAUGUACCGAAGGUAGUUCGGAGUCCUGGAUAUGAUCAUGAUCACGGACAUGAUGAGGAGUCUCGAAAUGGUCGAGACAUAAAGAUCGAUAUAUUGGACGACUAUAUUUGGAUACCGGAAUGGUUCCGGGUGAGAUCGGGAAUAUACCGGAGCACCGGGAGAUUUUCGGAACCCCCCGGGAAGUAUAUGGGCCUUAUUGGGCUUUAGUGGAAAGGAGGGGAAAGGAGCAAGGGAGGUGCACGCCCCCAAGCCCAAUUCGAAUUGGGAAGGGGGCCGGGCCCCCCUUUCCUUCCUCCCUCUCUGCUCUUCCUUCCCUCUCCUACUCCAAGUUGGAAAGGGGGAAUCCUACUCCCAGUGGGAGUAGGACUCCCCGUGGCGCGCCUCUCCUGGCCGGCCGCCUCCUCCCCCUUGCUCCUUUAUAUACAGGGGCAAGGGGCACCCCAUAGACACACAAUUGAUCAUUGAUCCCUUAGCCAUGCACGGUGCCCCCCUCCACCAUAAUCCACCUCGAUCAUAUCGUAGCAGUGCUUAGGCGCAUCCCUGCGUCGGUAGCAUCAUCAUCACCGUCACCACGCCGUCGUGCUGACGAAACUCUCCUGUGAAGCUUUGCUGGAUCGGAGCUCGUGGGACGUCAUCGAGUUGAACGUGUGCAGAACUCGGAGGUGCCGUGCGUUCAGUACUUGGAUCGGUCGGAUCGUGAAGACGUACGACUACAUCAACCGCGUUGUGCUAACGCUUCCGCUUUCGGUCUACGAGGGUACGCGGACACACUCUCCCCUCUCAUUGCUAUGCAUCACCAUGAUCCCGCGUGUGCGUAGGAUUUUUUUUGAAAUUACUAUGUUCCCCAACAGUGGCAUCCGAGCUAGGUUUUAUGCGUAGAUGUUAUAUGCACGAGUACAACACAAGUGAGUUGUGGGCGAUACAAGUCAUACUGCUUACCAGCAUGUCAUACUUUGGUUCGGCGGUAUUGUUGGAUGAAGCGGCUCGGACCGACAUUACGCGUACGCUUACGCGAGACUGGUUCUACCGACGUGCUUUGCACAUAGGUGGCUGGCGGGUGUCAGUUUCUCCAACUUUAGUUGAACCGAGUGUGGCUACGCCCGGUCCUUGAGAAGUUUAAAACAACACUAACUUGACGAACUAUCGUUGUGGUUUUGAUGCGUAGGUAAGAACGGCUUUUGGCAUCCCAUAGCAGCCACGUAAAAUUUACAACAACAAAGUAGAGGACAUCUAACUUGUUUUUGCAGGGCAUGUUGUGAUGUGAUAUGGUCAAGACAUGAUGCUAUAUUUUGUUGUAUGAGAUGAUCAUGUUUUGUAACCGAGUUAUCGGCAACUGGCAUGAGCCAUAUGGUUGUCGCUUUGUUGUAUGCAAUGCAAUCGCCUGCUUUACUUUAUCACUAAGCGGUAGCGAUAGUCGUAGAAGCAAUAGUUGGCGAAACGACAACCAUGCUACGAUGGAGAUCAAGGUGUCGCGCCGGUGACGAUGGUGAUCAUGACGGUGCUUCGGAGAUAGAGAUCACAAGCACAAGAUGAUGAUGGCCAUAUCAUAUCACUUAUAUUGAUUGCAUGUGAUGUUUAUCCUUUAUGCAUCUUAUUCAGCUUUGUUUGACGGCAGCAUUAUAAGAUGAUCUCUCACUAAAUUUCAAGGUAAAUGUGUUCUCCCUGAGUAUGCACCGUUGCCAAAGUUUCUCGUGCCGAGACACCACAUGAUGAUCGGGUGUGAUAAGCUCUACGUUCAUCUACAAUGGGUGCAAGCCAGUUUUGCACACGCGGAAUACUCAGGUUAAACUUGACGAGCCUAGCAUAUGCAGAUAUGGCCUCGGAACAAUGAGACCGAAAGGUCGAGCGUGAAUCAUAUAGUAGACAUGAUCAACAUAGUCAUGUUCACCAUUGAAAACUACUCCAUCUCACGUGAUGAUCGGACAUGGUUUAGUUGAUUUGGAUCACGUGAUCACUUAGAUGAUUAGAGGGAUGUCUAUAUAAGUGGGAGUUCUUAAGUAAUAUGAUUAAUUGAACUUAAAUUUAUCAUGAACUUAGUACAUGAUAGUAUUUUGCUUGUCUAUGUUGAUUGUAGAUAGAUGGCCCGUGCUAUUGUUCCGUUGAAUUUUAAUGCGUUCCUUGAGAAAGAAAAGUUGAAAGAUGAUGGUAGCAAUUACACGGACUGGGUCUGUAACUUGAGGAUUAUCCUCAUUGCUGCACAGAAGAAUUACGUCCUGGAAGCACCGCUGGGUGCCAGGCCUGCUACAGAUGCUACUAAUGAUGUUAAGAACGUUUGGCAGAGUAAAGCUGAUGACUACUCGAUGGUUCAGUGUGCCAUGCUUUACGGCUUAGAACCGGGACUUCAACGAUGUUUUGAACGUCAUGGAGCAUAUGAGAUGUUUCAGGAGUUGAAGUUAAUAUUUCAAGCAAAUGCCUGGAUUAGGAGAUAUGAAGUCUCCAAUAAGUUCUAUAGCUGCAAGAUGGAGGAGAAUAGUUUUGUUAGUGAACAUAUACUCAAAAUGUCUGGGUAUCAUAAUCACUUGACUCAACUGGGAGUUAAUCUUCCUGUUGAUAGUGUCAUUGACAGAGUUCUUCAAUCACUGCCACCAAGCUACAAAAGCUUCGUGAUGAACUAUAAUAUGCAAGGGAUGAACAAGACAAUUCCCGAGCUCUUCGCAAUGCUAAAGGCAGCAUAGGUAGAAAUAAAAAAGGAGCAUCAAGUGUUGAUGGUCAACAAGACCACCAGUUUUAAGAAAAAGGGCAAAGGGAAUAAGAAGGGGAACUUCAAGAACAACAACAAACAAGUUGCUGCUCAGGAGAAGAAACCCAAGUCUGGACCUAAGCCUGAGAUCGAGUGCUUCUACUGCAAACAGACUGGUCACUGGAAGCAGAACUGCCCCAAGUAUUUGGCGGAUAAGAAGGAUGGCAAGGUGAACAAAGGUAUGUGAUAUACAUGUUAUUGAUGUGUACCUUACCAGAGCUCGCAGUAGCACCUGGGUAUUUGAUACUGGUUCUGUUGCUAAUAUUUGCAACUCAAAACAGGGACUACGGAUUAAGCAAAGACUGGCUAAGGACGAGGUGACGAUGCGCGUGGGAAAUGGUUCCAAAUUCUAUGUGAUCGCCGUCGGCACGCUACCUCUACAUCUACCUUCGGGAUUAGUUUUAGACCUAAAUAAUUGUUAUUUAGUGCCAGUGUUAAGCAUGAACAUUAUAUCUGGAUUUUGUUUGAUGCGAUAUAGUUAUUCAUUUAAAUAUGAGAAUAAUGGUUGUUCUAUUUAUAUCAGUAAUAUCUUUUAUGGUCAUGCACCCUUGAAGAGUGGUCUAUUUUUUGUUGAAUCUCGAUAGUAGUGAUACACAUAUUCAUAAUGUUGAAGCCAAAAUAUGCAGAGUUGAUAAUGAUAGUGCAACUUAUUUGUGGCACAGCCGUUUGGGUCAUAUUGGUAUAAAGCGCAUGAAGAAACUCCAUACUGAUGGAUUUUUGGAAUCACUUGAUUAUGAAUCACUUGGUACUUGCGAACCAUGCCUUAUGGGCAAGAUGACUAAAACACCGUUCUCCGGAACUAUGGAGCGAGCAACAGAUUUGUUGGAAAUCAUACAUACUGAUGUAUGUGGUCCGAUGAAUAUUGAGGCUCACGGCGGGUAUCGUUGUUUUCUCACCUUCACAGAUGAUUUGAGCAGAUAUGGGUGUAUCUACUUAAUGAAACAUAAGUCUGAAACAUUUGAAAAGUUCAAAGAAUUUCAGAGUGAAGUGGAAAAUCAUCGUAACAAGAAAAUAAAGUUUCUAUGAUCUGAUCGUGGAGGAGAAUAUUUGAGUUACGAGUUUGGUCUACAUUUGAAAUAAUGCGGAAUAGUUUCGCAACUCACGCCACCUGGAACACCACAGCGUAAUGGUGUGUCCGAACGUCGUAAUCGUACUUUACUAGAUAUGGUGCGAUCUAUGAUGUCUCUUACUGAUUUACUGCUAUCGUUUUGGGGUUAUGCUUUAGAGAUGGCUGCAUUCACGUUAAAUAGGGCACCAUCAAAAUCCGUCGAGACGACGCCUUAUAAACUAUGGUUUGGCAAGAAACCAAAGUUGUCGUUUCUUAAAGUUUGAGACUGCGAUGCUUAUGUGAAAAAGCUUCAACCUGAUAAGCUCGAACCCAAAUUGGAGAAAUGUGUAUUCAUAGGAUACCCAAAGGAAACUAUUGGGUACACCUUCUAUCACAGAUCCGAAGGCAAGACAUUCGUUGCUAAGAAUGGAUCCUUUCUAGAGAAGGAGUUUCUCUCGAAAGAAGUGAGUGGGAGGAAAGUAGAACUUGAUGAGGUAACUAUACCUACUCCCUUAUUGAAAAGUAGUUCAUCACAGAAACUGGUUCCUGUGACACCUACACCAAUUAGUGAGGAAACCAGUGUUGAUGAUCAUGAAACUUCAGAUCAAGUUACUACUGAACCUCGUAGGUCAACCAGAGCAAGAUCCGCAACAGAGUGGUACGGUAAUCCUGUUCUGGAGGUCAUGUUACUUGACCAUGAUGAACCUACGAACUAUGAGGAAGCGAUGAUGAGCCCAGAUUCCACAAAAUGGCUUGAGGCCAUGAAAUCUGAGAUGGGAUCCAUGUAUGAGAACAAAGUGUGGACUUUGGUUGACUUGCCUAAUGAUCGGAAGGCCAUCGAAAAUAAAUGGAUCUUCAAGAAGAAGACAAAUGCUAAUGGUAAUGUUACUGUCUACAAAGCUCGACUUGUUGCGAAAGGUUUUUGACAAGUUCAAGGAGUUGACUACGAUGAGACCUCACCAGUAGUGAUGCUUAAGUCCAUCCAAAUCAUGUUCGCUAUUGCCGCAUUUUAUGAUUAUGAAAUUUGGCAAAUGGAUGUAAAGACUGCAUUCCUGAAUGGAUUUCUGGAAGAAGAGUUGUAUAUGAUGCAACCUGAAGGUGCUAACAAAGUGUGCAAGCUCCAGCGAUCCAUUUAUGGACUGGUGCAAGCCUCUCGGAGUUGGAAUAAACGUUUUGAUAGUGUGAUCAAAGCAUAUGGUUUUAUACAGACUUUUGGAGAAGCAUGUAUUUACAAGAAAGUAAGUGGGAGCUCUGUAGCAUUUCUAAUAUUAUAUGUGGAUGACAUAUUGUUGAUUGGAAAUGAUAUAGAAUUUCUGGAUAGCAUAAAAGGAUACUUGAAUAAGAGUUUUUCAAUGAAAGACCUCGGUGAAGCUGCUUACAUAUUGGGCAUCAAGAUCUAUAGAGAUAGAUCAAGAUGCUUAAUUGGAAUUUCACAAAGCACAUACCUUGACAAAAUUUUGAAGAAGUUCAAAAUGGAUCAGGCAAAGAAAGGGUUCUUGCCUGUGUUUACAAGGUGUGAAGUUGAGUAAGACUCAAUGCCCGACCACUUCAGAAGAUAGAGAGAAAAUGAAAGAUGUUCCCUAUGCUUCAGCCAUAGGCUCUAUCAUGUAUGCAAUGCUGUGUACCAGACCUGAUGUGUGCCUUGCUAUUAGUUUAGCAGGGAAGUACGAAAGUAAUCCAAGAGUGGAUCAUUGGAUAGCGGUCAAGAAUAUCCUGAAAUACUUGAACAUGACUAAGGAUAUGUUUCUCCUUUAUGGAGGUGACAAAGAGCUCAUCGUAAAUGGUUGCGUUGAUGUAAGCUUUUGUGGCACCCUGGCUCAGAGAAAACCGGAACGCCCCGUAUUCCAGCCCAGAGAUCGAGGUGAGGUCUUCUGGAAUACGCCACUGCUUAGAAUAGAACAAACUAGCUCUCUAUUACAACACAAAUAUGAAUACACGGGUUCCGAUAUUACAAUGAAUAACAUCGGCACGGUGACACUACGCCAACCACGGUUGCUCUAUACAAGCAUCAUAACAACUCGAAGCAGUGGAACAACAACUAGCAGCGGAACAACGAACGGUGAUAAAGGACUCCAAUUCACAGGGACUCUGGCUGGAACGUUUAUCCUAGCUCGCGAACACAGGAACAACACCAAACAAGCAAGCAAUCCAGGCACGAUCUGCAAGCUGGCAUGACACGCCAGGUCAGUACAUCGAAUGUACUUGCAAGCUCACCAUAACCAGAAGCAUUCAAGACAAACAACAGCAUGGAAAUUACAGGUUAAGCAGGAAUUAUCAUGAGAUCAUCAGAAUAACAUGGCAUGAACAACAUGAACAUAAUACUGCUAGAACAAUAUGAUCAUGGCAAAAACAUAUAAAUCUGAUGAUACUAGCAUGCAACAUGAUGACACUACAUGCAUCAUUUAUUCUGCUCGGGUUACCUCGUAACCAACACAUGCAUCACUUACCAACCUCGGACAUCACACGAUCAUCUCAGAAUCAAAUCAAGCUUGGUAUAAACAAUACUGUAGUAAUCAGUAAAUGACUACAAGGAGCUUGAUCUUUACCCACGAUUCUCGCACAACAUCACGAAUAUCCAACAACUCGGUAUCCGCGAUACCACGGUGAUCAUUCCGGCGAUCACAACCAUGACCAACACUUAGUCUCAAACCAUGAUCCUUCUAGCAAUCACAACCAACUUAUCUCAAACAGUGGUCCUUCCGGUGAUCACAACCAACUUAUUUCCUCAUCGAAUCGGGGUUGUUAUUAUGCACAUUAUUAUUAAGGUUGUUGACUCAUGAUGGGACCGACACGAACUGGGCCCUUAUACACGGGCGCGACUAUCGACAGAUUUAAUAUACACUCUACAGAGGUAGUACACUGUACCCACACUACGGAACCCAUGGUCUCGCACUCCCAUACGUGCGGACACGGAGUUCCGACAGAACCGAUCUAUUGCCAUGACACUCUCCCGGCCACUCCGACCAACUCCCCUUUGGGCUAGGUCCUGGGUGGCCCCGUGCCUACCAAAGGCACCAAUGGCCACCGUCGUGGUGAAACGGUCCCAAACAGGGACGAGGAUCCAUACUCAACAACAACGGGCACACAAGGUUAUGUCCACCUACCUAAUCAGGGUAGCGCGCGCCCAUAACCUUCCCUCGUUGGAGGCACCGGCGAGAGGCAUGACAAUAGAUCCAGUUAGGACCUUCCAUAAAGGUAAGCGUGGUUGCACUGGUCAAUUUCGAUAUGGUGGCACCAUGACUCAGCCAACAGUUGUUCGAGUUCAAUUUAAUCCGGUUAAACUUGAAUGCAAUAUGCUGAGCCAUGAUAAAAUAACACGAUGCAAUUACAAUACAUGAGCAUGAUAUCAACAUAAUCAUGUGAGAACCACAUAACUAUCCACCAUAUCAACAAUGAAUUAUAUCCAACUAAACAUGGCAUACUGACUAGCAUGAACCUCAUAAGUACAUACUACUCAUCGAAACCUAGCAUGACCACUAGCAUCAACAAUAAAUAUCAUGCAAGACAUAUCAAUAAAGCUACCAUGCAAUCAUUUAACCAACUGGAUGCAACAGAACAUGCAUAACAACGGUACUCGGGACAGACGACAGUCAUGCAGCGAAGACCAUCACCACUAUCAACAUAUACUACUAGCAAGCAUAAGCAUAAAGAAUACUAGCAACUAGCAGGGCAUGACAACGAAGUGCAUAACAACAUAGCAAGUAAGUAGGCAUGAACCCAUAAGCGUUACCGAAACAACUAUAACCAUAUUUUAAGCAAACAAACAUUUAAUAAAUAUUCAAGUUGAAAACCAUGGCUGCUGCAUGACUAUCAUGCAAGUGGGUAUUGUGGCUUGCCUGGGGAUGAAGAAGGCACCGAGAAGAAGUGCAUGAAACCAUGAAACGAAACGUCGGGCGAUACGUUCUCGGAGGGGGCUGAAUAGAGGCAAGGGCAAAAUGGUCAUUUGCACUGUGAUAACACCUAGUGAAAAUGUUACCAAAAGAUAGAGCUCGACGAGACGAAGAAGCGAGCGUUGGUUUCACCUCAAUCGGAGUUACGGUUGAAAAGUUGUAAAGGUCGGAAGAACAUGGACUAAUAUGUGAAGAAUUUAUCACAAACAGGUCCCUGACGAGGAAAAACAGAACACGCCUUCGCCCAAAUUACGUUUUCUGUGAAGGGAAACGUAUUUUCAGCCGCAAUAGAUAGAGAAUACGCUUUUCCAAAACGGAAAUGUAUUUCCAGAAAAACGUCUCCACUUAUCCACAUGGACUAGGGGGAGGGGAGGCUUACUAGUGGGGUCCAUGCGCAGGGGGAGGGGCCAGGCGAUCGUUGUCUUCCUCCUCUCGCUGCGCCCCGACUGAAAUAGAGGAGGCAGGGGCGGGGCCACGAUGCCGGCGAUGACCUGGUCGGCUCAGGCCACCUCAGGCCAAGGCGGGAGCACUGGUGGCUUCAGGGCAGGGUGUCGCACCCAUUCCGAGGGAAAGGAGGCAUCAGAGAUGAGCGAGACAGACGGUGCCGUGAGGGGAACAGAGAGGCGCCAGCAGCGAUGGUGGAGAUGAGCGCGAGGCCCUGGUGGCUCUGGCGACAAACGAAGGAGGUGGGGAGGAUUGUGGAUGAGUGGGGAGAGCGAUGGCGGCGUCGGGAGAGAUGGAGGAACUCCGGAUGGGGGGGGGCGACGAGGCGACCGAGAGGCACGGGCGGCGGCCGGACGAGGAGCACGCGGCCAGAGGGCUUUCCGAUGAAGGGCGAGGUGGUGGGGCGAACAACGGUGAUGAGGAGGCUCUGGUGGACAGCUCGGGAGGAGAGGAGAGGGGCUGUGGUGGUCGGAACCGAGACCAACUCCGACGAGGUCAUGGGGAUCCAGGGAAGAAACGGCGAGGGAGAGCUGCUCGAGUGGGCAAAAGAGGCAGGAGAGGAGUGAGUGAGGAGCAGGGGACCUCGGGCAUGCCUCAUAUAGCCGCGGGAGGCUUCUCGAGCUCACAACCGAGAUGGAGCGGUGCACUAAUGGAGGUUAGAGGAGGGGCAUGGAACGGGCACUGCUCUAGCGGCGCAUUUAUGGCGAACCACAACAAGGCACCGAUGCAGGGCGACGCAGUCGAUCACGGGGAAGCUCCAAGACAUGAAUUGAGGUCGAGACGAGGGAGAAGACAAGCAUAGUGGCUGGAACAAGCCAGAGCAUGCCUACAGCCAUGACGCCAGCGUGAUCACCACGCGCACUGGCGCAAGCGAUGCUCUUUGGCAUGGCCAACCAUGUCCAGUAGAUGGACCUUGGUGCCCUGAGUCAAAAUGAGGAAAUAAAUCGGUCCAGGGGCAAAGAAGAGAUUUGCACUUAGCUCCAAAAGUAAAUCAGUAAGAAGGUGUUUGUAACUUGCUGUGGUUAAACCAGCAGGUAACAAGGUAAAGAGUUUGUCUGGCGAUGAUCACACACUAAGGUGAUGCCGAUCACCAAAAAUCAGACUAAGAGGAGGAGUUUAGAUGGUGGUUGCAGUAGAAAGUGCAAUACUGGCCAGAAUUAGGGAUUUGGAUGAUACACUCACAUACUUGAUCUCUGUGAGCUGAAAUUUGGCAGAGAGGGGUUAUAUGAUGAUAUGAAGCUGCUGUAAAAAUUUCAUUCCAUUUGGAAAUACCAAAGUGGCACUUGCUUCACAAAGCUUCAUUCUGUAUAGAAACUUGGAAAAAUUACACAGGGUAAUUGGAUUAACUAAUUGAGGUAAAACUUGGUGGGAGUAGUUGAUAUAGGUAUAAACAUGUCCUGGUAAAUUUUCAGCUCAAUUUAAGCAAUAUAAAAUAUAGUUUCUUCACAAACUGAAAAUCUGACCAGAAACUAAGAUUUGGAGCUGGGCUCACAUAUAUGAGUUACAUGAGCUCCUAUUUGGUGGAUAGUCAUUAUUUGACCAUAGGAAAUACCCUGAAAAAUUUCAACUCAUUUGGAUAUACGUAGAAUAUAGCUCCUUCACAAAGUUCCUUCCUAGACAGAAACUUUGGAAAAUUGCUGAAAAAUAUUUACUAGGCAAAUUGAGUUUAAUUUUUGGCAUGAGCCAAUGAGAUGGACAGGAAAAAGUGUCCAAGAAGUUUGGGGUCAAAUGGGCAAAGAUAAAUAGCACUUCCUUUGCAAAGUGCCAUUCAGGACAGAAUAGGAAAAAAAUUAUUGAAGGAUUAUUUUUUAACAUGGAAAUAAAAUAUUUUUCCAUAUUUGAGGAAGAUAUGACCCAAACAAUUUAUGAGAAUUAUUUGAGAAUUUUAGGAGUGACAGAAAUAUAGGUUGCUUCGCAACCUAGGGUUUUAAGGGUUAUUCCUUUAUCAGAAAAGGAAUAUUACCAACAAAAGAAUUUUGGAUUAGGUCAAGGAUGGAAAUGAGAUGAUCUUGAGAGGAUGAUGAGGGUGACAAGCCACUAGAAAACCUAGGAAGACAUGAUCUUCCCAAGUUUCAGACCCUCAUAGCCAUGGAAAAGCAAAUCAAAACAGGAAAUCCCAGAAAAUCAAAGGAAAAAGAAAAGGGCAAAAAUCCAGGCUGUUACAAACCUUCCCCCCUUAAAGAAAUCUCAUCCUCGAGAUUUGGUUGCUCAGGGUUAAAUAAUCUUUCUGACUUGAAGAAACCGUUUCCCACUCAGGUUUCUUUUAUUCAUAAUAUUUCCACUGAAUUGGAUCUGACUAAUUGUCUUGAUCUGGGGUGGUUUGCUUCACUGGAUCUGACAUUCUGACAGGACGUACCUCGGAUGUCCCUGUUAAUACUAACUCAAAAUUUUCUUUGGCUGAGCUAGCAUCCAAAAUAUUAUUUUUAUGGACAUACUUGUCCUUCUUGAUAUUGAUCCUUGCUGAAAAUGUUAUUCUAGUAUCUAGUACCGAGAACAUUCCACGGAGUUGGGGAACAUAUCUUCCCAUGGAACAACGAAUCCCUUUUAUCCAGGCAUCGGAUUCCUCGAAUAUAGACAUGCCUUCUGGUUCCAAAACAGUGAUGUGGAUCAUAUCUAUUUUUGCUAACGGAUGCUGACAUCUUGCAUGAGUUUCUGACUUAUCUUGACUGGCUUCAAAGUCUUGAGUAUCCAGGUUGUUCCAAAGGUUUGACUGUCACUUGUCGCGACUGAUAGAAAAAAUGCACCAUCUCCUGAUGAUAAGAUUUGUAGACUUGACUGCCGGUGAUCUUGGCAAAGAAUCCCAUUUACACAGGCUAUUCCUUUCAUUGCUUCCCCUAUGCGAGAGAUAACGAUCCUCAACGUAUAUGUUUUCACACGGAUUCUUCAUUGUUGCCAGUAUCUCUCUGGGAACAAUAGUCUGUGCAAAGCUCCAUCACGGGUGUUGAGGUUAAUAUAUUGAGUUGUCCAGUACCACAAUGGAGUAUACUUCUUGGGUGGAUCUUUGCUUGGGUUUGCCGUGGAAUAAGACGGUCUUGGGCAUCCACAUUUUUCACAUAAUAACCGACAUACAUUGGUCUGGUUCAUGUUUUGAGCCUCGGUAUACUUAUCCGGCUCACGUGUGGUCAUACAGAUCUCAAUCCUGUUGUGGAUUAUGCCAGACAGUGACAGGGUUAAUAAUAUCACCUUGUGAGGCUGAUUUUUAUAAUCAGUGCCAAGAUUAUGGUCUCAAUGUUGUCUUUCCUUCAAGACUUGUUGAUUAUGGCAUCACCCACUGGUUUUUGUUUCUUGAAUAACCGGUGAGGUUGUCGGAUGUGUACCGUGAAUUCUUCCUUGAGAGACUUGCAUGGACUUGGCAGCAUACUGAAUGAACUAAUAUCUAAUUCUCAAGGCAUACCUUUGUUCUGACUGAUUUCAGACCAAACUGUUGCAGAUCUGCCACUUGGAAAACACUGUCAUAUGCUGACAAUUCAUAGUUUAAUGUCUUGUAUUAGUGUCGUACAUAAGAAUACUGGGCAGCUUGCGUUCGAAAGCAAUUGGGGUAUCGUGUUGAGGAAGGCAUGGGGGCUUAUGCUCGAAGCCAUCGGUGGAUAUCUUAUUGAGGAAAUCGGGGUACCGUACCUUAUAAGCUUCCCCCCUUAAAGACUUGUUAGGGAAGACUCGGUACCUUAUGCCAGAAGCUUUUGCAGUAUUUUAUAAAGAAGACUGAAAAUCUUGCAUGGGAAUCCAUUCAAACCCUAUCGAUGCAGACUGGGAACCUUAUCUUUGUACACUUCGUCAAUACAUUGUGGAGAAGGAUGGGACUGAUUUUCUUGGUGAUGGGAAUGACAUAUAUAUUUGUCAAUCCGGCAGCUGAUUAUUGAUAUGACAAGAAUUGUCUGACUGUCCUUACUGAAUUCACUGUGCAAUUGGACUGACUUCUGGGUGUCACAAUGUUUUAAUUUUGACUUAUGGCACAUUCAAUCAUUGUGCAUAGCCCAUACCUUUGACUUGAAAUGCACUGUCGAUCCAAUUUUGUUCUCUUGCUGAUUUAAUCUUUCUUGCAAUAAAGUGUAACUCUGACAGGUAUUUGUUGCUGAAAGUCUGAUCAAAAUACAAUUUGUAUCCGGAUGAAUGUCUGCAAUACAAUGUUGUCGGCUGAAAACCUCAUUGAUUUUAACUGACUUCCUUGGUGUAUAUCUGUACCGCUUACGGCUCCUUCUGAUUCGGUGUAGGUCGAGGAAUAAUUUCCAUAAGGGGGGUAACACCGAGGAUUCAAAACAAAGAAGCACGAGAAAACAAUUUAUUGCAACAAAGCACACAACAAACAAGCUACAAAGCUGCUCCACACAUACACACACAAGCAUGAUACUACAACGGAUGCACAAGCGCUACACGAAGGACUACAUCCUACGCUUGAGCAAACGCUCGCGAACUGACAAGGAAGCUAAGGGAGUAGAGAGUGGAACCGCUGACUCUGAAACUCCCGAUGGACAUGGCAGAGGAGUUGGAGAAGCUGGCGGAGACUGAGGUAAAGCGACACCAAGCAAUCUCCUGGCCCGAAUGGCGUCUCGGACUAACUCAGAAAUAAGAAGACACUCGGUCGUCAUGUAAUGAGACAUGGCUAGGAUAGCUGGGUCAUCUUGAGGGUUGACGGAGGGAAAUUGGAUUCGCCUAGGAUUCUCGACGAUGGUGGGAUAAUAUUCAUAAGCAUGGUUCUCCUGCACCAUGCUCUCUUGGUGACGAAGACCGGUGACUCCUGCCAUUGCGGCAAGCUGAACGGCAUGCUCAGGAGUAGCGCCGUAACCACCGUGGAAACUGUAGGUGCGCUUACCGACAGGAAUCAGAGCUGACAGAUGAACAUGAGCAACAUAUUCCCGAAUUCUUCCUCCAGCAGAAAACUGGAAUACUUGAUAAUGAGGUGGAUCUCCGAGGGGAUAAAUAUUACGCCACAUGUCGCCAAGGAGGGCGGCAAAGCUGAGAGGCGCAGUGUUGGGGAUCGUAACAAAAAUUUAAAAUUUUCUAUGCAUCACCAAGAUCAAUCUAUGGAGUAAUCUAGCAACGAGGGGAAGGGGAGUGCAUCUACAUACCCUUGUAGAUCGAUAAGCGGAAGCGUUCAAGUGAACGGGGUUGAUGGAGUCAUACUCGUCGUGAUCCAAAUCACCGAUGAUCCUAGCGCUGAAUGGACGGCACCUCCGCGUUCAACACACGUACGGAACGGAGACGUCUCGCACGCCUUGAUCCAGCAAGGAGGAGGGAGAGGUUGAGGAAGAGAGUCCAACAGCAGCACGACGGCGUGGUGGUGAUGGAGUGGCAGUUCUCUAGCAGGGCUUCGCCAAGCUCACGUGGAGGAGGAGAGGUAUUAGAGGGGAGGGGCUGCGCCAGGUUCAAGGGUGUGGCCGCCCUCCCACCCCUCCACUAUUUAUAGGUGGGGAGAGAGGGGGGCGGCCCCCUUAGAUCCCAUCUAGGGUUGGGGGCGGCGGCCAAGGGGGGGAGGAGUGCCUCCCAAGUCAAGUGGAGGCCCUCCCCCUUAGGGUUUCCCCUCUCCCAUGCGCAUGGGCCUUGGGGGGGGGGGGGCUGGUGCCCUUGGCCCAUUAAGGUUAGGGCGCCCCCUUACAGCCCAUGCUGCUGUAUUGGACGUGGUGGAACAUUUUUCGGACCUCUGGACCCCUUUGGAAUCCUCCGGAACCUUCCGGAAGCUUCUCGGUACAAUACCGGAAAAAACCGAACUUUUCCCGGAACCCGAACAACAACUUUCCAUAUAUAAAUCUUUACCUCCAGACCAUUCCGGAACUCCUCAUGACGUCCGGGAUCUCAUCCGGGACUCCGAACAACAUUCGGUAAUUACAUACAAGUCUUCCUAAUAACCCUAGCAUCAUCGAACCUUAAGUGUGUAGACCCUAUGGGUUCGGGAACCAUGCAGACAUGACCGAGACAACUCUCCGGCCAAUAACCAACAGCGGGAUCUGGAUACCCAUGUUGGCUCCCACAUGUUCCACGAUGAUCUCAUCGGAUGAACCAUGAUGUCGAGGAUUCAAUCAAUCCCGUAUUCAAUUCCCUUUGUCCAGCGGUAUUGUACUUGCCCGAGAUUUGAUCGUCGAUAUCCCGAUACCUUGUUCAAUCUCGUUACCGGCAAGUCUCUUUACUCAUUCCGUAACACAUCAUCCCGUGAUCAACUCCUUGGUCACAUUGUGCACAUUAUGAUGAUGUCCUACCGAGUGGGCCCAGAGAUACCUCUCCAUUACACGGAGUGACAAAUCCCAGUCUCGAUUCGUGCCAACCCAACAGACACUUUCGGAGAUACCUGUAUUGAACCUUUGUAGCCACCCAGUUAUGUUGUGACAUUUGGCACACCCAAAGCACUCCUACGGUAUCCGGGAGUUGCACAAUCUCAUGGUCUAAGGAAAUGAUACUUGACAUUAGAAAAGCUUUAGCAAACGAACUACACGAUCUUGUGCUAGGCUUAGGAUUAGGUCUUGUCCAUCACAUCAUUCUCCUAAUGAUUUGAUCCCGUUAUCAACGACAUCCAAUGUCCAUGGUCGGGAAACUGUAACCAUCUAUUGAUCAACGAGCUAGUCAACUAGAGGCUUACUAGGGACAUGGUGUUGUCUAUGUAUCCACACAUGUAUCUGAGUUUUCUAUCAAUACAAUUCUAGCAUGGAUAAGAAACGAUUAUCAUGAACAAGGAAAUAUAAUAAUAACCAAUUUAUUAUUGCCUCUAGGGCAUAUUUCCAACAGUCUCCCACUUGCACUAGAGUCAAUAAUCUAGUUCACAUCGCCAUGUGAUUAACACUCACAGGUCACAUCGCCAUGUGACCAACAUCCAAAGAGUUUACUAGACUCAAUAAUCUAGUUCACAUCACUAUGUGAUUAACACUCAAUGAGUUCUGGGUUUGAUCAUGUUAUGCUUGUGAGAGAGGUUGUAGUCAACGGGUCUUGCCAUAUUCAGAUCCCUAUGUAUUUUGCAAAACUUUAUAUCGUAGAUGCUGCUACCACGUUCCACUUGGAGCUAUUCCAAAUUAUUGCUCCAUUAUACGUAUCCGGUAUCUCUACUCAGAGCUAUCCGGAUAGGUGUUAAGCUUGCAUCGACGUAACUCUUUAUGUCGAACUCUUUAUCACCUCCAUAAUCGAGAAACAUUUCCUUAUUCCUCUAAGGAUAAUUUUGACUGCUAUCUGGUGAUCCACUCCUAGAUCACCUUUGUACCGUCUUGCCAGACAUGUGGCAAGGCACACAUUAGGUGCGGUACUUCAGCAUGGCAUACCGUAUAGAGCCUAUGACAAGAGCAUAGGGGACGACCUUCGUCCUUCUUCUUUGUUCUGCCGUGGUCAAGCUUUGAGUCUUACUCAACUUCAGACCUUACAACUCAGGUGAGAACCCCUUCUUUGACUGAUCUAUUUUGAACUCCUUCAAAAACAUGUCAAGGUGUGCGUUCUUUGAAAGUAUCAUCAGGCGUUUUGAUCUAUCUCUAUAGAUCUUGAUGCCCAAUAUGUAAGCAGCUUUAUCCAGGUCUUCCUUUGAAAAACAUUCUUCAAACAACCGUUUAUGCUUUCCAGAAAUUCUACAUUAUUUCGGGUCAACAAUAUGUCAUCCACAUAUACUUAUCAGAAAUGUUGUAGUGCUCCCACUCACUUUCUUGUAAAUACAAGUUUCCAGCAAACAUUGUAUAAACCUAAAAGCUUUGAUCACUCCAUCAAAGCAUAUAUUCCGACUCCGAGAUGCUUGCUCUAGUCCAUAGAAGGAUUGCCGGAGCCAACAUACCUUUUAGCAUCCUUAGGAUCGACAAAACCUUUUAUUGUAUCACAUACAACUUUUUCUUACGAAAACUGGUAAGAAAAUUUGUUUUGAUAUCCAUCUGUCAGAUUUCAUAAUCAAAAAAUACAGCUAAUGCUAACAUGAUUCCGACGGACUUAAGCAUCGCUACGGGUGAGAAAUUCUCAUCGUAGUCAACUCCUUAAACUUGUGAAAAGACUCUUUCCCACAAGUCGAGCUUCAUAGACGGUAACAUUACCGCCCACGUCCGUCUUCUUCUUAAAGAUCCAUUUAUCUCAAUGGCUUGCCGAUCAUCAGGCAAGUCCACCAAAGUCCAUACUUUGUUCUAAUACAUGGAUCCUAUCUCGGAUUUCAUGGAUUCUAACCAUUUGUCAGAAUACGGGCCCACCAUCGCUUCUCCAUAGCUCGUAGGUUCAUUGUUGUCUAACAACAUGAUAUCUAAGACAGGAUUACCGUACCACUCAGGAGUAGUACAUAUCCUUGUCGACCUAUGAGGUUCCAUAGCAACUUGAUCCGAAGCUUCAUGAUCACUAUCAUUAACUUCCUCUUCAAUAGACGUAGGCGCCACAGAAAACAUCUUUCUGUGUUGCAUCACUCUCUGGUUGAAAUAAAGGUUCGACAACAUCAUCAAGUUCUAUCUUCCUCCCACUCAAUUCUUUCGAGAGAAACUCCUUCUCGAGAAAGGACCCGUUCUUAGCGACAAACAUUUUGCCCUCGGAUCUGAGAUAGAAGGUGUACCCAACUGUCACCUUUGGGUAUCCUUUGAAGAUGUGUUUGUCCGCUUUGGGUUUGAGUUUCUCUGGCUGAAGCCUUAAGCAUCGCAGCCCCAAACAUUAAGAAAUGACAACUUUGGUUUCUUGCCAAAGCAAUGUUCACACGACGUCGUCUUAACAGACUUAGAUGGUGUCCUAUCUAAAAUGAAUGCAGCUGUCUCUAACGCAUAACCUCAAAAUGAAAACGGUAGAUCGGUAAGAGACAUCAUAGAUCGCACCAUAUCUAUAAGGUUCGAUUACGACGUCCGGACACACCAUUACCCUCUGGUGUUCCAGGUGGCUUCAACUAUGAAACAAUUCCACGAUGUCUUAAGUGAUUGCCAAACUCAUAACUCAGAAAUUCUCAUCGAUCAAAUCAUAGGAAUUUGAUCUUCUUGUUAUGAUGGUUCUUAACUUCACUCUAAAAUCGCUUGAACUUUUCAAACGUUUCAGACUUGUGCUUCAUUAAGUAAAUAUACCUAUAUCUACUCAAAUCGUCAGUGAAGAUGAGAAAAUAGCGAUAUCCACCGCACGCUUCAAUUCUCAUUGGAUCACACACAUCAGUAUGUAUGAUUUCCAACAAGUCACUUGCCCGUUUCAUUGUACCUGAAAACGGGGUCUUAGUCAUCCUGCCCAUGAGGCAUGGCUUGCAUGUGUCAAGAGAUUCAAAAUCAAGUGACUCCAAACAUCCAUCGAUAUGGAGUUUCUUCAUGCAUCUUAUGCCAAUAUGACCUAAGCGGCAGUGCCACAACAAAGUGGUACUAUCAUUAUUAACUCUACAUCUUUUGGCGUGAACAUGUGUAUUACCACGACCGAGAUUCAAUGAACCAUUCACAUAGGGUGCAUGACCAUGAAAGGUAUUAUUCAUGUAAACAGAAUAACCAUUAUUCUCUAACUUAAAUGAAUAACCGUAUUGCAAUGAACAUGAUCUAAUCAUAUUCAUGCUCAACGUAGACACCUGAUAACAUUUAUCUAGGUUCAAUACUAAUCCCGAAGGAAGACGUAGCGUGCGAUGGUGAUCUCAUCAACUUUGGAAACACUUCCAACACACAUCGUCACCUCGCCCUUAGCCAGUCUCCGUUUAGUUCGUAGCUUUUGCUUCAAGUCACCAAUAAUAGCAACUGAACCGGUAUCCAAUACCCAGGUACUACCAGGAGUACUAGUGAGGUACACAUUAAUGACACAUAUAUACUUUGAAGUUGCCAGCCUUCUUAUCUACCAUGCAUUUGGGGUAAUUCCGCUACCAGUGACCGUUCCCCUUACAAUAGAAGCACUUAGUCUCGGGCUUGGGUUCAACCUUGGGUUCCUUCACUGGAGCGGCAACUGGUUUGCCAUCCAUGAAGUUUCCCUUCUAGCCCUUGCCCUUCUUGAAACCAGUGGUCUUGUUAAACCGUCAACACUUGAUGCUCCUUCUUGAUUUCUACCUUUUGCGGUCUUAAGCACCGCGAACAGCUCCGGGAUCAACUCCAUCCCUUGCAUGUCAUAGUUCAUCAUGAAGAUCUAGUAGCUUAGUGAUAGUGGCUAGAGAACUCUAUCAAUCACUAUCUUAUCUGGAAGUUUAACUCCCACUUGAUUUAAAUGAUUGUAGCACCCACAUAUUCUGAGCACAUGCUCACUAGCUGAGCUAUUCUCCUCCAUCUUGUUGGCAAAAGAACUUGUCAGAGGUCUCACACCUCUCAACACGGGCAUGAGCCUGAAAUCCCAAUUUCAGCUCUUGGAACAUCUCAUAUGUUCUAUGGCGUUCAAAACGUCAUUGGAAUCCCGAUUCUAAGCCGUAAAGUAUGGUGCACUAAACUAUCAAGUAGUCAUCAGGAUGUGUCUGUCAGGUGUUCACAACAUCCACGGACGACGUCGUAGGGGUUUGCACAUCGAGCGGUGCAUCAAAGACGUAAGCCUUCUAUGUAGCAGUGAGGACACUCCUCGGACUACAGACCUAGUCCGCAUCAUUGCUUACAAUAUCUUUCAACUUAAUCUUUAUCUAGGAACGUAUUGAAACAGGGACCUACAAUGUGAGCUAUUUAUCUACAACAUAUUUGCAAAGACAAUUUAGACUAUGUUCAUGAUAAUUAAGUUCAUCUAAUCAAAUUAUUUAAUGAACUCCCACUCAGAUAGACAUCCCUCUAGUCAUCUAAGUGAAACAUGAUCCGAAUCGACUAGGCCGUGUCCGAUCAUCACGUGAGACGGACUAGUCAUCAACGGUGAACAUCUCAUGUUGAUCGUAUCUUCUAUACGACUCAUGUUCGACCUUUCGGUCUUACGUGUUCCGAGGCCAUGUCUGUACAUGCUAGGCUCGUCAAGUCAACCUAAGUGUUUUGCAUGUGUCCCGAGGUCAUGUCUGUACAUGCUAGGUGAAGGAAAUAUGCCCUAGAGGCAAUAAUAAAGUUAUUAUUUAUUUCCUUAUAUCAUGAUAAAAGUUUAUUAUUCAUGCUAGAAUUGUAUUAACCGGAAACAUAAUACAUGUGUGAAUACAUAGACAAACAGAGUGUCACUAGUAUGCCUCUACUUGACUAGCUCGUUAAUCAAAGAUGGUUAUGUUUCCUAACCAUGGACAAAGAGUUGUCAUUUGAUUAACGGGAUCACAUCAUUAGUUGAAUGAUCUGAUUGACAUGACCCAUUCCACUAGCUUAGCACCCGAUCGUUUAGUAUGUUGCUAUUGCUUUCUUCAUGACUUAUACAUGUUCCUAUGACUAUGAGAUUAUGCAACUCCCGUUUGCCAGAGGAACACUUUGUGUGCUACCAAACGUCACAACGUAACUGGGUGAUUAUAAAGGAGCUCUACAGGUGUCUCCAAAGGUACAUGUUGGGUUGGCGUAUUUCGAGAUUAGGAUUUGUCACUCCGAUUGUCAGAGAGGUAUCUCUGGGCCCUCUCGGUAAUGCACAUCACUGAAGCCUUGCAAGCAUUUGUCAGGACCCCGACUCAAUGCCACAUCGAUCUAGCAUGUAACACCUCAUAUCACUUUGCGGCCUCACGCACGGUAUUCCCACGGGUGUCGCCUUACCUUAGCCCGGGACCGUUUGCGCCUUUUGGCACACGUAUAUGACAGUGUCGCUAGCACCCAUAUGAUAAUGAGCCCGGGCUGACAUGGCUAGUCGUAAACCCAAAGUGGCACAGACUUACAGGGACAGGCAUCCAUGACCCAGCAUCGAACGUGUCGGUCAUCAGCAAGUGGGUCCGGGCUGUAGCACUGGGCUAGCAGGACUCCGGUAAACCGGGCUGUACCGGGCUAACAGGCCUCCGAUACUCAAUGCGUGACAUUUCCCCGAAGGGACAGACACAGGAACGAAGAAGGACACAUGCCGGCCAGCCUAAGUGUUCCGGAGCAGUAGCAAGCUACCAUGGCUCAGUGGAAACACUAGGAGACAUUUCCCGGUAAGAGAGGCUACUAAGGAUAAACAACUAGAUAGUCAGAUCCCACACAUACCAAGCAUUUCAAUCAUACACACAAUAUGCUCGAUAUGUGCAAAUACAACAAGGCAUCACAACAUGACUCUACGACACAAGUAAAUAUUCAAUAGGCUCCGAGGAGCGAGAUAUUACAAACAUGGGUCUUAUGACCCAACAAUCAGAGCAUACAAGUCAAAGCACAAGCGGAAGCUAUCAUGUCUGAGUACAGACAUCUAUAAAUGGAAAAGGCUGAAAAGCCUGACUAUCUAUCAGAUCCUGCCGAGGCACAAGAUCGUAGCUGAGGUAACAAGCUAAACGUCGAAGACCACGCGGAAAUACUAGUGAGACUGAAGUCUCUCUGCAAAAACAUAAAAUAGGCAAACGUGAGUACAAAUGUACCCAGCAAGACUUACAUCAGAACUAACUACAUAUGCAUCAUUAUCAACAAAGGGGUGGUGGGGUUUAACUGCAGCAAGCCAGCUUUGACUCGGUGGCUAUCCUAAGCUACGACUGCAAGUAACUCUUUUGAAGUGGCGCACACGAGUCCACAUGUUCACCAACCAAUACACCACUAUGGAACCGCUCCCGUCUCCCUACGAGAAUGCCAUCCAUAGCACUCACGCUUAUCUUGCGUAUUUUAAGGUAUCCACUUUCACUUGUCUAUGAACUGAUAUAAGCAACCCAGAAGUCCUUUUCCGCGGACACGGCUAUUCGGAUAGAUGAUGAUAACCCUGCAGGGGUGUACUUCUUCACACACGCUCUCACCACUUAUCGCCGUUUACACGACAUGUACUCGGCAACCUUCAAGCGAAAGCCCAACGUGGGUGUCGGCCACGACCUACCUAAUCACCUAAGUCUCUAGUCCAGGUUUAUCGCCUAUUCGGGUUCCAUCCAUGAGGAGAUCCGGCCGGAGUUUCGCUCACAGCCCCAAACGAUGUGUACAGGGUUCCGUGACACCAAACGGGUGCCCGGUUUACCCGGCCACGUGCCUACCGCAUCAUAGCCCACCCCUACGGUCAGCGCUGCGCACGGCCUCCAGCAUACUACAAACACCAGAAACUACUUGCAACUCCUGGACAAAGGACAAGGGUGAUUAAGAAGCCGAGAGGGUCCAUUGGUUUCGGGCCCAAUGCGUGGUAGUAGCUGAAUCAUGGAUCACAAACACAGAACUCAGUUCCUGAGGACGGCUGCAAUGAGACAACCCACCAUGUACUCCUACAUGGCCUCUCACCGCUACCUUUACCAAAUCGUGUUCACACACUUAGCUCACACACAGUAGGACAGGUUCACACGCCUCUGAUUCAUCCCCGAUGAAUCAGACCCGACUCAACUCUAAGCAGUAGUAGGCAUGACAACAAACAUAAAUGAGUAGGCACAUCAGGGCUCAAGCAACUCCUACUCAUGCUAGUGGGUUUCAUCUAUUUACUGUGGCAAUGACAGGUCAUGCAAAGGAUAAAUGGGUUCAGCUACCGCAGCAAGUAACAGUUGAAUCGUUGUUGUCCUAAUGCAGUAAAAGAGAGCAAGAGCGAGAGAGUAGGAUUGUAUCGGAAUGAACAAGGGGGUUUUGCUUGCCUGGCACUUCUGAAGAUAACAUUGAGUCUUCAUCAAUGUCAACGAUCACAUCGUCGGUAUCACGUCUAUCGAGAGGGGACGAAUACCGGCAACACAGAAGGGAACACAAUCAAUGCAAUGCACAAUAUGAUGCAUGAUCAUGACAUGGCAAUAUGAAUGUGUUUUGAGCUAAUGCAACUAGCAACAGAUUAAAUGAAGUUGGUUUGAAUACAAGAUUCAAAUUCAAACUCCAUAUGUGAUUAUUUAAAUGCCCUUUAUAUGAUUUGUGCUAAACAGCAGCUAUAAGUUGUUCCAACAUGCAUGAAAAUGGUACAGAUGGAUUCCUUGAAUUUUUCUAAUAAUUUUACAUAUAUAAAUUAUUUAAUUUGGAGUUACGGUUAAUUUUCUAUGAUUUAUUGAAGUUUUAGCUAUUUUCUGGAAUUUCCUGAUUAUUUUUAAAUCCAGAAAAUACUUAUUGCGCCAGCCCCACGUCACAGUGACGUCAGCAGGGUCAACUGGGCUGGCUCGGGUCAAACCUGACGUGUGGGGUCCACACGUCAGUGACACAGGAGCUAAUCCCGGUCAAACCCAGCGCUGACUGGGGUUUGACCAGGGGUGGGGCCCACUGUCAAUGGCUGUGGGUUGUUUAAUUAGCUGGGUUAGCUCCUAAUGAUGGAGCCACGUCAGCUCCUACCGGAGUUUCGCCGGCGGCGACCAUUCUGCACGGCGGCGCGGCUCGGAUUUGAGCUAGGGGCAAUGGUUUGGCGCGCUGAGCGCACCGGGGAGGAGCUCUUGCACUCGCGCAUCUAAUGGACCAGACGGGUGGUCACGGGGCAGCCGGAAUCUCGCCGGCGACGAGCUUUGGCGGCGACCGGAGUUCGGGCGUCGAUGGAAACGAUGACACCGUGCACGGGAGGGUCCACGGUUAGCACCUACGCGUUCUACGAGAGCUCAUGAACCCAACGGAGGCACGCACGGGACCAAAUGGCCACCGGAGCCUCGUCGACGAUGAGCUCGUGUGGCGGCGUGCUGUCGGGGGAGAGAGGCGUGGCGGCUACGGCAUGCUAGAGAGAUAACGGAGAGGGGGAGGAUGAUCAGGAGCUCACGGCGGGGUCGUAGAUGAUCUCAGCGGCCUCGGGGACGGCCUGGUGACGACGAAUCGGUCGACAGCGGCCGUUGGUGCAGGGAACGAAGAUGGCGUCGGCGACGGCGCCGCUGGGCAUCCAGGGGGUCUUCUGGUCGCGUGAGACGACGAGGAGGAUGAGGGAGGACCGGCGGAGCUCGGGAGCGCGUCGGGGAGGAGAGGGGGUAGCGGUGGCCGCGAGGGAGCUCGUCGGUGGCGGCGGCUCCGUUCGGUCCGGGCGAGAGAGAGGGAGCAGAGGAGAGAGGGGAUGCAGCGGGGAAGGAAGAGGAGCGAGGGGACACGAGGCCUCGUCGUGGCGUCGCUAGGGAGGCCGGGGGAAGCAGGAGGUGGCCGGGAAGCAGGAGGUGGCCGGGGCGCGUGGCCGCGCACGCCGGGCGUGUGCCCGUCCUCCUGGCAGGGAGGAAGACGACAGGGGAGGAAGUGGAGAUGGGCUGGGCCGGCUGGGCCGGUUGGUGGGCGCCAGGUGGGCUGCAGGUGAGUUAGGUAGGCUUCUGCUCUUUUAUUUCUGUUCUGUUUCUCUUUUCUAUUUCUGCAAUUUGUUUUUGAUUUGAUUUAAAAUAUCAAAUCAUUUUAUAAAAUCCUAGAAAUAAUUAUGGGUGCUUUCUGAAUUAUUUCAGUGACCCUUAACAAUUUCCAACAUUUAUUUGAACAUUUAAAUUAUUUAUGGUAUUUAAAUGCCCAAAGUCAAAUACAAUAUGGUUUAUUCAAAAAUCCAAAAAUGUCUUGGAAAAAUAUCCAUCAUCUCUGGAUAUGGUUUUCACCCUUUUCCAGUAAUCAUGAACAUUUUUGCAAACCAAUUUGGGUUCUGUGAAAAUAUUUUGAAGUUGAACCUAUUUGCAAUGCUUUGGUGCUAGGGCUUGGUCAUCCCCAUUUCAAAUUUCAUAAAAUUUAAACAUGUUGCAUAGAUGCUAAAACAAAAACAAACAAGGGCUGAUCUGGGGCUGUGACAGCAUUGCAACUAAUGAGUUAGUUGCGGGAUGAUGUAUUACGGAACGAGUAAAGAGACUUGCCGGUAACAAGAUUGAACUAGGUAUGGGAUACCGACGAUCGAAUCUCGGGCAAGUAACAUACCGAUGACAAAGGGAACAACGUAUGUUGUUAUGCGGUCUGACCGAUAAAAGAUCUUCGUAGAAUAUGUAGGAGCCAAUAUGAGCAUCCAGGUUCCGCUAUUGGUUAUUGACCGAAGACGUGUCUCGGUCAUGUCUACAUUGUUCUCGAACCCGUAGGGUCCUCAUGCUUAAGGUUACGAUGACAGUUAUAUUAUGAGUUUAUACAUUUUGAUGUACCAAAGUUUGUUCGGAGUCCCGGAUGUGAUCACGGACAUGACGAGGAGUCUCGAAAUGGUCGAGACAUAAAGAUUGAUAUAUUGGAAGCCUAUGUUUGGAUAUCGGAAGUGUUCCGGGUGAAAUCGGGAUUUUACCGGAGUACCGGGAGGUUACCGGAACCCCCCCGGGAGGUAUAUGGGCCUUAGUGGGCCUUACUGGAAGAGAGGAGAGGUGGCCAUAGAUGGGCCGCGCGCCCCUCCCCCCCUUGGUCCGAAUAGGACAAGGAGAGGGGGCCGGCCCCCCUUCCUCCUCUCUCUCCUCUUUUCCCCCCUCCGCGAAUCCUAUUCCAACUAGGAAAGGGGAGGAGUCCUACUCCCGGAGGGAGUAGGACUCCUCCUGUCGCGCCUCCUCUUGGCCGGCCGGCCCCCCCUUUGAGCCUUUAUAUACGGAGGCAAGGGGCACCCCUAGAGACACAAGUUAAUCCACGUGAUCAUAUUCUUAGCCGUGUGCGGUGCCCCCUUCCACCAUAGUCCUCGAUAAUAUUGUAGCGGUGCUUAGGCGAAGCCGUGCGACGGUAGUAGAUCAAGAUCGUCACCACGCUGUCGUGCUGACGGAACUCUUCCCUGACACUUUGCUGGAUCGGAGUCCGGGGAUCGUCAUCGAACUGAACGUGUGCUAGAACUCGGAGGUGCCGUACUUUCGGUGCUUGAUCGGUCGGGCCGUGGAGACGUACGACUACAUCAACCAGCUUCCGUUGUCGAUCUACAAGGGUACGUAGAUCACACUCUCCCCCUCUUGUUGCUAUGCAUCACCAUGAUCUUGCGUGUGCGUAGGAUUUUUUUUGAAAUUACUACGAAACCCAAUAGUGGCAUCCGAGCCUAGGUUUUCUGUGUUGAUGUUAUAUGCACGAGUAGAACACAAGUGAGUUGUGGGCGAUAUAAGUCAUACUGCUUACCAGCAUGUCAUACUUUGGUUCGGCGGUAUUGUUGGACGAAGCGGCCCGGACCGACAUUAUGCGUACGCUUACGCGAGACCGGUUCUCCCGACGUGCUUUGCACAAAGGUGGCUAGCGGGUGACAGUUUCUCCAACUUUAGUUGAACCGAGUGUGGCUACGCCCGGUCCUUGCGAAGGUUAAAACAACACCAACUUGACAAACUAUCGUUGUGGUUUUGAUGCGUAGGUAAGAUUGGUUCUUGCUUAAGCCCGUAGCAGCCACGUAAAACUUGCAACAACAAAGUAGAGGACGUCUAACUUGUUUUUGCAGGGCAUGUUGUGAUGUGAUAUGGUCAAGACAUGAUGCUAAAUUUUAUUGUAUGAGAUGAUCAUGUUUUGUAACCUAGUUAUCGGCAACUGGCAGGAGCCAUAUGGUUGUCGCUUUAUUGUAUGCAAUGCAAUCGCGCUGUAAUGCUUUACUUUAUCACUAAGCGGUAGCGAUAGUCGUGGAAGCAUAAGAUUGGCGAGACGACAACGAUGCUGCGAUGGAGAUCAAGGUGUCGCGCUGGUGACAAUGGUGAUCACGAUGGUGCUUCGGAGAUGGAGAUCACAAGCACAAGAUGAUGAUGGCCAUAUCAUAUCACUUAUAUUGAUUGCAUGUGAUGUUUAUCUUUUAUGCAUCUUAUCUUGCUUUGAUUGACGGUAGCAUUAUAAGAUGAUCUCUCACUAAUUAUCAAGAAGUGUUCUCCCUGAGUAUGCACCGUUGCGAAAGUUCUUCGUGCUGAGAUACCACGUGAUGAUCGGGUGUGAUAGGCUCUACGUUCAAAUACAACGGGUGCAAAACAGUUGCACACGCGGAAUACUCAGGUUAUACUUGACGAGCCAAUCAUAUAUAGAUAUGGCCUCGGAACACGGAGACCGAAAGGUCGAGCGUGAAUCAUAUAGUAGAUAUGAUCAACAUAGUGAUGUUCACCAAUGAAACUACUCCAUCUCACGUGAUGAUCGGACAUGGUUUAGUUGACUUGGAUCACGUAAUCACUUAGACGAUUAGAGGGAUGUCUAUCUAAGUGGGAGUUCUUUAAGUAAUAUGAUUAAUUGAACCUAAAUUUAUCAUGAACUUAGUACCUGAUAGUAUCUUGCUUAUGUAUGUUUGAUUGUAGAUAGAUGGCCCGUGCUGUUGUUCCGUUGAAUUUUAAUGCAUUCCUUGAGAAAGCAAAGUUGAAAGAUGAUGGUAGCAAUUACACGGACUGGGUCCGUAACUUGAGGAUUAGCCUCAUUGCUGCACAGAAGAAUUACGUCCUGGAAGCACCGCUGGGUGCCAGGCCUGCUGCUGGAGCAACACCAGAUGUUAUGAACGUCUGGCAGAGCAAAGCUGAUGACUACUCGAUAGUUCAAUGUGCCAUGCUUUACGGCUUAGAACCGGGACUUCAACGACGUUUUGAACGUCAUGGGGCAUAUGAGAUGUUCCGGGAGUUGAAGUUAAUAUUUCAAGCAAAUGCCCGGAUUGAGAGAUAUGAAGUCUCCAAUAAGUUCUAUAGCUGCAAGAUGGAGGAGAACAGUUCUGUCAGUGAGCAUAUACUCAAGAUGUCUGGGUAUUGUAAUCACUUGAUUCAACUGGGAGUUAAUUUCCGGAUGAUAGCGUCAUUGACAGAAUUCUCCAAUCACUUCCACCAAGCUACAAGAGCUUUGUGAUGAACUAUAAUAUGCAAGGGAUGAAUAAGACUAUUCCCUAGCUCUUCGCAAUGCUGAAAGCUGCGAAGGUAGAAAUCAAGAAGGAGCAUCAAGUGUUGAUGGUCAACAAGACCACUAGUUUCAAGAAAAGGGGCAAAGGGAAGAAGAAGGGGAACUUCAAGAAGAACAGCAAGCAAGUUGCUACUCGAGAGAAGAAACCCAAUUCUGGACCUAAGCCUGAAACUGAGUGCUUCUACUACAAGCAGACUGGUCACUGGAAGCGGAACUGCCCCAAGUAUUUGGCGGAUAAGAAGGAUGGCAAGGUGAACAAAGGUAUAUGUGAUAUACAUGUUAUUGAUGUGUACCUUACUAAUGCUCGCAGUAGCACCUGGGUAUUUGAUACUGGUUCUGUUGCUAAUAUUUGCAACUCGAAACAGGGACUACGGAUUAAGCGAAGAUUGGCUAAGGACGAGGUGACGAUGCGCGUGGGAAACGGUUCCAAAGUCGAUGUGAUCGCUGUCGGCGCGCUACCUCUACAUCUACCUUCGGCAUUAAUAUUAGACCUAAAUAAUUGUUAUUUGGUGCCAGUGUUAAGCAUGACCAUUAUAUCUGGAUCUUGUUUGAUGCGAGACGGUUAUUCAUUUAAAUCAGAGAAUAAUGGUUGUUCUAUUUAUAUGAGUAAUAUCUUUUAUGGUCAUGCACCCUUGAAGAAUGGUCUAUUCUUAUUGAAUCUCGAUAGUAGUGACACACAUAUUCAUAAUGUUGAAGCCAAAAGAUGCAGAGUUGAUAAUGAUAGUGCAACUUAUUUGUGGCACUGCCGUUUAGGUCAUAUCGGUGUAAAGCACAUGAAGAAACUCCAUACUGAUGGACUUUUGGAACCACUUGAUUAUGAAUCACUUGGUACUUGCGAACCGUGCCUCAUGGGCAAGAUGACUAAAAAGCCGUUCUCCGGUACUAUGGAGAGAGCAACAGAUUUGUUGGAAAUCAUACAUACAGAUGUAUGUGGUCCAAUGAAUAUUGAGGCUCGUGGCGGAUAUUGUUAUUUUCUCACCUUCACAGAUGACUUAAGCAGAUAUGGGUAUAUCUACUUAAUGAAACAUAAGUCGGAAACGUUUGAAAAGUUCAAAGAAUUUCAGAGUGAAGUUGAAGAUCAUCGUAACAAGAAAAUAAAGUUUCUACGAUCUGAUCGUGGAGGCGAAUAUUUGAGUUAUGAGUUUGGUGUACAUUUGAAACAAUACGGAAUAGUUUCGCAACUCACGCCACCCGGAACACCGCAGCGUAAUGGUGUGUCGGAAUGUCGUAAUCGUACUUUACUAGAUAUGGUGCGAUCUAUGAUGUCUCUUACUGAUUUACCGCUAUCGUUUUGGGGUUAUGCUUUGGAGACGGCCGCAUUCAUGUUAAAUAGGGCACCAUCAAAAUCCGUUGAGACGACGCCUUAUGAACUAUGGUUUGGCAAGAAACCAAAGUUGUUGUUUCUGAAAGUUUGGGGCUGCGAUGCUUAUGUGAAAAAGCUUCAACCUGAUAAGCUCGAACCCAAAUCGGAGAAAUGUGUCUUCAUAGGAUAUCCAAAGGAGACUAUUGGAUACACCUUCUAUCACAGAUCCGAAGGCAAGACUUUUGUUGCUAAGUUUGGAAACUUUCUGGAGAAGGAGUUUCUCUCGAAAGAAGUGAGUGGGAGGAAAGUAGAACUUGAUGAGGUAACUGUACCUGCUCCCUUAUUGGAAAGUAGUGAAUCACAUAAAACUGUUUCUGUGACACCUACACCAAUUAGUGCAGAAGCUAAUGAUGAUGAUCAUGAAACUUCAGGACAAGAUACUACUAAACCUCGUAGAUCAACCAGAGUGAGAUCCGUGCCAGAGUGGUACGGUAAUCCUGUUCUGGAAGUCAUGCUACUAGAUCAUGAUGAACCUACGAACUAUGAAGAAGCGAUGGUGAGCCCAGAUUCCGCAAAAUGGCUUGAAGCUAUGAAAUCUGAGAUGGGAUCCAUGUAUGAGAACAAAGUGUGGACUUUGGUUGACUUGCCCAAUGAUCGGCAAGCAAUUGAGAAUAAAUGGAUCUUCAAGAAGAAGACUGACGCCGACGGUAAUAUUUCUGUCUACAAAGCUCGACUUCUCGCAAAAGGGUUUCAGCAAGUUCAAGGGAUUGACUAUGAUGAGACCUUCUCACCUGUAGCGAUGCUUAAGUCUGUCCGAAUCAUGUUAGCAAUUGCCGCAUUUUAUGAUUAUGAAAUUUGGCAGAUGGAUGUCAAAACUGCAUUCCUGAAUGGAUUUCUGGAAGAAGAGUUGUAUAUGAUGCAACCAGAAGGUUUUGUCGAUCCAAAGGGAGCUAACAAAGUGUGCAAGCUCCAGCGAUCCAUUUAUGGACUGGUGCAAGCCUCUCGGAGUUGGAAUAAACGCUUUGAUAGUGUGAUCAAAGCAUUUGGUUUUAUACAGACUUUCAGAGAAGCCUGUAUUUACAAGAAAGCGAGUGGGAGCUCUGUAGCAUUUCUGAUAUUAUAUGUGGAUGACAUAUUACUGAUUGGAAAUGAUAUAGAAUUUCUGGAUAGCAUAAAGGGAUACUUGAAUAAGAGUUUUUCAAUGAAAGACCUCAGUGAAGCUGCUUACAUAUUAGGCAUUAAGAUCUAUAGAGAUAGAUCAAGACACUUAAUUGGACUUUCACAAAGCACAUACCUUGACAAAGUUUUGAAGAAGUUCAAAAUGGAUCAAGCAAAGAAAGGGUUCUUGCCUGUGUUACAAGGUGUGAAGUUGAGUCAGACUCAAUGCCCGACCACUUCAGAAGAUAGAGAGAAAAUGAAAGAUGUUCCCUAUGCUUCAGCCAUAGGCUCUAUCAUGUAUGCAAUGCUGUGUACCAGACCUGAUGUGUGCCUUGCUAUAAGUCUAGCAGGGAGGUACCAAAGUAAUCUAGGAGUGGAUCACUGGACAGCGGUCAAGAACAUCCUGAAGUACCUUAAAAGGACUAAGGAUAUGUUUCUCGUAUAUGGAGGUGACAAAGAGCUCAUCGUAAACGGUUACGUUGAUGCAAGCUUUGACACUGAUCCGGACGAUUCUAAAUCGCAAACCGGAUACGUGUUUACAUUAAACGGUGGAGUUGUCAGUUGGUGCAGUUCUAAACAAAGCGUCGUGGCGGGAUCUACAUGUGAAGCGGAGUACAUAGCUGCUUCGGAAGCAGCAAACGAAGGAGUCUGGAUGAAGGAGUUCAUAUCCGAUCUAGGUGUCAUACCUAGUGCAUCGGGUCCAAUGAAAAUCUUUUGUGACAAAUACUGGUGCAAUUGCCUUGGCGAAGGAAUCCAGAUUUCACAAAAGAACCAAGCACAUCAAAAGACGCUUCAAUUCCAUCCGGGAUCUAGUCCAGGUGGGAGACAUAGAGAUUUGCAAGAUACAUACGGAUCUGAAUGUAGCAGACCCAUUGACUAAGCCUCUUCCACGAGCAAAACAUGAUCAGCACCAAGGCUCCAUGGGUGUUAGAAUCAUUACAGUAUAAUCUCGAUUAUUGACUCUAGUGCAAGUGGGAGACUGAAGGAAAUAUGCCCUAGAGGCAAUAAUAAAGUUAUUAUUUAUUUCCUUAUAUCAUGAUAAAAGUUUAUUAUUCAUGCUAGAAUUGUAUUAACCGGAAACAUAAUACAUGUGUGAAUACAUAGACAAACAGAGUGUCACUAGUAUGCCUCUACUUGACUAGCUCGUUAAUCAAAGAUGGUUAUGUUUCCUAACCAUGGACAAAGAGUUGUCAUUUGAUUAACGGGAUCACAUCAUUAGUUGAAUGAUCUGAUUGACAUGACCCAUUCCAUUAGCUUAGCACCCGAUCGUUUAGUAUGUUGCGAUUGCUUUCUUCAUGACUUAUACAUGUUCCUAUGACUAUGAGAUUAUGCAACUCCCGUUUGCCAGAGGAACACUUUGUGUGCUACCAAACAUCAGAACGUAACUGGGUGAUUAUAAAGGAGCUCUACAGGUGUCUCCAAAGGUACAUGUUGGGUUGGCGUAUUUCGAGAUUAGGAUUUGUCACUCCGAUUGUCGGAGAGGUAUCUCUGGGACCUCUCGGUAAUGCACAUCACUGAAGCCUUGCAAGCAUUGCAACUAAUGAGUUAGUUGCGGGAUGAUGUAUUACGGAACGAGUAAAGAGACUUGCCGGUAACGAUAUUGAACUAGGUAUGGGAUAUCGACGAUCGAAUCUUGGGCAAGUAACAUACCGAUGACAAAGGGAACAACAUAUGUUGUUAUGCGGUCUGACCGAUAAAAGAUCUUCGUAGAAUAUGUAGGAGCCAAUAUGAGCAUCCAGGUUCCGCUAUUGGUUACUGACCGAAGACGUGUCUCGGUCAUGUCUACAUUGUUCUCGAACCCGUAGGGUCCGCGCGCUUAAGGUUACGAUGACAGUUAUAUUAUGAGUUUAUACAUUUUGAUGUACCAAAGUUUGUUCGGAGUCCUGGAUGUGAUCACGGACAUGACGAGGAGUCUCGAAAUGGUCGAGACAUAAAGAUUGAUAUAUUGGAAGCCUAUGUUUGGAUAUCAGGAGUGUUCCGGGUGAAAUCGGGAUUUUAUCGGAGUACCGGGAGGUUACCGGAACCCCCCGGGAGGUAUAUGGGCCUUAGUGGGCCUUAGUGGAAGAGAGGAGAGGUGGCCAUAGAUGGGCCACACGCCCCUCCCCCCCUUGGUCCGAAUAGGACAAGGAGAGGGGGCCGGCCCCCCUUCCUCCUCUCUCUCCUCUUUUCCCCCCUCCGCGAAUCCUAUUCCAACUAGGAAAGGGGGGGAGUCCUACUCCCGGAGGGAGUAGGACUCCUCCUGGCGCGCCUCCUCUUGGCCGGCCGGCCCCCCUUUAAGCCUUUAUAUACGGAGGCAAGGGGCACCCCUAGAGACACAAGUUGAUCCACGUGAUCAUAUUCUUAGCCGUGUGCGGUGCCCCCUUCCACCAUAGUCCUCGAUAAUAUUGUAGCGGUGCUUAGGCGAAGCCCUGCGACGGUAGUACAUCAAGAUCGUCACCACGCCGUCGUGCUGAUAGAACUCUUCCCCGUCACUUUGCUGGAUCGAAGUCUGGGGAUCGUCAUCGAACUGAAGUGUGCUAGAACUCGGAGGUGCCGUAGUUUCGGUGCUUGAUCGGUCGGGCCGUGGAGACGUACGACUACAUCAACCAGCUUCCGUUGUCGAUCUAGAAGGGUACGUAGAUCACACUCUCCCCCUCUCGUUGCUAUGCAUCACCAUGAUCUUGCGUGUGCGUAGGAAUUUUUUUGAAAUUACUACGAAACCCAACACUAGGCUCGUCAACACCCGUUGUAUUCGAACGUUAGAAUCUAUCACACCCGAUCAUGACGUGGUGCUUCGAAACAACGAACCUUCGCAACAGUGCACAGUUAGGGGGAACACUUUUCUUGAAAUUUUAGUGAGGGAUCAUCUUAUUCAAGCUACCGUCGUUCUAAGCAAAUAAGAUGUAAAACAUGAUAAACAUCACAUGCAAUCAAAUAGUGACAUGGUAUGGCCAAUAUCGUUUUGCUCCUUAUGAUCUCCAUCUUUGGGGCUCUAUGAUCAUCGUUGUCACCAGCAUGACACCAUGAUCUCCAUCAUCAUGAUCUCCAUUAUCGUGUCUUCUUGAAGUUGUCUCGUCAUCUAUUACUUCUACUACUAUGGCUAACGCUUUAGCAAUAAAGUAAAGUAAUUACAUGACGUUUAUGUUGACACACAGGUCAUAAAUAAAUUAAGACAACUCCUAUGGCUCCUACCGGUUGUCAUACUCAUCGACAUGCAAGUCGUGAUUCCUAUUACAAGAACAUGAUCAAUCUCAUACAUCACAUAUAUCAUUCAUCACAUCCUUUUGGCCAUAUCACAUCACACGGCACAUGCUGCAAAAACAAGUUAGACGUCCUCUAAUUGUUGUUGCAAGUUUUUACGUGGCUGCUAUAGGUUUCUAGCAAGAACGUUUCUUACCUACGCCAAAACCACAACGUGAUAUGCCAAUUUCUAUUUACCCUUCAUAAGGACCCUUUUCAUCGAAUCCGAUCCGACUAAAGUGGGAGAGACAGACACCCGCUAGCCACCUUAUGCAACUAGUGCAUGUCAGUCGGUGGAACCAGUCUCACGUAAGCGUACGUGUAAGGUCGGUCCGGGCCGCUUCAUCCCACGAUGCCGCCGAAUCAAGAUAAGACUAGUAACGACAAGCAAAUUGACAAUAUCCACGCCCACAACUGCUUUGUGUUCUACUCGUGCAUAGAAACUACGCAUAGACCUAGCUCAUGAUGCCACUGUUGGGGAUCGUAGCAGAAAAUUAAAAAUUUCUAUGCAUCACCAAGAUCAAUCUAUGGAGUAAUCUAGCAACAAUGGGAAGGGGAGUGCAUCUACAUACCCUUGUAGAUCGAUAAGCGGAAGCGUUCAAGUGAACGGGGUUGAUGAAGUCGUACUCGUCGUGAUCCAAAUCACCGAUGAUCCUAGUGCCGAACGGACGGCACCUCCGCAUUCAACACACGUACGGAACGGAGACAUCUCCCACGCCUUGAUCCAGCAAGGAGGAGGGAGAGGUUGAGGAAGAGAGUCCAACAGCAGCACAACGGCAUGGUGGUGAUGGAGUGGCAGUUCUCCGACAGGGCUUCGCCAAGCUCACGCGGAGGAGGAGAGGUAUUGGAGGGGAGGGGCUGCGCCAGGUUCAAGGGUGUGGCCGCCCUCCCACCCCUCCACUAUUUAUAGGUGGCGAGAGAGGGGGCCGGCCCCCUUAGAUCCCAUCUAGGGUUGGGGGUGGUGGCCAAGGGGGGGAGGAAUGCCUCCCAAGUCAAGUGGAGGCCCUCCCCCUUAGGGUUUCCCCUCUCCCAUGCGCAUGGGCCUUGGGGGGGCUGGUGCCCUUGGCCCAUUAAGGUUAGGGCGCCCCCUUACAGCCCAUGCUGCUGUAUUGGACGUGGUGGAACAUUUUCCAGACCUCCGGAAUCCUCCGGAACCUUCCGUAAGCUUCCCGGUACAAUACCGGAAAAAACCGAACUUUUCCCGGAACCCGAACAACAACUUUCCAUAUACAAAUCUUUACCUCCGGACCAUUCCGGAACUCCUCGUGACGUCCGGGAUCUCAUCCGGGACUCCGAACAACAUUCGGUAAUUACAUACAAGUCUUCCUAAUAACCCUAGCGUCAUCGAACCUUAAGUGUGUAGACCCUACGGGUUCGAGAACCAUGCAGACAUGACCGAGACAACUCUCCGGCCAAUAACCAACAGCGGGAUCUGGAUACCCAUGUUGGCUCCCACAUGUUCCACGAUGAUCUCAUCAGAUGAACCACGAUGUCGAGGAUUCAAUCAAUCCCGUAUUCAAUUCCCUUUGUCCAGCGGUAUUGUACUUGCCCGAGAUUCGAUCGUCGGUAUCCCGAUACCUUGUUCAAUCUCGUUACCCGCAAGUCUCUUUACUCGUUCCGUAACACAUCAUCCCGUGAUAAACUCCUUGGUCACAUUGUGCACAUUAUGAUGAUGUCCUACCGAGUGGGCCCAGAGAUACCUCUCCGUUACAUAGAGUGACAAAUCCCAGUCUCGAUUCGUGCCAACCCAACAGACACUUUCGGAGAUACCUGUAGUGAACCUUUAUAGCCACCCAGUUACGUUGUGACGUUUGGCACACCCAAAGCACUCCUACGGUAUCCGGGAGAUGCACAAUCUCAUGGUCUAAGGAAAUGAUACUUGACAUUAGAAAAGCUUUAGCAAACGAACUACACGAUCUUGUGCUAGGCUUAGGAUUGGGUCUUGUCCAUCACAUCAUUCUCCUAAUGAUGUGAUCCCUUUAUCAACGACAUCCAAUGUCCAUGGUCAGGAAACUGUAACCAUCUAUUGAUCAAUGAGCUAGUCAACUAGAGGCUUACUAGGGACAUGGUGUUGUCUAUGUAUCCACACAUGUAUUUGAGUUUCCUAUCAAUACAAUUCUAGCAUGGAUAAUAAACGAUUAUCAUGAACAAGGAAAUAUAAUAAUAACCAAUUUAUUAUUGCCUCUAGGGCAUAUUUCCAACACGCAGGGGUGGGACUGAACUCAAUAGGAAUAGCACCAGGAGCUAAGGGAAGAGCACUGAACUCAUGGAAGUUGACCGCCAUCUACGCAUGAAGCAGUGGUUAAUGGUAACCGCAAUAAGACUAUAUGUAGCAAACAAAUGCAACAAUCAAUGCAGCAAGCAAGGGCAACAACCAGACCCUAUGCUACCGUUUUCUAAUGUUCCAGCGGACUAGGAUACUUUACAACCAGACCUGCUCUGAUACCAAGCAUUGUGGCACCCCGGCUCAGAGAAAACCGGAACGCCCCGUAUUCCAGCCCAGAGAUCAAGGUGAAGUCUUCUAGAAUACGACACUGCUUAGAAUAGAACAAACCAGCUCUCUAUUACAACACAAAUAUGAAUACACGGGUUCCGAUAUUACAAUGAAUAACAUCAGCACGGUGACACUACGCCAACCACGGUUGCUCUAUACAAGCAGCAUAGCAACUCGAAGCAGCGGAACAACUACUGGCAGCGGAACAACGAACGGCGAUGAUGGACUCCAAUCCGUAGGGACUCUGGCUAGAAUGUUUAUCCUAGCUCGCGAACACAGGAACAACACCAAACAAGCAAGCAAUCUAGGCACGACCUGCAAGCUGGCAUGACACGCCAGGUCAGUACAUUGAAUGUACUUGCAAGCUCACCAUAACCAGAAGCAUUCAAGACAAACAACAGCACGGAAAUUACAGGUUAAGCAGGAAUUAUCAUGUGAUCAUCAAAAUAACAUGGCAUGAACAACAUGAACAUAAUACUGCUAGAACAAUAUGAUCAUGGCAAGAACAUAUAAAUCUAAUGAUACUAGCAUGCAACAUGAUGACACUACAUGCACCAUUUAUGCUGCUCGGGUUACCUCGCAACCAGCACAUGCAUCACUUACCAACCUCGGACAUCACACGAUCAUCUCAGGAUCAAAUCAAGCUUGGUAUAAACAAUGCCAUAGUAAUCAGUAAAUGACCACAAGGAGCUUGAUCUUUUCCCAUGAUUCUCGCACAACAUCACGAAUAUCCAACAACUCGGUAUCCUCGAUACCACGGUGAUCAUUCCGGCGAUCACAACCAUGACCAACACUUGGUAUCAAACCGUGAUCCUUCCAGCGAUCACAACCAACUUAUCUCAAAUAGUGGUCCUUCCGGCGAUCACAACCAACUUAUUUCCUCAUCGAACCAGGGUUGUUAUUAUGCACAUUAUUAUUAAGGCCGUUGACUCAUGGUGGGACCAACACGAACUUGGCCCUUAUCCGCGGGCGCGGCUAUCAAUAGAUUUAAUAUACACUCUGCAGAGGUAGUAAACUGUACCCACACUACGGAACCCAUGAUCUCGCACUCCCAUACGUGCGGACAUGGCGUUCCGACAGAACCGAUCUACUGCCAUGACACUCUCCCGGCCACUCCGACCAACUCCCCUUUGGGCUAGGUCCUGGGUGGACCCGUGCCUACUAACGACACCAACGGCCACCGUCGUGGCGAAACGGUCCCAAACGGGGACGAGGAUCCAUACUCAACAACAACGGGCACACAAGGUUAUGUCCGCCUACCUGAUCAGGGUAGCGCGCGCCUAUAACCUUCCCUCGUUGGAGGCACCAGCGAGAGGCACGACAAUAGACCCAGUUACGACCUUCCCAUAAAGGUAAGCGUGGUUGCACUGGUCAGUUUCGAUAUGGUGGCACCAUGACUCAGCCAAUAGUUGUUCAAGUUCAAUUUAAUCCGGUUAAACUUGAAUGCAAUAUGCCGAGCCAUGAUAAAAUAACAUGAUGCAAUUACAAUGCAUGAGCAUGAUAUCAACAUAAUCAUGAGAGAACCACAUAACUAUCCACCAUAUCAACAACGAAUUAUAUCCAACUAAACAUGGCAUACUGACUAGCAUGAACCUCAUAAGUACAUACUACUCAUUGAAACCUAGCAUGAACACUAGCAUCAACAAUAAAUAUCAUGCAAGACAUAUCAAUAAAGCUACCAUGCAAUCAUUUAACCAACUGGAUGCAACGGAACAUGCCUAACAACGGUACUCGGGAUAGACGACAGUCAUGCACCGAAGACCAUCACCACUAUCAACAUAUACUACUAGCAAGCAUAAGCAUAAAGAAUACUAGCAACUAGCAGGGCAUGACAACCAAGUGCAUAACAACAUAGAAAGUAAGUAGGCAUGAACCCAUAAGCGUUACCGAAACAACUAUAACCAUAUUUUAAGCAAACAAACAUUUAAUAAAUAUUCAAGUUAAAAACCAUGGCUACUACAUGACUAUCAUGCAAGUGGGUAUUGUGGCUUUCCUGGGGAUGAAGAAGGCAUCGAGAAGAAGUGCGGUGAAACCGUGAAACGAAACGUCGGACGAUACGUUCUCGGAGGGGGCUGAAUAGAGGCAAGGGAAAAAUGGUCAUUUUCACUGUGAGAACACCUAGUGAAAAUGUUAGCGAAAGAUAGAGCUCGACGAGACGAAGAAGCGAGCGUUGGUUUCACCUCAAUCGGAGUUACGGUUGAAAAGUUGUAAAGGUCGGAAGAACAUGGACUAAUAUGUGAAGAAUUUAUCACAAACAGGUCCCUGACGAGGAAAAACAGAACACGCCUUCGCCCAAAUUACGUUUUCUGUGAAGGGAAACGUAUUUUCAGCCGCAAUAGAUAGAGAAUACGCUUUUCCAAAACGGAAACGUAUUUCCAGAAAAACGUCUCCACUUAUCCACGUGUACUAGGGGGAGGGGAGGCUUACUGGUGGGGUCCAUGCGUAGGGGGAGGGGCCAGGCGAUCGUCGUCUUCCUCCUCUUGCCGCGCCCCGACUAAAACAGAGGAGGCAGGGGCUGGCCCGCGAUGCCGGUGAUGACCUGGUCAGCUCAGGCCACCUCAGGCGAAGGCGGGAGCACCGGUGGCUUCAGGGCAGAGUGUCGCACCCAUCCCGGGGGAAAGGAAGCGCCGGAGAUGAGCGGGAGAGACGGUGCCAUGAGGGGAACAGAGAGGCGCUGGCGGUGAUGGUGGAGAUGAGCGCGAGGCCCUGGUGGCUCUGGCGACAAACGGAGGAGGUGGGGAGGAUUGUGGAUGAGUUGGGAGUGUGAUGGCGGCGUCGGGAGAGAUGGAGGAACUCCGGAUGGGGGGGGGCGACGAGGCGACCGAGAGGCACGGGCGGCGGCCGGACGAGGAGCACGCGACCAGAGGGUUUUCCGACGAAGGGCGAUGUGGUGGGGUGAACAGCGGUGAUGAGGAGGCUCUGGUGGACAGCUCGGGAGGAGAGGAGAGGGGCUGUGGUGGUCGGAACCGAGACCAACUCCGGCGAGGUCACGGGGAUCCGUGGAAGAAACGACGAUGGAGAGCUGCUCGGGUGGGCAAAAGAGGCAGGAGAGGAGUGAGUGAGGACCGGGGGACCUCGGGCAUGCCUUAUAUAGCCCGGGGAGGCUUCUCGAGCUCAUAGCCGAGCUAGAGCAGUGCACUAAUGAAGGUCAGAUGAGGGGCAUGGAACGGGCACUGCUCUAGCGGCACAUUUAUGGCGAACCACUACGAGGCACUGAUGCAGGGCGACGCAGUCGAUCACGGGGAAGCUCCAAGACAUGAAUUGAGGUCGAGACGAGGAGGGAGGAGACGAGGAUAGUGGCCGGAACAAGCCAGAGCAUGCCUGCAGCCAUGAUGCUAGCGCACGCGCACUGGCGCAAGCGGCGCUCUUUGGCGUGGCCAACCAUGUCCAGUAGAUGGACCUUGGGGCCCUCAGUCAAAAUGAGGAAAUAAAUUGGUCCAGGGGCAAACAAGAGAUUUGCACUUACCUCCAAAAGUAAAUCAGUAAGAAGGUGUUUGUAACUUGUUGUGGUUAAACCAGCUGGGUAACAAGGUAAAGAGUUUGUCUAGCGAUGAUCACACACUAAGGUGAUGCUGAUCAACAAAAAUCAGACUAAGAGGAGGAUUUUAGAUGGUGGUUGCAGUAGAAAGUGCAAUACUGGCCUGAAUUGGGGAUUUAGGUGAUACACUCACAUACUUGAUCUCUGUGAGCUGCAAUUUGUCAGAGAGGGGUUAUAUGAUGAUAUGAAGCUACUGUAAAAAAUUCAUGCCAUUUGGAAAUACCAAAGUGGCACUUGCUUCACAAAGCUUCAUUCUGGACAGAAACUUGGAAAAAUUACACAGGGUAAUUGGAUUAACCAAUUUAGGUAAUAAUAGGGGGGGGGAGUAGUUUAUAUAGGUAUAAGCAUGUCCUAGUAAAUUUUCAGCUCAAUUGAAGCAAUAUAAAAUAUAGUUGCUUCACAAACUGAAAAUCUGACCAGAAACUAAGAUUUGGAGCUGGGCUCACAUAGAUGAGUUACAUGAGCUCAUAUUUGGUGGAUAGUCAUUAUUUGACCAUAUGCAAGACCCUGAAAAAUUUCAACUCAUUUGGAUAUUCCUAGAAUAUAGCUCCUUCACAAAGUUCCUUCCUGGACAGAAACUUUGGAAAAUUGCUGAAAAAUAUUUACUAGGCAAAUUGAGUUGAAUUUUUGGCAUGAGCCAAUGAUAUGGACAGGAAAAAGUGUCCAAGAAGUUUGGGGUCAAAUGGGAAAAGAUAAAUAGCACUUCCUUUGCAAAGUGCCAUUCAGGACAAAAUAGGAAAAGAAUUAUUGGAGGAUUAUUUUUGAACAUGGAAAUGAAAUAUUUUGCCAUAUUUGCGGAAGAUAUGACCCAAACAAUUUGUGAGAAUUAUUUGGGAAUUUCAGGAGUGACGGAAAUAUAGGUUGCUUCGCAACCUAGGGUUUUAAGGGUUAUUCCUUUAUCAGAAAAGUAAUAUUACCAACAAAAGAAUUUUGGGUUAGGUCAAGGAUGGAAAUGAGAUGAUCUUGAGAUGAUGAUGAGGGUGAAAAGCUACUAGAAAACCUAGGAAGACAUGAUCUUCCCAAGUUUCAGACCCUCAUAGCCAUGGAAAAGCAAAUCAAAACAGGAAAUCCCAAAAAAUCAAAGUAAAAAAGAAAAGGGCAAAAAUACAGGCUGUUACAGCUUUGACACUGAUCCGAACGAUUCUAAAUCGCAAACCGGAUACGUGUUUGUAUUGAACAGUGGAGCUGUCAGUUGGAGCAGUUCUAAACAGAGCAUCAUGGCGGGAUCUACAUGUGAAGCGGAGUACAUUGCUGCUUCGGAAGCAACAAAUGAAGUAGUCUGGAUGAAGGAGUUCCUAUCCGAUCUAGGUGUCAUGCCUAGUGCAUCGGGUUCAAUGAAAAUCUUUUGUGACAAUACUGGUGCAAUUGUCUUGGCAAAGGAAUCCAGAUUUCACAAGAGAACCAAGCACAUCAAGAGACGCUUCAACUCCAUCCGGGAUCAAGUCCAGGUGGGAGACAUAGAGAUUUGCAAAAUACAUACGGAUCUGAAUGUCGCAGACCCGUUGACUAAGCCUCUUCCACGAGCAAAACAUGAUCAACAUCAAGGCUCCAUGGGUGUUAGAAUCAUUACUGUGUAAUCUAGAUUAUUGACUCUAGUGCAAGUGGGAGACUGAAGGAAAUAUGCCCUAGAGGCAAUAAUAAAGUUAUUAUUUAUUUCCUUAUAUCAUGAUAAAUGUUUAUUAUUCAUGCUAGAAUUGUAUUAACCGGAAACAUGAUACAUGUGUGAAUACAUAGACAAACAGAGUGUCACUAGUAUGCCUCUACUUGACUAGCUUGUUUAUAAAAGAUGGUUAUGUUUCCUAGCCAUAGACAUGAGUUGUCAUUUGAUUAAUGGGAUCACAUCAUUAGGAUAAUGAUGUGAUUGACUUGACCCAUUCCGUUAGCUUAGCACUUGAUCGUUUAGUUUGUUGCUAUUGCCUUCUUCAUGACUUAUACAUGUUCCUAUGACUAUGAGAUUAUGCAACUCCCGUUUACCGAAGGAACAUUUUGUGUGCUACCAAACGUCACAACGUAAGUGGGUGAUUAUAAAGGUGCUCUAUAGGUGUCCCUGAAGGUACUUGUUGAGUUGGCGUAUUGCGAGAUUAGGAUUUGUCACUCCGAUUGUCGGAGAGGUAUCUCUGAGCCCACUUGGUAAUGCACAUCACUAUAAGCCUUGCAAGCAUUGUAACUAAAGAGUUAGUUGCGGGAUGAUGCAUUACGGAACGAGGAGAGAGACUUGCCGGUAACGAGAUUGAACUAGGCAUUGAGAUAUCGACGAUCGAAUCUCGGGCAAGUAACAUACCGAUGACAAGGGAACAACGUAUGUUGUUAUGCGGUUUGACCGAUAAAGAUCUUUGUAGAAUAUGUAGGAACCAAUAUGAGCAUCUAGGUUCCGCUAUUGGUUAUUGACCGGAGACAUGUCUCGGUCAUGUCUACAUAGUUCUCGAACCUAUAGGGUCCGCACGCUUAAAGUUCGGUAACGAUCGGUAUUAUGAGUUUUUGUGUUUUGAUGUACCGAAGGUAGUUCGGAGUCCCGGAUAUGAUUAUGAUCACAAACAUGACGAGGAGUCUCUAAAUGGUCGAUACGUAAAGAUCGAUAUAUUGGACGACUAUAUUUGGAUACUGGAAUGGUUCCGGGUGAGAUCGGGGAUAUACCGGAGCACCGGGAGGUUUUCGGAACCCCCCGGGAGGUAUAUGGGCCUUAUUGGGCUUUAGUGGAACGGAGGGGAAAGGAGCAAGGGAGGUGGCGCCCCCCAAGCCCAAUCCAAAUUGGGAAGGGGGCCGGGCCCCCCUUUCCUUCCUCCCUCUUUCCUCUUCCUUCCCUCUCCUACUCCAAGUUGGAAAGGGGGGAAUCCUACUCCCAGUGGGAGUAGGACUCCCCUUGGCGCGCCUCUCCCUGGCCGGCCGCCUCCCCCCCUUGCUCCUUAAUAUACGGGGGCAGGGGGCACCCCAUAGACACACAAUUGAUCAUUGUUCCCUUAGCCGUGUGCGGUGCCCCCCUCCACCAUAAUCCACCUCGAUCAUAUCGUAGCGGUGCUUAGGCGAAGCCCUACGUCGGUAGCAUCAUCAUCACCAUCACCAUGCCGUCGUGCUGACGAAACUCUCCUGUGAAGCUUUGCUGGAUCGGAGCUUGCGGGACGUCAUCGAUUUGAACGUGUGCAGAACUCGGAGGUGCCGUGCGUUUGGUACUUGGAUCGGUCGGAUCGUGAAGACGUACGACUACAUCAACCGCGUUGUGCUAACGCUUCCGCUUUCGGUCUACGAGGGUACGUGGACACACUCUCCCCUCUUGUUGCUAUGCAUGACCAUGAUCCUGCGUGUGCGUAGGAUUUUUUUGAAAUUACUACAUUCCCCAACACGGAUUAAAUGUGUUGGCGGGUUGGAGUUAGCCUUACACAACUAGAGAAGCAAGCUCAGGCCCGUCAUUUCUCUUCUCACUAGUAGAAAAACGGCCAUCUGUCCCGGUUAGGGAACUGGGACUAAAGGAUUGUUACUAAAGCCCUAAACCUUUAGUCCCGGUUCUUACACCAACCGGGACAGAUGGGCCUCCACGUGCCCACUGCGGCUUGCCCUGACAGGGGGGCCUUUUGUCCCGGUUGGUAGCACCAACCGGGACCAAUAAGCUACCACGCGUCAGCAUUUCAGGGGCUAGGGUUUUUGUUUUUUUCUGAAGGGGGGGGGGGUUGGGGGUUUUUGUAUGGUUAAUUUUGGGUGUUUCAUAUAUUGUGUUAGGUAGCUAAUUAAUUAAUAGAGAGAAGUGUCCUCUCUUAUCGCCGUGCUUGGUCGACGCUAGCUAGUAAGCAAAUGAAGGAAACAAUUAAGUACAGAAGUUUGUCAUGAACAUAUUCAUACAGAGAGAAGUGCUAUCGACCUCUCCUUCUCUGAGAGAUUGGUCGAACAACAAGUUUUGGUAUAUCUAUCCGGCGCUACUGGCUACAUAUAUACAAUAUUAAGAUCUCUUACAAUAUAAUCCCCUAAUUAUAUAUGAACUCAGCUUCCAGAUGGUAUUCUCCAGCUUUAUUGAUGACGUGAUCAAGAAAGAACCCCGCCAAUUCCUCUUGAAUUGCUUUCAUGCGAUCUUGUGGUAGGAGUUCAUCCCGCAUCUGCCACAUCUAAUUUGAAGAAGGGGGUCAAUACAUAUAUAUGAAUGGAACUUAACACAAAUGAUGGUAAUAAAAUGAAAUUGUGAAUAUUAUUGCUUACGCACAUCAAAUUGUCUUUUAGAGUAGCCCCGGUUUUUUUGCAAGUCGUGUUGUAGAUGAACUCGCAAACGUAGUAUCCAUAGUAAUCAUUCCCUUGUUCCUGCCACAAGCACUUUACGAGAAAAAGAGGUCAAUCAAACUGAUAAUGAAGCAUUAUAAGUGGCAUUGAUGAAAGUAGCUAGAAUCAACGGGAUUGAGAUGCCACUACAAAAAAUACACUUCUGUGAUGAUACGUGUUUGUCACAGCAGGUCACGUUUUUUGUCAUGCAUGUACAUCCAUGACAAAUUUAUGACAGAAUCAAGAUAGUCAUACCUGUGCUGUCGUAGAAGUGUUCCAUGACAUUACCAAAAUUAUCAUCAUGGAAGUGUCCACUUCCAUGACGAUAAAUCGCGCGUCACAGAAGUGCUUUCGUCAAGGGUGACUGACACGUGGCAUCCACCGUAACGGAACACCAUUAAGUUAUCGGGUCGGGUUUUGGAUCCGAUAACCCGUUAACAGCCCCGGCCAAUGGGAAAUUUCCACGUGUAAAAUUCUUAUUGGCCGGACGAAACACGUGUCAGCUCGUCAGUGGGUCAGAUAGGCGCCUAUGAUACGUCGACAUGUGGCACGGCCCAACAGAGGCACAUUCCUAUGAAAAGGCCGGCCCGUUUGACUUGGUCAAAAGGUGGCGGGUCGGCCCAUGGAAAGCCUGUUAACGGCCUAUUCGCAUAUAGCCCAUUUACAGCUCGCUAACCCAAGGCCUCUUAUGCCCUAUCCGAAUUAGGCCCAGUAGAGUCAUCUGGGCCAUCCAAUAUGAUUCCAGCCCAUUUUCACUUCUGGCCCAUGUAUGGCCCAUGACGUCUUUCGGCCCAUAUGAGGCCCUAUGUAACUCUUGGCCUAUUAACGGCCCAUGGUGAAACUGGCCCGUAAUGAACAGUGUAUCACUUUACACCCAUUAACGGCCCGUGGUGAAACUGGCCUGUAAUGAACAGUGUAUCACUUUAUACCCAUUAACGGCCCGUUAUUCCGUUGGGCCGUUUCCAGCCCAUGUUAUCUUUCAGCCUUCUCAGAGCCCAUUUAUUCUUGGGCUCAUUUCUAGCAUUCGUUUACUUACGGCCCGUUACUGUCAUUUUCUGCUUGUGGGCCAAAUUCAGCCCGUGGUUACAGUCGGCCCGUUUGUGGUCCGUUAAUACGUUGGGCCGUUUUCAUAGUGUCAUCAAAUAUGGCCUAUUAACGAUGGCCCGUUAUGGUCGGCCCAUGAAUGGACGAUUUCAACUCUAGCCCGUUUACGGCCAUAAUGCGGACUGUUAUUGGCCCAUGUUUGGCCAAUCGAUCAUACGGCCCGUAUAAGGCCCAUUGAUGAUACGGCCCGUGGAAGGCCCAUUGUUUCUACGGCCCGUAGAAGGCCUACUGUUUCUACGGCCCGUAGAAGGCCCACUGUUUCUACGACCCGUAGGAGGCCCAGUGUCACUAAAGUAAAUAUUAGCCCAUGGUUAUUGUGGCCUAGUUUUAAAAAAUAGGUUAUUGCAGCCACUAGUUAACCGCGGGAAAAGAACUGCAAUGACUACAAGCAAACAAAUAAACAAGAAAACAAGGAAAUAAAUAAGCAAGCAACUAACACUAGGCUAUCACGGCUAUUACACAUAUUACAUCCACUGGGCAUCAAAUUUCGCCACCAGUGCAAAUAUAGGGAACAAAGCAGCAUAUCAUAUACACUGGUUGUCAAAAUUGGCCACCAGUGCAAAUAAACGCGGCAGCAAAACAAGAGCAUAACUGAAACAACUUCAGAAGAGCUCAAGAAAUGUUAUCCUGGGUAUCCACCAUGCUGGCAAUAAGCUUAGCAAGCUGAUUAGCUUUGUCCUGUUUGGCGCUAAAAUCCUCCAACGCUUGCUGUUGCACUAGAAAGUAUGCAUCUGAAUGCUCCAGGGACUUACGCAGUCCUUCCGCUUCUUGUCUCAGCACAGCUGAUCGAUGUCUUUCAACUUGUAGUUGAGACUCAAGAAACCGAACUGAUUCAGACAGUGAGUUUGAAUAGCUUGUGCAAGCGGUAGUGGCCAGUAACUCCAACACUAAACCAAGACAGGAUGUGUCACUAUCCUGAACCUUAUCUGCAUUACUUCCUUUACCGUUGCUUAAUAAGGCACUCUUCCCCAAUAUUCUGUCAGCAUUCUAAAAGAAGAAACAAGCAGACACAUAACAAGUUUAGCAUGUACUAGUAUAUGGAACUCAUUUCGGUGAACCAGUUCAUUAGUAAGGUGGAUAGGAUUAAACUACCAAGUCAUCUAUUGCCAAGUACUAGUACAUAAUAAAAGCAUCAAACAAACAUAUAUCUAUGUCCUAUGGUAGCAAUGGAAUCUUAAAUUAGAAUAGUUGUUCUUCAGGUUUAGGCACUUGUUCUACAUGAAUAGAGUACAGUAAGACGCAAGAAUAUAAUACUUAAAAAUAGAAAAUGAGCUCAUAGACCUUACCACAUUCUUGGUUCGGGACCAGUACAGAACAAGGCGUUCCCAGUCAUCGUCCAGUAAAUGUGUCUCAGGAGAACGUAAGGGAAUUUGAUGAGUUUCUUUGCCGGUGAAGUACGUUUUCUUCAGGUAAUUCCGAUACUGCCACCAAGCAUUCUUGGAGAUAGCAGAGGUAUUAGCAUCGGUUACCUCAGCCUGAGUUUCCAAAUCGGUCCUUCUCUAUAGAGAAAAAUGGGAAAAUUUGCUGUAUUAUAACCAUCAUGGAGGUAGGAUGUAUGGGACGAAGCAAAGUAAUUGCCACGAAUAACAUUACUUACACAUAACUCCUGGACAAACAUCUGCAACUGGCAUUUUCCUUCAUCUUCAGUAUAAUAUUUCCAAGAUGGGAAGAUACGCACAUACGAUUUAACAACAAAAAAUGUGAUAGAUUGUAAACUACGACUAGCUGGUUGUGCUUCCUCCACAGGAAUAGGCGUACUAACUGGUGGAGUUGGGGUUCGCCGUGAUAGUACUGGCCCUUUGGGCACUGGAGCUGCCUUACUAACUGCUCUUGUUUGGGAGCUCUGUGGUGGAGAUGGUGCUGUGUCAACAGGAACUGGGUUACUUUCGGCUGGGGAUGGGGUUAGAUUGGGUGAAGCUGGUUCUCUGUCCAUCGUAGUAGGGGUACAAUUUGCGAGAGUUUGAGUUAUGUGUGGUAGGGCUGGUGUAGGAUCAAAAGUAUGUCUAGAGGGGGUGAUUAGGCUACUUGACCAAAUAAAAAUCUAGCCUUUUCUCAAUUUUAGUUCUUGGCAGAUUUUAGCUAUCUUAGCACAAGUCAAGCAAUCUCCACACAAUUCAAGCAAGCAUGCAAAAGAGUAUAUGAGCAGCGGAAAGUAAAGCAUGCAACUUGCAAGAAUGUAAAGGGAAGGGUUUGGAGGAUUCAAACGCAAUUGGAGAGACAGAUGUUUUUGUUGUGGUUCCAAUAGGUGGUGCUAUCGUACAUCCACGUUGAUGGAGACUUCAACCCACGGAGGGUAACGGUUGCGCGAGUCCACGGAGGGCUCCACCCACGAAGGGUCCACGAAGAAGCAACCUUGUCUAUUCCAUCACGGCCGUCGCCCACGAAGGACUUGCCUCACUAGCGGUAGAUCUUCACGAAGUAGGCAAUCUCCUUGCCCUUACAAACUCCUUGGUUCAACUCCACAAUCUUGUCGGAGGCUCCCAAGUGACACCUAGCCAAUCUAGGAGACACCACUCUCCAAGAAGUAACAAAUGGUGUGUUGAUGAUGAACUCCUUGCUCUUGUGCUUCAAAUGAUAGUCUCCCCAACACUCAACUCUCUCUCACAGGAUUUGGAUUUGGUGGAAAGAAGAUUUGAGUGGAAAUCAACUUAGGGAAGGCUAGAGAUCAAGAUUCAUAUGGUUGGAAUGGAAUAUCUUGACCUCAACACAAGUGUAGGUGGUUCUCUCUCAGAAAAUGUGUAUUGGAAGUGUAGGUAUGUUCUGAUGGCUCUCUCCAUGAAUGAAGAGUGGGUGGAGGGGUAUAUAUAGACUCCACACAAAAUCUAACCGUUACACACAAUUUGCCAAACUCGGUGGGACCGAAUGGUUAAACUCGGUCGGACCGAUUCAGCAAACAUAGUGACCGUUAGGAUUUUUGGUGGGACUAAGAUGCAACUCGGUAGGACCGAUAUGGUUAGGGUUAGGGCAUAACGUAAUCUCGGUGUGACCGAUUACACAAACUCAGUGGGACCGAUUUUGGUAAUAAGCUAACCAGAGAGUUGGUCAGGUAAACUCGGUGGGACCGAUUCGCUCAUCUUGGUGAGACCGAAAUGUUACAAAAGGGAAACAGAGAGUUUACAUUGCAAUCUCGGUGGGACCGAUCACUCAUCUCGGUAAGAUUGAAACGUUACGAAGGGAAACAGAGAGAUUACAAUCCCAUCUCGGUGAGACCGAUUUGCCUAGGGUUUGUGGCAGUGGCUAUGACAUUUGAAACUCGGUGGCGCCGGAUAGAAAGAAUCGGUGGGGCCGAGUUUGACUUUUGGUUUAGGUCAUAUGUGGAUGUGGGAAGGUAGUUGAGGAUUUUGGAGCAUAUCACUAAGCAUUUUGAGAAAGCAAGCCAUUAAGCAACACCUCAUCCCUCCUUGAUAGUAUUGGCUUUUCCUAUAGACUCAAUGUGAUCUUGGAUCACUAAAAUAUAAAAUGUAGAGUCUUGAGCUUCAAGCUUGAGCCAAACUUUUUGUCCUUAGAAUUUUGAGGGAUCCACUUUCCUCUUCCAUGCCAUGCCAUUCAUUGAGCUUUUCCUGAAAUAUUAAUCUUGGAAUAAUGUUAGCUCAAUGAGCUAUAUGUUGUUAGGAAUUACCAAAACCACCCAGGGAUAGUUGCACUUUCAAUCUCCCCCUUUUUGGUAAUUGAGGACAACAUAUAGAUCAAAGCUUCGACAAAUGAUAAUAAGAGUGAAAGAUAUUGUCGCUUUGAGAAGUAUGUGAAAAAGCAAGAGCUCCCCCUAAAUUUGUGCAUAUCUUAAGAUUUGCUUUGGACUGCAAAUGCACAAUGAGUUAGGAUCAUGUGUCACUCUUCCAUGUCACAUACAUCUUGGUGGAGCGCUCAAAAUAAUAAAGAUUGAAUACAUGCACUCAUCACCAAGCAAAGUGAAUGAUCAUAUAAGGAUAAGUAAGAUAAUAUCAUCUAACAAGCAUAAGUGUAGCUUAUGAUCAACCACAUGAUCAUCAAUGUCUCAUAGAUAAUAGCAUAGUAUCUCAAGCAAUCAAAAGACAAACAAAGUUCAACCACCAAAGCAAGAGAGAAUAAAAAGCAACGCUCUCUCUCGAACCUAUGAUCUAUACAUGUUUCUCCCCCUUUGGCAACAAGUUACCAAAAAGUUCAUAGAAAAUGCAUAGCACUAAAACGUCUCUCAAGCUUGGUCUUCAGGUGGUGGCGUAGAGAUGGUUCCUUGGACGAAGACUUCAGUUGAUGUGGAUGGAGCUAAAGGAGUUGGUGCUGAAGCUGGUUGCGCUGAAGCUAUAGCUGGUGCAGAUGAAGUGGCUCUGGUGUCUGGAACAGGCACUACAGCAGACCUCUGAGCUCUAGGCACUCUGGCAAAUGCAUCAAUGGUUGUCUUGCCCUUCCUCUCCUGCAUAUCAUCUUGAAGUUGCUCCACAACAGACUGAAUCUCAGUUACUUUCACAUCCAAGUCAUAGAAUUUUUGCUCCACGAUUCUUUCCAAGCUCUCCUGGUUUUGAGUCAGGGUGGCCAGUCCCUUCUCAAUCCUCAGAGUGGAUGCAAUCAGGUAGCCAAGCUGAUCUUGCUUGCUCUUCAGGAGAUACUGAGAUGCUUCUUCAGUAGUUGGCAUCCUUGCAGCCUUUUCAGCUUUGCCUUCUCCUUCUUGGCUUGUGCAUGCACAGAAGAUGGUUCACCCUCAUUCAUAACCACAAUGUUGUCCUCGAAGUCUGGAUAGAUAGGCAUGUGCUCCUUGUCCAGCAAAUAUGUACCAGUGCCCAUCUUAGAGUUGAUUAGCUCCUGGAUCUGUGGGGCAUACCCACAACUCCUCUUCUGAUCUGCAGCUGUCCUCUUGAUAGUUUCAACUAUUAGGCUCAUGACUUUGAACUUCUGUGGGACAUCAAAGAUGUGAAGCAAGUUAAUUGCAUGGCCUCUGAUCAUCUUGUGAUCACCUGACUUUGGCAAGAGAGUGUGCUUGAGGAUCCAGUUGAUGGUUGGCAAGCCUGACAGAAGGUAAUGUACAGAUCCAAACUUAUGUGUCUCAAGAGCAGCAUCUGGGAUCUCCUUGUACAUGUGUGCCAUUGUGUUGUGAUCCUUCUUCCUGUUGGCAUAGACAUCCAAGUCAUCUUCACUCUCUUUUGGGCAUUGAUCAACUUCGCCCAUUCAGCAACCAUGGACUGGUACCUCAUACCUUCAGACAUCCAAACAAUCCUUCCAUCUGGGUAGAAAUGAGCUGUGGAGUAGAACUGCAUGAUGAGCUCAUCAUUCCAUAUUGUGAGCUUCUGAGCCACAAACUCAUCGACUCCACAAGCCUUGAAACUAUCAUGCACACCUGGAUAGUGAUCCUCAUUCUCCUUUAUGUAGUCCCAGUCGACCCAUCUCAUGUCACACACUAUGGGCUUCUUGUCAAGCAACACUGUCUCAUAGAAGUCCUGCUGUUCCUUUGUGAGGAACCUGUAAUCAACAAUAGUCCUUCUCCUGGUGGCAUAUGGAUCAGACUCUCUCCAUAGCCUUAGACCCGAGUCCUUCCUUAUCUUCAUGUUCUCAGCUACUAGAUGAGCAUCAUUGUGAUCUGGAAUUUUGGGUUUGAGCUUCCUCAGGACUUGUCCUUCAUCAUCUUCAUUAGCAGUAACUUCAAGCACUGGGGCCUUGUUCUUCUCAGCAGCUGGUAUACUCCUGGUAUUCCUCUUAGGUGCACUCUUGGGCUUGGAGGCUGCUUUGGGUGCUUCUUUGGGCUUUGAUGUUGCAGCCCCUGACUUUAUAGCAUCACCCAUCAGCUUUUGUGCCUUGGGUGAUGGUGCAGCAACCUCUUCUUCCUCUUCCUCUUCAGAAUCUCUCAUGAUUGAGGAUCUCCCAAGCACUCUAGCAGUGGUCUUUUUGAUCCUCUCCUUCCUCUUCUUCCCUUCUGCAGCGGCCUCUUUGGGUUCAGAUCCCAAAGGGACUUGAGUAGAUGCUUUGGCCUUAGACAUUGAAAUUCUUUUUGUAGGAACCUUUUGCUUCAUGCCUGGCUUGGUGGCAGCAGCAGUGCUAUAUUCCUUCUUAACCACUUUCUUCUUGGAAGUGGCCUCAUCCUCAAUUACCACAUAGUCUUCAUCCUCAGAUUCAGAGGCCUUCUUCUUUCUGGCCCUGGUGGCAGCUUUGGGUAAGUUGCUUGGGGUUCUCCUACUACCAUCAUCUAAACUGCUAGAGGGACUAGUGCCCUCACUCAGGUGAACCUGCUCCUCUGACCUGUUCUGGCUGUCACUCUAAUCAUACAUAUUGCAAACACUAACAGCAGACCCUGUGAAUAGAUAUAGAUGAGAUAGAGUGGAUGAGAAUCACAAAAUGCAGAGGUUUUUGCAAAAGAAUUGAGUCAAAAAUUUAGUUUUAGUUUUCCACAGAAAGCAUUUCAGAUCAACCGAUUUGUAAACUCGGUGAUACCGAAGCAGUUGUUGGAACCUAAACUAGUGAACUCGGUCAGACCGAGUCACAGUUCGGUGGCACCGAGACUGCUAGGGUUUCACAAAGUCCUGAACUUGGUCACACCGAUUUGCAAUUCUUGGUCAGACCGAAAAUUACAUGUGCAAUGGCCUGAGCCGAAUCGGUGGUACCGAGUUCCACAACUCGGUGGGUCCGAGAUGGUUUCGGCGGAAACCUAACCCUAAAUUUUCAAUUCACGACUAAACUACGGAGUGUUUUGACGGGAUAAGAAUGAUCUCAAUCGUGGCAAGAUACAUGGCGGACACAAUGUGCUAGGAAUCAGAUAGGGAUAGCACAGUGAUCGAGUUCAUACCCUAGUUUGGCGAUGAACUCGCUACGGCGGCAAUGGCGGGGAUGAUUCCCAUUGACGGUGGCGGAGAACAGCGGCAGGAGGCGGCUGGCGACGAGGAAGACGAUCCGGAGACCCUGGAGGCGGAGCGAGCUAAGCGCGGGUCGAGGAGGUUCGGAAAGUUUUCCAAAAUUUUACCCGUGGGUAUAUAUAGCCUGACCCUGUCGGUGUGACCGAGUGGAACAACUCGGUGGCACAGAGAUUCAUAACUGCAAUUAGUUACUGAAACUCGGUGUGACCGAAAGGUUCAAAUCAGUUGCACCGAGAUUGAAAACCUAGAUCGACUUAGUGAUCUCGGUAUGACCGAAAUGGAUGAAUCGGUCAGACCGAAAUGCACAAAGAAGUUUUGGAAGUUUAAGUCUAUGAUGAAUCGGGGACUCCGAGUGCUCCUCACACAGAGUGGUUCGAAUCUGACUUGAUCAAAUUUUGUGAUGUAGCAUGAAUAGAGUUUGAGACGAGAAAAGCAUAGAUAGCUAGAGAGGGUUCUUAGGCAUUCUUGUCCAUCCACUUGGCAAAAGAAAAGAAAACCAAUCAAUCAAAACAACAAGUGGAUGUCCUCGAAUGAGUAAAAUAUGCAAUCAACAUGCUCACACAAUAAAAUGGCAAUUGAAAUAUGUGGCAAAGCAUGCACAACCAAUUCUAGCAUCUAUCAAACAAUUUGCGAUGACUAGGUCAUCUAUAUAUGAGUAUAUUGACUUAGGAGUCAAAUGAGAACAUUUGAUCAUAGGUCAUACUCAUCGUUUAAGCACAAGUGGGGUUACCACUUUUACAUAAAGCAUUGUUGUGUCCACACCAUUAGAGUUGCUUUAGCUCAAUUCUUAGAGUAAAGCUCCCCCUAGAUGUGAGAUCCACCCUGAGAGGGAUGAACUAACCUUGGGUUUUGUCGAUGAUGACUUCAUGUAGAUGUUGAAGAUGUGGAUGCUCAAUGUUGAUGUAGAUCAUUUGAAGCUAUCCAUUGGAGUGAGUUGCACUUUCAAUGCCUACACGGGUUAGUCCCACAAGGAACAAACAAGGAUAUCCAUAGACAUAAAGUGAUGCACACACAAGAUGAUGUCUAUGAAAGCUUUUAGGUUACCUUGUCCCUUGUCUUACCAACAAGAGGGUUUGUGACUCCUUGAACGAGUGCAAGAUGUGGAAGUUGAUUGCACUUGUUCUUGCCAAGAUGAUAAGAGUGAAGUAUGUUGGCGGAGUCACCCUCAAGAACUCUCUAGUUCUUCUUCUUCGGGAUCCACACCAUCUUGAUGGGAAUCCUCGGUGUUGUAGUUGUACUUGAUGAAGUGGAACUUGAAGUAGUCUUGGGAACCCACUUGACCAAGGCCUUAGGAGCUUCUUCAAAUGCAUCAAUUUCCUCUUGAAGCUUGUCCUUGCCUUUUUGCUUGUGGUCUUGUGGUGGAAGAUCAUCUUGAGCUUGUGUCCCUUUGAAAGAAGUAGGAUCAUACUUCUCUUGUUGAGGAACAAACGUCGUCUUGGGGUAUUGAUCUUCUUUCCACUCAACUCCAUUGGCAUUGAACUUUCGUUCAAAACCAACACCUUGAUUCUUCUGGUGCCUUCCUUGCUUGCGCACAAUUUCCUCGAAUUGCUUACUUUCGGCAAGGCUCUUGUAAACACCUUUCUCUAUAAUUCCCUUCAAUAAGCUAUUUCCUUGCUCCAGUGUAACUUGUCUAAGAGAAUCAUUAGUGGAAUCAAGAGAACUACUAGAAGCAACAAUAUUGGAUUUAGCAUGAUUAUUGAAAUCAUCAUCACCUAACAAGUCAUCUUCAUCACUAUUGAAAUCAACAUACUCGGGGUGUGAUACCUUUGGGCCUUUAGCCAUGAAGCAUGUUCCAACUCCUUCAUUUGGUGAGUCAAAUAAGUCAAAUAUGUCGUAGGAGUUGGUUGUCACAAGUGCUAGACCGACAACACCUUCAUCUUGAGUAUAUUCGGAGUCGGAGUGAUAGCUUCUCUCGGAGUGGUUGUCGGAGUCGGAGCCGGAUACCCAUUCACCAAUAUGAGCUUGAUGUCUUUGUUUUGUGUAGCUCCUUGAUGACUUGUCCUUUCUUUCCGAAUCCUUGCUUCUCCAUGAGGGUCUUCAUUCAUAACGAUCAUCUCUACUCCUUCUUUCUCUAGAUGGCGAUUCUUCUCUUCUACUUCUUCUCUUGGGAGAAUCUUCUCUUCUCUUGUAGGGGCCGUACACUCAUUGGAAUAGUGUCCGGGCCUUCCACAAUUGUAGCAGUUUUGCUCUCGACUAGAAGAUAUUUUGUCAUUGCAGGACCUUGACUUGGAGCUUCUCUCUUUGCUUCUACUCUUGUAGAACUUGUUGAAGUUCUUCACCAUUAAGUUCAAUUCUUCAUUGAAGGUUUGUUUCUCACUCGAUGAUGUGGGGGCUUCACAUGAGGCUUUGUAAGCACCACUUGAUUUGUUGUGAAGUUCCUCUUUAUCCUUGAGUGACAUCUCAUGAGCAACAAUUCUUUUGAUGACUUCCGUUGGCUUGAGAUCUUUCUAAUUUGGCAUCAUUCGGAUCAAUGUGCACACAGUAUCAUAUUUUCCAUCCAAGGCUCUUAGGAUCUUCUUGAUGAUGAAUCUAUCGGUCAUCUCUUCACUCCCUAAGCCGGCAAUCUCAUUUGUGAUAAGAGCAAGCCUAGAGUACAUUUCAGCAACACCUUCACCAUCCUUCAUUUUGAACUUGUCAAGUUGACUUUGAAGCACAUCCAAUUUGGAUUCCUUGACGGAGUCAGUACCUUCGUGCAUAUCAAUCAAAGUAUCCCAAAUUUCCUUUGCAUUCUCAAUACGGCUGAUUUUGUUGAAUUCUUUGGGGCACAAUCCGUUGAAGAGGAUAUCACAAGCUUGAGCGUUGUAUUGCAGCAUUUUCAACUCUUCCGCGGUGGUGCUAUCGUACAUCCACGUUGAUGGAGACUUCAACCCACGGAGGGUAACGGUUGCGCGAGUCCACGGAGGGCUCCACCCACGAAGGGUCCACGAAGAAGCAACCUUGUCUAUUCCAUCAUGGCCAUCGCCCAUGAAGGACUUGCCUCACUAGCGGUAGAUCUUCACGAAGUAGGCGAUCUCCUUGCCCUUACAAACUCCUUGGUUCAACUCCACAAUCUUGUCGGAGGCUCCCAAGUGACACCUAGCCAAUCUAGGAGACACCACUCUCCAAGAAGUAACAAAUGGUGUGUUGAUGAUGAACUCCUUGCUCUUGUGCUUCAAAUGAUAGUCUCCCCAACACUCAACUCUCUCUCACAGGAUUUGGAUUUGGUGGAAAGAAGAUUUGAGUGGAAAGCAACUUGGGGAAGGCUAGAGAUCAAGAUUCAUAUGGUUGGAAUGGAAUAUCUUGACCUCAACACAAGUGUAGGUGGUUCUCUAUCAGAAAAUGUGUAUUGGAAGUGUAGGUAUGUUCUGAUGGCUCUCUCCACAAAUGAAGAGUGGGUGGAGGGGUAUAUAUAGCCUCCACACAAAAUCUAACCGUUACACACAAUUUGCCAAACUCGGUGGGACCGAAUGGUUAAACUCGGUCGGACCGAUUCAGCAAACCUAGUGACCGUUAGGAUUUUCAAUGGGACUGAGAUGCAACUCGGUAGGACCGAUAUGGUUAGGGUUAGGGCAUAACGUAAUCUCGGUGUGACCGAUUACACAAACUCGGUGGGACCGAUUUUGGUAAUAAGCUAACCAGAGAGUUGGUCAGGUAAACUCGGUGGGACCGAUUCACUCAUCUCGGUGAGACCGAAAUGUUACAAAAGGGAAACAGAGAGUUUACAUUGUAAUCUCGGUGGGACCGAUCGCUCAUCUCGGUAAGACCGAAACGUUACGAAGGGAAACAGAGAGAUUACAAUCCCAUCUCGGUGAGACCGAGAUCCCUAUCGGUGAGACCGAUGUGCCUAGGGUUUGUGGCAGUGGCUAUGACAUUUGAAACUCGGUGGCGCCGGAUAGAAAGAAUCGGUGGGGCCGAGUUUGACUUUUGGUUUAGGUCAUAUGUGGAUGUGGGAAGGUAGUUGAGGAUUUUGGAGCAUAUCACGAAGCAUUUUGAGCAAGCAAGCCAUUAAGCAACACCUCAUCCCUCCUUGAUAGUAUUGGCUUUUCCUAUAGACUCAAUGUGAUCUUGGAUCACUAAAAUAUAAAAUGUAGAGUCUUGAGCUUCAAGCUUGAGCCAAACUUUUUGUCCUUAGAAUUUUGAGAGAUCCACUUUCCUCAUCCAUGCCAUGCCAUUCAUUGAGCUUUUCCUAAAAUAUUAAUCUUGGAAUAAUGUUAGCUCAAUGAGCUAUAUGUUGUUAGGAAUUACCAAAACCACCCAGGGAUAGUUGGACUUUCAGCUGGUUCUUGUGCAUGUAUAACCGGGGUGCUAUCUCCACCAAGAGGUAGCACUGUUUUAUUUGAAGACCGUGUUUUUAGUCCGCUAGAUACUGGCAUCACCCGCUCCAAUUCAAAUGGCUGAUAAACAGGAAACAUGGUUGAAUGUACAGACAUUGUAUGAGAGACAGAUGCAAUAUAUAGUGUGGAAAAAAGAGGGCAUGAAAUAUUUGACAUGUAUAUUGUUUAACUAAAACGGAUAGCAUGACAUAAUUUCACAUAUAUGAUGUCUAUCUAAACUAGAUAGCAUAGCAUAACAUAAUUCAAAGAUAUGAUGAAUAACUAAACAUGAUCGCAUGACAUAAUUCACCUACAUGUUAUCUAAGUAAUCAGGAUCACAUCAUUUAAUUCACAUAUGUGAUUUAUAUGCUAAAUAGAGGGCAUUCGAUAUGAUGUCUGAACUAAGAACAUGGUGUUGAAUAUUGUGUAUAUGAUGUCUAAACUAUGCAAUGCAAGACACUGUAUGCAUGAUAUGAGCAGUAUAACCGUGCCAAGUUAGAGCAUACACCUCAGUGGGGGAAUAGGACUGGUCAUCUGUCUCUGAAUCCAUCUCUGAGGAGCUAUCGGGACCCAACAAGAGAUCUGGUUCGACAGGUAGCACUGUCUGCUCUGAAGGCCUUGUUUUCACUCCAGAUUUUUCCAUCUCCCACCCAAAUGGUUGAUUCACAGGAAGAGUAGUUUAAUGUACAAACAUUGUCGACAAAUGGAAAUGUAAUGACGAAAAGGAUGGGCAAGAUAUCAUUCAAAUAUAUGAUGCCUGGUUAAACAGGAUGGCAUUGCACAUUUCACAUAUAUUAUGGCUGGCUAAAAGACAUGAGACUGCAUAAUUCCCAUAUAUGAUAUAGAAACUAAACAGGUGGCAUUAUAGAACAUGUCUAAACUAAGCAGAUGACAUAUAUGAUGUCAAAAGUAGGCACUGCAAGGCAAUAUAUGCAUGAUAUGACUAACAUCAUCAUGCCAAGGUAGAGCAAACACCUUGGAGGGUAAAUAGGAGUGGUGAGCGGCGUCCGAAUCCGCCUCAGAACAGAUAUCUUCCUCUGGAUUACAAUCUGGAGAGGGGUGGGGAGGGUUUGCCAUUGAACCCACCAUGGAGAGAUGUCUGCAUGACAUUGUAUUGCCGCGCAAAACUCUUCUCUUUUUCUCUACAUGUUCAGCAUGACUGUGUAUAAUAUUUGACAUGCAUACGAAAAAAAUAUGGUGAGAUUAUGUAAGGAGAGCAUGCAGAAAUUUAGAGUGAUGGUAACAACCAGUGGAUAGAUGUUUUCCCGUUGAACCAAAAUAGCCCUAAUGGAUCGACGUGAAUGUAUAGUAAUAAGUGAUGCAACAAGUGUACAACCUCUUUGCCGUAGCCGUGUCGACCUCAGCAUCAUUUGGUUGGUCGCUGAAGCAGUUGAGGCAGAGGUGGCUGUCGGAGGUGUGGAGGAAGAUCUGAGGAAUCUGUAGACGGCAUCCAGGGCACUGCUCUGUUGUGAUGGAUCGUUCUGUCGUUGGAGCAGCUCCGGUGAGCCGUAAGACGUCAAGGCUGAAGCAGCACAAGACAUACAUCGUCAAUCUCAAGUGGGAGUCUAAUAGCAUCUCCAAUAGAUGAUGUAAAUAGGAUGUAAAAUUAACAUCACCAAAAACCACCAGACUACAACAGAUGAGGUAAAAACUGUUGACUCUGAACUUAACUGUCGAAACUAAAAUUUACUGUGGAAUCUGAAUGCUACUAUCGAAACUAAACGCAAUGGUAGCAGAGAGGCACUUGACAUGUAGUUUAGGGAGGGCUUGCAGUUCAUCUUCAACCUGCACCCCCCUGAGCCGCCAGCCACCACCGGCCGAACCGCCAGCCCCAGUGCCGCCUCGCCGCCCCGAAACAACUCGCCACCGCCGCCCCGACCAGCCCUCUAGGUCCCCCGCCCCCACCCUGAACCCUAAGAUAGAUAGUGGGGUACCUCUCCGGUGAGCCCCCGUCCCCGCUGCGGGUGGUUCUUCCUUAACUCCGACGAGCCCCCCAACCCCUGAAAAUCGACUGACCCAAAAGUCGAUUCAGUCAACUGAAGUGUGGCUUAAUCGGAGCAGAGCAGCAGCACGAGCGAGGGGGAGAGCAGCAGCAGCAGCUGGGCGAGCGAGCAAUCGAGCGAGAGCCGGAGCAAUAGCAGCAGAUCCGUCUGGUAUGGCCGCCGCCGCCAAAGGGGCCUCGCACUGGGGGAGAGCCGCCAUGGAGAUGUCGGCCGCAACGCUGGCUUCAAGGUAGCCACUCCAUGGGGGUGCGGUAUGGAGCACCGUCGGUGCUGGGAGGUCGAGUUAAGGAGAAGGUGCGAUGCGAUGAGUGUACAACCUCUUUGGUGGCGCCGAGUAGGCCUCGGCUUCGUCCGAGGAGUCGGUGAGGAUGCUGCGGUUCCGGUGGAGCAGGUUAAGGUGGCGCUGUGGGGAUGGAGCAGCCGUGAUAGACGAGGCGAUCGUCAGAGAAGCUCCUUGGAGGUGGAGAACAGGGCGGCUGAACCGGCGGGACGGCGAGAUGGACGACGGAGCCUCAUCCGGGGAGGUGGACGAGGGAUGUCGAGCUGUUGCGGUGGAUGACGUCGUCGGGGAAGAGGCUCCGGCUGGGCAGUGGUGACGUGGCGGAUAGAGGAGGGUGGGGUUUCGCGGCUGGAGCGGAGAGUUUAUGGCGGCCUGGGAUUUCGAAUGGCGAAAAGGGGGCGAUGGGAGGGGGUGAAGCAUGACUUAGGAACGCGCUUGUCCAAAAUGUAGGGUGUGUUACAAAAGUACCCCCCACCGAUUUGAACUAGAGGCCCUUUCGGCUCACGGUUAGAAGGGGGAUUUCGCGUGUCGGGAUUUGGCAGCUGGAGGGAGUUUUCGCGCGCGUUGUAAUUUCAGGAUAGCAAGGCGCGGGUUGUGAAGGCGCCAGUUUUGGGAGCACGAUAUCUGAAUUUUUGGGAUAUAACAAGACGCGGGUUGAAUUUUAGGGACAAGCCUAACGUGCAGUUAUAUUGUACUUGUACGUACCAAAUCAAUUCGCACUUCCCUCAACCAAAAAGAAAACAAAAAUAAUAAAACUAUUCACACCACACAAAGAGAGAGUCUUGCCCCGUUUUACUAUACAAAUGCUAUUCAAAGCUACUCCCUCCUUCCAUCUAUAUAGGGCCUAAUGCGUUUUUCGAUGCUAGCUUUGACCAAAUAUUAGAGCAAUGAUAUAUGACAUGCAACUUACACAAAGCACACUGUUAAAUUUGUCUGUGAAAGGUUCUUUCAAUGAUAUAAUUUUCACAUUGUGCAUGUCAUGUACUAUUAAUCUUGUCAAUAGUCAAAGGCGGUCUUAAAAAUCUAAUUAUGCCCUAUAUAGAUGGAAGGAGGGAGUAUGAAUCCAUGUUAUGUCUGAUUAAAUUUUUUUGCUUGCUGUAUAAUGCAUGUAACCUACUCAUACCAACAUUUUAGUGCAUUCCAAAUGUCUAUACCAGCGCUGCAAUUCGAACUAAAUUUGAAUUCGUUUCUCUAUUUCAAUAAGAAUCUACAAUCAUGAUUGUUGCCAACUUCAACCAUCAUAGUUUCCUUGCAUCCGCCAGAUAUAAAUCAGACGGCCUAUAAUGCAGGAUGGCAGGCACACCAUCAUCAACAACUCCGUUUUUUAUAAGAGUAGAGAUAAAAUAUAUUAAAUGUAGUAUACGAUGUUCAUAACCACACCAUGUGUAUCACCAUUAUAUAUAUAUAUUCACACAUCCGUCGGUUUGAAACACUAUGAUAAAUUCUUCAAAUAUCUGAAUUCGCUUUUUAUAAUGAAGUAUAUAUGAUCUCUAUUCGUCUUUUACACCCACACAACCCUCUUAUCUUUGUAGCUAGCGCUAACUUUCUCUUGUGCAUGCACACGCCCGCAUCCCUCUCACCCUCCCUUAGCAUUCUCUAGCUCCAUCGCGCAAAUUUGUCUUUUCACUUUAGGUCGUUCACCCACGGUGUGUGUAGGCCCCCAUCUUCUUCUUUACGACACACAUCGAUCGAUAUGCCUCUCUAGCCAGGUGUGCCUAGCACAAACACAAGAUUCCCCUCUUCUCUUGUCACCGUCCAUGCCUCACUCCCACCACUCUUUUCAUCGUUCUUGUACUUGCACACUCCUCCCCCUCGAUAUAGUAUGCCUCUUGUACCACCUCCUACAUGCAUCCCUCUCUCUCUAUCCUUCUCCUCAUGCCUCAUUUGCUUCUAACACACAUGCAUGUAUACCGAUCGAUCUCCCAACAUAUACCUAGAUCGACUUUAACUACCCCCCCCCAUCGAUCGACGUACCUCACAAGUUAUGUCUCUCCUUUCUCUUACAAAGGGCGAUUGAUCUUCCUAUGUAUUUACAUCUGCUUACCACAGCCACAUCGUCCCCCCUCAUCAUUCGUGCAUGCCUUCUGACCCGUCUCUCACACGCACGUGCACAUACAACAAGCAGCCAUCUCCUCUCUUAUUGAUAUUGCGGGCGUGCCCUCCGUUUGUCUAGCAAGCCUAUCCCACCAUUUGUUAGAAGCAACUCCACUACCACCCCCUCCAACACUCUAGCUCUGUCUCUCUCCCAACCUUAUUCAUCUCCUGCACAUAUGCAUGGAUGCCGAUCGAUCUCCCUUAAUACAUGAGGCAGAUCGAUCUCCUUAAUACAUGAGGUAGGCCUCUCUCCUCCUCCACACAUAUACCAGCCAUUGUACCUCUAUAGUUAAUUGGGCCUCCCUCUUCCCCCACCACACACCGAUAGUCAAGCGCUGUAGGUAGGUAUCCAUGCCACAGAGACAAACUGCACAUGUCCCAUCUCACGUUCCAGUAGGCCAACCACUCUAUAUCUUUGACGUGGGCACACACAAAUUCGACGGCACUCUUUAUCGAUCGCGCGCGCACACACACACAUCAUCAUCCCUCUCUUCGAUUCUAUGGACACCUGAAGCCGAUGAUACCUCCACUCUCUUCUCGUGGAUCGCCCCCUCUAUAUAUAUGUUAUAUCCAGGACUCUAUUUCACACACAUUGCAUAUGUUAAAUUUUUCGAUUGACCCCCCCCCCUCUAUAAAAAAAACUCUCAAGAACCCACACACUAUAUCUCUCUAGGCUUGUAUCUCUAUCACACAACCCCAUGUAGGUGGUGUACGUAUACAAGAAGAGAAUAGGUGCACCGUGCACGUACUCACGCUUCGUGCCCAGCCACACCCACGCGGGUACACAGUGGAGCUCAUUUCUUUACGAAAUGGCAGCCCACGUGCUAAUUUGAAUGCCCGUAGCGGUUGUUUACCUAGCGAGGUCGUGUACCACGCGUGCACGAAACAAAGUUCUACUUGACGUGUUGCCGCGUUAUUUUUAAAUAAAGUUAUAGCGCUCAAUGGCACGUACACAGAAUAUAAAACGAUUUUUAUGGAGGAAAAGGUAGUCCGCUCUUCAGAAUAUCUCACACAAGGCUCCAGUGGCCUCUCUCUCUCUCACCGUUGGUCACUGAUCCGGCUGCAUCCCGUCCGCCGGGGGAAAGGGAGUGCGGUGGUCUCUCUCUCUCUUACCGUUGGCCACUGAUCCGGCCGCAUCCCGUCCGCCGGGGGAAAGGGAGUGCGAUGGUCUCUCUCUCUCUCACCGUUGGCCACUGAUCCGGCCGCAUCCCGUCUGCCGGGGGAAAGGGAGUGCGGUGGCCUCUCUCUCUCAUCGUUGGUCACUGAUCCGGCCGCAUCCCCUCCGCCGGGGAAAGGGAGGAAGUGCAUCGUUUCUCCGUUCGACGGUGCCGAGGCACCACGCCCGAUCUGCGGUACACGCCGUUCUCUCUGACCAAGCUCCAGCGCGGCAGGGCCUACACCACCUGCUCGCAGAUUCCGCCCGCCGCCGCUCUCCUAGUUACAUCCCGACGACCUCCAGGUAUCCCCUCCGGCCUUGCUCCACUGCCCGUUUUCCCACGUCGCUGCAUGUGGAUCUUCCAUAGUUCUUUGCCCAAAACGUAGCUCGUCCGACGUACUUUCCAUAUUGCAUUCUCGUCCUCACACCAUUUUAGACAAACACAACCGUGUUGUUAUCUUCCCUUAGGACAAGGAAUAUGCUUCUUUUUUGUCGUCGCAUGUGUCAUCAACUGUUAUUGGCCAGUAAUUGUUUCCUUUCUACCUCUUUUUUGCAAACAGGGCUAUCCAUUUCACCUUGUUGCUAUUGCGACCUUUUGGUGUACUGCACAAAUCACUUUUUUCUUAAGAGUGUUUUGUGCAGUUGUACUAAAAUGUCACACGGGCAACGUCUCUACAUUUCAGUGCGACUGCAUAAAGGGAGAUUGGUUUUGCUCUAUCCUCCUCAUCCAACUCCGAGCCUAAUCUUCUCCAACUAGUUAGUCUUAAGAGAGACUGCAAAGGUGACCGGCUUCUAUUUGUGUGUUUAUUGUUUCAUCAGCAGUCCUCUAUUAUCGUAAUCACACUUGAUAUCUUUGGAACAGGGACGCUCAGCUCUAUUUUAGUGGAACUGCACAAAAUUAUCGGAAUGUUGCAUGCUCCAGACAGCUACUUUUUUUCCCAACAUGCCUUGUUGAUUUAGACAAAGCUGGGGGGACGUUGCUGCCAAUUAAAGCAUGGAUCAAUUUUAAUUUAACACCUUCUCACAACUUUGUCUUCAGUUGUGAUGUAAUUAUUAGCUCUGAUCUGCUAAUAAUUUUUUUGAUAGAAAGACUGUAAGGGAACCCCCUAUAGUAUAAUUGGUGCAACAAACCCAAAUUGCAAGUACCAGGCCUUGAACCUGGGUGGAUGGGAAGGCAUGAGCCCCUUCCCAUCACUAGGCUAUGCCUUAGUCUGCCUAAUCUGCUAAUAAUUGACAUGCAUUAGCAAGGAAGUUAGUUUUUUAUUGUUUCUGAAAGAGCAUCGAUGGCAAGACACGCGAAACAAAAGCUGAAAGCUCACACCAUGUACAAUUUCAUGUCGCUGGAAAAUUAUUUGUAUAGUACAUCAAUUAUGUAAACAAAUGAUGGAAGCUUGAUAGCAUUGCCAGAAGCCUCUUCAUCAUCCGGGUCCAUGUGCCAUGCACAAAAUUAUACUCCUUCGUUCCUAAAAAUUUGUCUUUUACAAAUUUCAAAUGGGCAUAUUUUAGAGUGUAGAUUCACUCAUUUUGCUUCGUAUGUGUACUCCCUCUGUUCCUAAAUAUUCUAUUCGUCUUAACAGAGAUUUCUACAAGUGACUACAUACGGAGCAAAAUGAGUGAAUCUACACUCUAAAAUAUGUCUAUAUACGUCAGUGCCAGUCCAUUUGAAAUCUCUAAAAAGACAAAUAUUUGAGUAGUCACUCGUUGAAAUCUCUAGAAAGACAAAUACUCCAGAGUAUAUUUAAGAACCGAGGGGGUAGUGCACAACCGCAUGGGAGACUCAGCCCGGUUGUUGUGCCGCAUUAAUAGUGAGUAAUGAGCAGUCAAAUAAUAAGCCCCACCUUUCCCACUGUAAGUUGCUCUGAAGAAGCAACCAUCAAUACGCUCUUCUUUGAAUCCGCUCAUACUACUCCAUCCGUCACUGUUUAUACAACGCGCUUCAGAAAAAAGAAAAAAAAUCUAUGGGACCAAGGCGACUAGCGAUCAGCCUGAAAAAUAGCAUUGGUAGUUAUAGCACGGCGUCUAUUACUAGAGGGAAUAAUGCGUACACACAUGCAUGCAGUGCUUCCACCCCGGGUACACACAUGCAUGCACUCCGUAGUAGUACAGUACAUGGAGAGAAAAUUGUGGACUAGAUUGCGGUUACCACGCCCUAAUUAAUUGAGCAUUAAACCAAACGCGUCUAAAGUCUCUCUGGUGGUGGAAAUGCAUCAUAAUGAAGCGCGCCCUGUAAACUGUGACGGAGGGUGGAGUAGUAUGAAGGUGCAAAACCAAGUACGCGUCUUACUGCGCUUGGCUCUUCGCCCCUUCAUGAAGUCGAACAACGAUGGUACUCCGCAUGUUGGGUACUACAGUGUAUGCCUCUGACAAUCUGACACCGAAUGGACUGAUGCAUGUCCGCCGAGGGUAGGUUGCAUUAGUCAAAAGGCGUAAGCGAGCUUCACCUUUUCUUGCAAGCUUCUCCUCGUUCUGCGAGUUGACGGGACACACCAAAAAGUAGUGCUAGUCCAUACUCCCUCCUUUCCGGUUAAUAUGGCUUAAUCUUUUUUGCGGGUAAAUGAGUGAGCUUUAUGAAGGAAAUAUGCCCUAGAGGCAAUAAUAAAGUUAUUAUUUAUUUCCUUAUUUCAUGAUAAAUGUUUAUUAUUCAUGCUAGAAUUGUAUUAACCGGAAACAUAAUACAUGUGUGAAUACAUAGACAAACAGAGUGUCACUAGUAUGCCUCUACUUGACUAGCUCGUUAAUCAAAGAUGGUUAUGUUUCCUAACCAUGGACAAAGAGUUGUUAUUUGAUUAACGAGAUCACAUCAUUAGGUGAAUGAUCUGAUUGACAUGACCCAUUCCAUUAGCUUAGCACCCGAUUGUUUAGUAUGUUGCUAUUGCUUUCUUCAUGACUUAUACAUGUUCCUAUGACUAUGAGAUUAUGCAACUCCCGUUUGCCGGAGGAACACUUUGGGUGCUACCAAACAUCACAACGUAACUAGGUGAUUAUAAAGGAGCAUUACAGGUGUCUCCAAAGGUAGAUGUUGGGUUGGCGUAUUUCGAGAUUAGGAUUUGUCACUCCGAUUGUCGGAGAGGUAUCUCUGGGCCCUGUCGGUAAUGCACAUCACAUAAGCCUUGCAAGCAUUGCAACUAAUGAGUUAGUUGCGAGAUGAUGUAUUACGGAACGAGUAAAGAGACUUGCCGGUAACGAGAUUGAACUAGGUAUUGGAUACCGACGAUCGAAUCUCGGGCAAGUAACAUACCGAUGACAAAGGGAACAACGUAUGUUGUUAUGCGGUCUGACCAAUAAAGAUCUUCAUAGAAUAUGUAGGAGCCAAUAUGGGCAUCCAGGUCCCGCUAUUGGUUAUUGACUGGAGACGUGUCUCGGUCAUGUCUACAUUGUUCUCGAACCGUAGGGUCCGCACGCUUAAGGUUUCGAUGACAGUUAUAUUAUGAGUUUAUGAGUUUUGAUGUACCGAAGGAGUUCGGAGUCCCGGAUGAGAUCGGGGACAUGACGAGGAGUCUCGAAAUGGUCGAGACGUAAAGAUCGAUAUAUUGGACGACUAUAUUCGGAUAUCGGAAAGGUUCCGAGUGAUUCGGGUAUUUUUCGGAGUACCGGGUAGUUACGGGAGAAGCAAUGGGCCUUGACGGGCUUUAGUGGGAAGAGGAGAAAGGGCCAAGGGGCUGCUGCGCCCCCCCUCCCCUCUAGUCCGAAUUGGACUAGGGAAAAGGGGGCCGGCCACCUUUCCUUCUCCUCCACUUCCUUCUCCCUUCCUCCCCUCUUGGUGGACUCCUACUAGGACUUGGAGUCCUAGUAGGACUCCACAUCCUGGCCGCACCUAGCCUUGGCCGGCCUCCUCCUCCUCCAUCCUUUAUAUACUGAGGCAAGGGGCACCCCAUGGACACACAAGUUGAUCUUCGUGAUCGUUCCUUAGCCGUGUGCGGUGCCCCCCUCCACGAUAUUACACCUCGAUCAUAUUGUAGCGGUGCUUAGGCGAAGCCCUGCGACGGUUAAACAUCAAGAUCAUCACCACGCCGUCGUGCUGACGAAACUCCUCCCCAAAGCUUUGCUGGAUCGGAGCCCGGGGUGUGUCAUCGAGUUGUACGUGUGUCAAGAACUCGGAGGUGCCGGAGUAACGGUGCUUGGAUCGGUUGAACCGGGAAGACGUACGACUACUUUCUCUAUGUUGCGUCAACGCUUCCGCUACGGUCUACGAGGGUACGUAGACAACACUCUCCCCUCUCGUUGCUAUGCAUCACCAUGAUCUUGCGUGUGCGUAGGAAAUUUUUGAAAUUACUACGUUCCCCAACAGUGGCAUCCGAGCCUGGUUUUAUGGUUUGAUGUUAUAUGCACGAGUAGAACACAAGUGAGUUGUGGGCGAUAUAAGUCAUACUGCUUACCAGCAUGUCAUACUUUGGUUCGGCGGUAUUGUUGGAUGAAGCGGCCCGGACCGACAUUACGCGUACGCUUACGCGAGACCGGUUCUCCCGACGUGCUUUGCACAAAGGUGGCUAGCGGGUGACAGUUUCUCCAACUUUAGUUGAACCGAGUGUGGCUACGCCCGGUCCUUGCGAAGGUUAAAGCAACACCAACUUGACAAACUAUCGUUGUGGUUUUGAUGCGUAGGUAAGAUUUGUUCUUGCUUAAGCCCGUAGCAGCCACGUAAAACUUGCAACAACAAAGUAGAGGACGUCUAACUUGUUUUUGCAGGGCAUGUUGUGAUGUGAUAUGGUCAAAACGUGAUGACAUAUAAGUUGUUGUAUGAGAUGAUCAUGUUUUGUUAAAGUUAUCGGCAACUGGCAAAAGCCCUAUGGUUGUCUCUAUAUUGCAUAAGAUGCAAGCGCCAAAUAAUUGCUUUACUUUAUCGCUAUGCGAUAGCAAUAGUUGCAAGAGCAAUAGUUGGCGAGACGACCGUGUGACGACACAUUGAUAUUGAUCAAGAUGAUGGAGAUCAUGGUGUCAUGCCGGUGACGAUACAGAUCAUGACAAUGCUUUGGAGAUGGAGAUCAAAGGCACAAGAUGAUGAUAGCCAUAUCAUGUCACAUAUUAUGAUUGCAUGUGAUGUUUAUCUUUUAUACAUCUUAUUUUGCUUAGUUUGACGGUAGCAUUUUAAGAUGAUCUCUCACUAAUUAUCAAGAAGUGUUCUCCCUGAGUAUGCACCGUUGCCAAAGUUCGUCGUGCCCAGACACCACAUGAUGAUCGGGUGUGAUAAGCUCUACGUCCAUCUACAACGGGUGCAAGCCAGAUUUGCACACGCAGAAUACUCGGGUUAAACUUGACGAGCCUAGCAUAUGCAGAUAUGGCCUCGGAACACGGAGACCGAAAGGUCGAGCGUGAAUCAUAUAGUAGAUAUGAUCAACAUAACGAUGUUCACCAUUGAAAACUAUUCCAUUUCACGUGAUGAUCGGUUAUGGUUUAGUUGAUUUGGAUCACGUGAUCACUUAGAAGAUUAGAGGGAUGUCUAUCUAAGUGGGAGUUCUUAAGUAAUAUGAUUAAAUUGAACUUAAAUUUAUCAUGAACUUAGUCCUGGUAGUAUUUUGCAAAUUAUGUUGUAGAUCAAUAGCUCGCGUUGUUGUUCCCCUGUGUUUAUUUUGAUAUGUUCCUAGAGAAAAUUGUGUUGAAAGAUGUUAGUAGCAAUGAUGCGGAUUGGAUCCGUGAUUUGAGGUUUAUCCUCAUUGCUGCACAGAAGAAUUAUGUCCUUGAUGCACCGCUAGGUGACGGACCUAUUGCAGGAGCAGAUGCAGACGUUAUGAACGUUUGGCUAGCUCAAUAUGAUGACUACUUGAUAGUUUAGUGCACCAUGCUUAAUGGCUUAGAAUCGGGACUUCAAAGACGUUUUGAACGUCAUGGAGCAUAUGAGAUGUUCCAGGAGUUGAAGUUAAUAUUUCAAGCAAGUACCCGAGUUGAGAGAUAUGAAGUCUCCAACAAGUUCUAUAGCUAAAAGAUGGAGGAGAAUCGCUCAACUAGUGAGCAUGUGCCCAGAUUGUCUGAGUACUACAAUCGCUUGAAUCAAGUGGGAGUUAAUCUUCCAGAUAAGAUAGUGAUUGACAGAAUUCUCUAGUCACCAUCACCAAGUUAGUAGAACUUCGUGAUGAACUAUGAUAUGCAAGGGAUAACGGAAACAACUCCCAAGCUCUUCGUGAUGCUGAAAUCGACGAAGGUAGAAAUCAAGAAAAACAUCAAGUGUUGAUGGUUAACAAGACCAUUAGUAUGAAGAAAAGGUCAAAGGGAAGAAGGGGAACUUCAAGAAGAACAGCAAGCAAGUUGCUGCUCAAGUGAAGAAGCCCAAGUCUGGUCCUAAGCCUGAGACUAAGUGUUUCUACUGCAAAGGGACUGGUCACUGGAAGCGGAACUACCCCAAGUGAUUGGCAGAUAAGAAGGAUGGCAAAGUGAACAUAAGUAUAUUUGAUAUACAUGUUAUUGAUGUGUACUUUACUAGUGUUUGUAGCAACCCCUCAGUAUUUGAUACUAGUUCAGUUGCUAAGAUUAGUAACUCCAAACGGGAGUUGCAGAAUAAACAGAGACUAGUUAAGGGUGAAGUGACGAUGUGUGUUGGAAGUGGUUCCAAGAUUGAUAUGAUCAUCAUCGCACACUCCCCUAUACUUUCGGGAUUAGUGUUGAACCUAAAAAAGUGUUAUUUGGUUUUUGCGUUGAGCAUGAAUAUGAUUUGAUCAUGUUUAUUGCAAUACGGUUAUUCAUUAAAGUCAGAGAAUAAUUGUUGUUCUGUUUACAUGAAUAAAACCUUCGAUGGUCAUACACCCAAUGAAACAAGUUCAUUGGAUCUCGAUCGUAGUGAUACACAUAUUCAUAAUAUUGAAACCAAAAGAUGCGAAGUUAAUAAUGAUAGUGCAACUUAUUUGUAGCACUGCCGUUUAAGUCAUAUUGGUGUAAAGCGCAUGAAGAAACUCCAUGCUGAUGGGCUUUUGGAAUCACUUGAUUAUGAAUCACUUGAUGCUUGCGAACCAUGCCUUAUGGGCAAGAUGACUAAAACGCCGUUCUCCGGAACAAUGUAGCAAGCAACAGAUUUGUUGGAAAUCAUACAUACUGAUGUAUGUGGUCCGAUGAAUAUUAAGGCUUGCAGCAGGUAUCAUUAUUUUCUGACCUUCACAGAUGAUUUGAGCAGAUAUGGGGAUAUCUACUUGAUAAAACAUAAGUCUGAAACAUUUGAACAGUUCAAAGAAUUUCAGAGUGAAGUGGAAAAUCAUCGUGACAAGAAAAUAAAGUUUCUACGAUCUGAUCGCGGAGACAAAUAUUUGAGUUACGAGUUUGGUCUUCAAUUAAAACAAUGUGGAAUAGUUUCACAAACUCAGGCCACAUGGAACACCACAGCAUAAUGGUGUGUCCGAACGUCAUAACCCUACUUUAUUGGAUAUAGUGCAAUCUAUGAUGUCUCUUACCAAUCUACCACUAUCGUUUUGGGGUUAUGCAUUAGAGACAGCUGCAUUCACGUUAAAUAGGGCACCAUCUAAAUCCGUUGAGAUGACACCAUGUGAACUAUGGUUUGGCAAGAAACCUAAGCUGUCAUUUUUUAAAGUUUGGGACUGCGAUGCUUAUGUGAAAAAGUUUCAACAUGAUAAGCUCGAACCCAAAUCGGAGAAGUAAAUCUUCAUAGGAUAUCCAAAGGAAACUAUUGGAUACACCUUCUAUCACAAGAUCCGAAGGCAAGACCUUUGUUGCAAAAUUCGGAAUCUUUCUAGAGAAGGAGUUUCUCUCGAAAGAAGUGAGUGGGAGGAAAGUAAAAAACUUGAUAAGGUAAUUGUACCUUCUCCCUUAUUGGAAAGUAGUUCAUCACAGAAAUCUGUUCCUGUGACUACUACACCAAUUAGUGAGGAAGCUAAUGAUGAUGAUCAUGUAACUUUAGAUCAAGUUACUACCAAAUCUCGUAGGUAAACCAGAGUGAGAUCCACACCAGAGUGAUACAGUAAUCAUGUUCUGGAAGUCAUGUUACUAGACCAUGACGAACUUGCGAACUAUGAGGAAGCGAUGAUGAGCCCAGAUUCCGCGAAAUGGUUUGAGGCCAUGAAAUCUGAGAUAUGAUCCAUGUAUGAGAACAAAGUAUGGACUUUGGUUGACUUGCUCGAUGAUCGGCAAGCCAUAGAAAAUAAAUGGAUCUUCAAGAGGAAGACGGACGCUGAUAGUAGUGUUACUAUCUACAAAGCUAGAAUUGUCGCAAAAGGUUUUCGACAAGUUCAAGGUGUUGACUACGGUGAGAUUUUCUCACUCGUAUCUAUGCUUAAGUCUGUCCGAAUCAUGUUAGCAAUUGCCGCAUUUUAUGAAAUCUGGCAAAUGGAUAAACAAAACUGCAUUCCUUAAUGGAUUUACUAAAGAAGAGUUGUAUACGAUGCAACUAGAAGGUUUUGUCGAUCCUAAAGGUGUUAACUAAAUAUGCAAGCUCCAGCGAUCCAUCUAUGGACUGGUGCAAGAAUCUCGGAGUUGGAAUAUACGCUUUGAUAAGUUGAUCAAAACAAAUAGUUUUAUACAGACUUGCGGUGAAGCCUGUAUUUACAAGAAAGUGAGUGGGAGCACUACAACAUUUCUGAUAAGUAUAUGUGAAUGACAUAUUGUUGAUCAGAAAUAAUGUAGAAUUAUUCUGCAAAGCAUAAAGGAGUGUUUGAAAGGAGUUUUUCAAAGAAAGACCUCGGUGAAGCUGCUUACAUAUUGAGUAUCAAGAUCUAUAGAGAUAGAUCAAGACACUUGAUAAGUUUUUUCAAUGAGUACAUACCUUGACAAGAUUUUGAAGUAGUUCAAAAUGGAACAGUCAAAGAAAAGGUUUCUUGCCUGUGUUACAAGGUGUGAAGUUGAGUAAGACUCAAAGCCCGACCACGGCAGAAGAUAGAAAGAGAAUGAAAGUCAUUCCCUAUGCCUCAGUCAUAGGUUCUAUAAAGUAUGCCAUGCUGUAUACCAGAUCUAUUGUAUGCCCUACCACUGAGUUUGGCAAGGGAGUACGAUAGUGAUCUAGGAGUAGGUAACUGGACAGCGAUCAAAAUUAUCCUUAGUGGAAUAAGGAUAUGUUUCUCGAUUAUGGAAGUGAAAAAAAAGGUUCAUCGUAAAGGGUUACACCGAUGCAAGUUUUGACACUAAUCUAGAUGACUCUAAGUCUCGGUCUAGAUACAUAUUGAAAGUGGGAGCAAUUAGCUAGAGUAGCUCCAUGCAGAGCAUUGUUGACAUAGAAAUUUGCAAAAUACAUGCGGAUCUGAAUGUGGCAGACCCGUUGACUAAGAUUCUCUCACAAGCAAAACAUGAUCACACCUUAGUACUCCUUGGGUGUUAAUCACAUAGUGAUGUGAACUAGAUUACUAAAUCUAGUAAACCCGUUGGGUGUUGGUCACAUGGCGAUGUGAACUAUGGGUGUUAAUCACAUGAUGAUGUGAACUAUCGAUGUUAAUCACAUGGUGAUGUGAUCUAGAUUAUUGACUCUAGUGCAAGUGGGAGACUGAAGGAAAUAUGCCCUAGAGGCAAUAAUAAAGUUAUUAUUUAUUUCCUUAUUUCAUGAUAAAUAUUUAUUAUUCAUGCUAGAAUUGUAUUAACCGGAAACAUAAUACAUGUGUGAAUACAUAGACAAACAGAGUGUCACUAGUAUGCCUCUACUUGACUAGCUCGUUAAUCAAAGAUGGUUAUGUUUCCUAACCAUAGACAAAGAGUUGUUAUUUGAUUAACGGGAUCACAUCAUUAGGUGAAUGAUCUGAUUGACAUGACCCAUUCCAUUAGCUUAGCACCCGAUCGUUUAGUAUGUUGCUAUUGCUUUCUUCAUGACUUAUACAUGUUCCUAUGACUAUGAGAUUAUGCAACUCCCGUUUGCCGGAGGAACACUUUGGGUGCUACCAAACGUCACAACGUAACUGGGUGAUUAUAAAGGAGCAUUACAGGUGUCUCCAAAGGUAGAUGUUGGGUUGGCGUAUUUCGAGAUUAGGAUUUGUCACUCCGAUUGUCGGAGAGGUAUCUCUGGGCCCUCUCGGUAAUGCACAUCACAUAAGCCUUGCAAGCAUUGCAACUAAUGAGUUAGUUGCGAGAUGAUGUAUUAUGGAACGAGUAAAGAGACUUGCCGGUAACGAGAUUGAACUAGGUAUUGGAUACCGACGAUCGAAUCUCGGGCAAGUAACAUACCGAUGACAAAGGGAACAACGUAUGUUGUUAUGCGGUCUAACCGAUAAAGAUCUUCGUAGAAUAUGUAGGAGCCAAUAUGGGCAUCCAGGUCCCGCUAUUGGUUAUUGACCGGAGACGUGUCUCGGUCAUGUCUACAUUGUUCUUGAACCGUAGGGUCCGCACGCUUAAGGUUUCGAUGACAGUUAUAUUAAGAGUUUAUGAGUUUUGAUGUAUCGAAGGAGUUCGGAGUCCCGGAUGAGAUCGGGGACAUGACGAGGAGUCUCGAAAUGGUCGAGACGUAAAGAUCGAUAUAUUGGACGACUAUAUUCGGACAUCGGAAAGGUUCCGAGUGAUUCGGGUAUUUUUCGGAGUACCGGGUAGUUACGGGAGAAGCAAUGGGCCUUGAUGGGCUUUAGUGGGAAGAGGAGAAAGGGCCAACGGGCUGCUGCGGCCCCCCUCCCCUCUAGUCCGAAUUGGACUAGGGAAAAGGGGGCCGGCCACCUUUCCUUCUCCUCCACUUCCUUCUCCCUUCCUCCCCUCUUGGUGGACUCCUACUAGGACUUGGAGUCCUAGUAGGACUCCACAUCCUGGCCGCACCUAGCCUUGGUCGGCCUCCUCCUCCUGCAUCCUUUAUAUACUGAGGCAAGGGGCACCCCAUGAACACACAAGUUGAUCUUCGUGAUCGUUCCUUAGCCGUGUGCGGUGCCUCCCUCCACGAUAUUACACCUCGAUCAUAUUGUAGAGGUGCUUAGGCGAAGCCCUGCGACGGUUAAACAUCAAGAUCGUCACCACGCCGUCGUGCUGACGAAACUCCUCCCCGAAGCUUUGCUGGAUCGGAGCCCGGGGUGCGUCAUCGAGCUGUAUGUGUGUCAAGAACUCGGAGGUGCCGGAGUAACGGUGCUUGGAUCGGUUGAACCGGGAAGACGUACGACUACUUCCUCUAUGUUGCGUCAACGCUUCCGCUUCGGUCUACGAGGGUACAUAGACAACACUCUCCCCUCUCGUUGCUAUGCAUCACCAUGAUCUUGCGUGUGCGUAGGAAAUUUUUGAAAUUACUAUGUUCCCGAACACUUUAUUCAUAUAUAAGCAUUCUUAGGACGAUCAGCCAAGACACUGGUCACUAGGAAGCGAGGUACCCCGCAAAAAAGAAGUAGGAAGCGAGGUGUUUCAUCAAGCCAGCUCUCGGCCACAUUCAAAGUGCAUCAAGCACGGUUCGCACGAAGAUGCGCCGCAAGGUUUGCUGACCUGUUUACAUGCUGAAUAACAAAAAAAGAGGAAAUAUUACUGAGCGCUACUAUUUGUAACAGGAUAUGGGCCAGAAUUAAGCGAGAAUUGUGGUGAGUGUUCCAUGCAAUCAACUUCCAUUAUCACAUGCGAGAACCCUCGAAGAGAACCAAAUGUGUUGAAGAUUGCUUUAUCACAUUUUAAAAUUAUAAUAAGAGUGUAGACGCUCCUCCAUCCGGUUCCUAGUACUAGUAUAGUACGUACCUUUAUGGACUAUAGUAGUAGUACUAGUAAACUUUGCACUUGGCUGUUCGGGAAGUCGAACAAUAAUAGCACUAGUAGUAUAGUGUAUGCUUCUGGCAAUCUGACACCGAAUUAACUAUUGCAUGUCCACCGCCUGAGCGAGGGAGAGCUUGCAUUAGUCAAAAGUUUCUCCUUGUCCUGUGAGCCACCGCGCGCAAGCUUCUCCCAUCCUGCAACCUUCUCCUCGUUCGGUAAGUUGACGGGACACAGCAAAGUAAUGCUAGUCCAUGCUGCCUCCUGUCCAGUUAAUAUGGCUUAAUUUCAAAUGAGAUAAAUACACUGUCUGUCACUGUAUAUUUGUAAAAAUACGGUCAGUGGACUUCAUAAUACACUCAUUGCGCUCAAUAUAUAUAUUUUCCGGUGUUCAUACGGUCACUAGCUCACCCUGACUGAGUAUGUGUGUGCAUGCACGUGUAGGUUGAGCACUUGAGCGUGACCGUGUGUGUUCCAUCGUGUGCUCGGACAUGCAUGCAUUAGGGCGUCGCGCGCGUUUUUGCGUCCAUGUGUAUGUGUGACUGUUGCAUACACGUAGGGGGAGUACGUGUAGGGGUCACUAAGGAGCAGUCAAAUCACACAGUAAGUUAGUCGAAAGAAGCAACCAUCAUUUCACUCUUGAAUGACAUGUACACAAUAUAAAAUGGUUGAUAUGGAGAGAAAAAGAAAAACACUAUAUAUACACUAGCAGGAGCCUAAGCUACAAGCCUGCUUCCUUAGGUUGCUCUCUUCACAAGCAUAGAACGACGGGCCUGAUCCCGCAGCUGGGGGAAGGGUACAAUGUUCUGCGUAGACGCGGUCGACAUCGGCGAGGGAGAAAACCCACAGUCGGUGCGUCCCAAUCGGGGGUCACCACGGUAUGGGCCGAUGCCGCGUCCCAACCACCAUUCUAGAUACAGCCCGACGUCCCGGGUAGUCCAUCUUCCUUUUGGAGCCGGCUUGCUCCACUGCCGUAGCUCCAUCUCCAUGUCGAUCUUUCUCUACUUCUACCGGCUUCUACUUGUGAUGAGUUUAUUUCUCAUGAACUAGUGCCAGUACUAUUAUUCUAAUCACACUUCUUCAAUAUCUUUGCCAUUAGGGAUCCUCAGGUCGAUUUUAGUGGAACUGCACAAAAGCAUCGUAUGAUCCGAGGGUGCCAGCUGUCUUUCCUUCGACAGGUUCUACCUGGCCAGGAAAUUAAAUCAUGUUUAGGGUUUAGGGUUUAAGUCGUAGUGACCCCAUUAGUAGUUUUUCUAUCGUACACGCUCUCACAACUUUUCUUCAGUUGUGAAGUAAAUAUUGGCUAUGAUCUGUGAAUCAUUGAGAUGCAUCAGCAUGCGUGUUAGUUUUCCUUUGUAUUUGAUGGAAUGUUGUAACGGGGCAACCUUGGAAUAGGAAUGAAAAUGGAGUGGAAAAGUUUCCGUUUUUCCGGAGAAAAAAUGGAAACGGAGAGAAACCAACGUUUCGUUUCGUUGGAUCGCGCCAUCGAGCAAAACCAACGUUUAAAUCACGUCUGUCGUGUUCGUGUCUCACCCUCCUCCAUGGCUCGACCCCACACGGUCGCUCGGCAUGCCACUCACCGCAAACCGAGUAGUAUACCAUAACUUUCCCACCUGCUUGUCGAUGGAUCGCGCCAUGAAGUACUAGCACUACUGGAAGAGAUUGACAAGUUGAGGGAGGACAGCUAGCUGUAGCACAGACUCCCAAGAACUUACUACUGGAAGAGAUCACGCAUGUUGUAGCCGGCUAUUGCGACCUUUGAACGCGGAGCAGCCGCGUGCACCCGGAAGCGGUGCGGGCGACGCUCUCUCGGCCAGCGCGCCGUUUCAAUGCCGGCGCUAAUGAGAGGUCGCGUCCGCUCUGGCCGGGCAUGAAUGCGGCACUGACCGUUUCGGGCGGGAAGCACGCGCGGGUGAUGAAGAGGGUUUGGGUUGGUCAGGACCGGCCGUGGCAGCGGUCCGGACGUGCGCAAACAAGAGAUGUUGUACGUUAAUAUUGCUGCGUAUAUAAUUAACAACGUAAAUAAUGUGCCAGUUGGACAAAUAUGAUUGGAGAUGGAGAUGGAAAUGAAAUUUUACGUAAACACGGAUAUGCAUGUCUAUGUCUAUGUGUGUGUGCGCGACGACUCUCGCGACCUGGAAGCGGGGGGGCGCAUUUUUGAUCGAGUUUUCUUUCUUGGUACGUUAGAAAAUCAGUUUUUCUAAUUCACAUCUAGAUGUUAUUUAAGGAUAUCACAUCUAAGCUCCCACAAGUAUAUAAUGUAGCAACAAGAAACAAAAAAAAACUAGGAAAAUACCACAAACAGAGUGGACAUCAACUUAUAUGUGACAUAACUAUGUCACAUCUAGAUGUGUCCUAGACAGACCCUUAAAAAAUUGUCCGCCAGUUUUCGUUUCUUUUUUUCCGGAAACGCGCGUAUUCUAUUUAAAACCACUGCUAUGGAGAGAUUUUUUUACUCCAUUAUAGCCUCUUGUUUGAUAGAGUUUCUCACGUCUCGCUCUCUCACCCUCUCCAUAUCAAAACAAGAUGACAGUGUCCACUCUAUCUCUCUCCUCACCGGUGGUCACAGAUCCGGCCGAAUCCCGUCUGCUGCGGGAGGUGAGGAGGUGCAGCGUUGACGUUGUCGCUGUCGAUGACGGAGGAAGCCGAUGCGCACCGUCCUCUCGGAGCCGGCGCUAGCGCGGACGAAGAUCCUCCGCGCCCUUGUUCACUGCCGUCGUGUGGGCAGAUCCCGCCCGCCCGCCUAAACGACAUCUCGCCUACCUGAGGUAUAACUUCUUAUACUGGUCCAGCUCCCCAGGUCGCUGCGUGCUGGUUUUAUUCUAUGCGACUACUCCCCAGCUUCCCAUGCAUAGUAGCUAGGCUUCGUCGGCUGGUCCAACAUCACCUAGUGGUACUAUUAUAGAGGAAAUGCCACUCAAAAAGUUGUCCUGAUUUAUGCCUCGGUGGAGGUAUACAUGUUGUUUCGACAAAAAGUACAUGGUGGUUGUGCGGUCAUUGUCCAUAUGGUGGUAGUACUAUCACUGGUUAAAUGAAGAAAUGCUUUUUUUCUCGGGUAUUCUGGUUUAGUUCCCAUCAAGAUAAUUAUGAUGCUUCUAUUUGUUGGUGUACUUUUCAUUAAUUCUUAUUGACAAUUGAGAUGUCGUUGCUAACCCUUUUUUAUAUUUUUGGAAACAGCGAUGCGUGUCUCCAUACCCGGGCAUGUCUUCUUCAAUUUUAGUGGAACUGCACAAAAUUGGAUGGCCAUUGUUGUUCUGCCUCACUGUCCUCUGCCACGUGGUUCUUCCUUCCUCGAGCUUGAUUACUGAGAAGAAACAGACCACAGUGAGGAUUUGUCGAACUUCUUAGGUGCCUCAUCCAAACUUGAUGCCAAAUGGAUGAUGCAUCACCAAGAUGACCUAUCGAUGCUCAUGGUUGCGCCUCAUGGUUGCGUCGGCUGGUGAAGCUGAUCGAUUUUCAACGAAAAACAAGCUGUCUUCCAUCAGUGCUCUUUGCUUGUUACGCACAAAGAUGAUAUCCUUCGCCAGUUCACCUUGGUUGCGUUGGAGACGGAGUCGUCUUUCACGUUGGUGCAAUUUUAUCACACAAUUGGCUAUGAACCAAAUGUUUCCUGGAAGAAGGAUCGACAUUGGUACUAAGAGCAUAAGUUUUGUAUUGAUUUCUAAGCCUUCUCACAACUUUGUCUCCAGCUCCCCUGUAAUUUUUGUCCAGCUAUUAACUUUGAUUUAAAAAAUGGUGUGGACUAAAAACCCGGAUGGACGUAGUAGCCCUCCAUUUUUAUUUACUCCGCAUAUUAGAUUUGACUGAAGUCAAACUUUGUAAUACUCUCAAACCUUUCCGAUAAUUGAAAUUAAAUUUCUUUAUUUGUACACACUCUCACACGUUUCCGAUAAUUUGGCGCAUGUGUGGUUGUUCACUUAAGGGAGGGUAGUGUACCACACGUGAAGGACAGGAAGUGCGACCAGGACGUGUGGGCGUGGAUCGUUAGUUCAUCAGAAGUAGUACUAGUUUUCUUCACUGUACAUUAAAUAAAGAGUUUCGUUUCGUACUUACACAAUUUAAAACGAUUGUUAUGGAGAGAAUAAGAAAACCACUCCACUAUAUUUUAGUCGUAUACACGAGAGUACUAUAUGGACGCAGCUUCAUUGACUUAGUACACCUGCCUUUGGAUUUACGACAGGUAGGCCCAACAUGUGGCUGGCUCACCUAUCAUACAGCCAAAAGCAGGUGCAAUGAAGGCACCGGAGCUCAGUCCGUACUACAGUAGUAUAUAUAUAAGCGGGAGCCUCAGCGCUUGUUCGCUAGGGUUUGCACUCUCCACACGCUCGCCGCACUACAUAUAUGUUACACGCUGGAGGCUCAGCGUUCAUUUGCUAGGGUUUGCUAUAUUCACAAUCUCUCACCAUCUCUUCACCAGAUCUAAACAAGACUGCAUUGGCCUCUUGUCUCUCUCUCCCCCCUCACAACUGGUGAAGGAGGCGUCCGUAUCCCGUCGCACCGUGAAGGGGAGGAGGUGCGGCGUUCACUCUAUCGCCUUCGGCGAGGGAGGCAAUCCACUGCCGGCUGCGUUGUUCUCUUUCACCCAGCGCCUGUGCGGGAGGGCCACCGACCCCUUCUUCCUUGCUGCCGUACAUAGUGUGGGCAGAUCCGGCCUCCCUCCGCACGCCUUGCCACAUCCCGACGACCCUAAGGUAUAAGUUUCUUUGAAACCGUCGUUGCUCUAGCUGCAUGUGGAUCUUUUUCGAUCUGUAGUCGAAUCUAGGUCUUGGUUCAAAGAGGAAAGAAGGGUGCGGUGGGCUGGAGCAAGAAUCUAGGACGUGGUUCAAUGAGGAAAGGAGGGGCGGAAAGUAGUAUAGAUUGGCUAUCCCGUAGCUUUGUAGGUCGAAAAUGGAAAAAGGGGGUAACCCAGUACACACAUCUGUAAGGAACUGAUCUCUUUGUUAAAAAGGGAAAGAAACUAGGGGGUCGGGUAGUUUGUGCAUGACUAGAUUUGCUGCCCUCACAUAGGAAGAAGGUUCAAAGAGAACAAAUAUGGGACCAGCGCAUAUAUGUUGCUUGGCUACAUACUCUGCAUCACCCAUUUAUACGUGUGGACGCACAUGGUGCUGGCAUGUCUCAUACAGUUAUUUUGCUAUUGUUAAUCUCAGAAUUAACUACUGCUCUGUUUUAAAAGAAUUUCUCUAUUAAGAUGAAUCAAUGCAACUGUUUUAGAAAUGCUACUAUCCUAUACUUUGUUUUCCAUCAAGAUAAGGUAGAUGCUUCUUUUUGUGGCCGCAUGUUUCAUCCUCCUUUAUUGGCCAGUAAUUGUUUUCUUUUUUGCCUCUUAAAACAGGGAUAUCUAUUCAACUUGUUGCUAUAGAAAACUUAAAUGUCACACCGGCAACUUUGCUUGAUUUCAGUGCAACUACACAAAACUUGAUUGGAUUUCCUAUUCGUGUUGGUAGAUUCGUAUUUUAUGUUGGUCGUCUCAUGAAAGGUCAGUACAUGCCUUCAUCCACAUGAUUUUGCAGUGUGCUUUGAGAUGUUGUGCUACUUGUAUUGGUAUUGUUUUAAAUAAAUGAUGAAUUGAAGCAAUUGUAUUGCUGUCUUUUCCCAUUAAGUAGUGAACAAAAAUGGGACCAACCCAGAAAUGAUGCUUGUUGCUUUGUUACAACAAAUUCAGCAUCACCCCCUUUAUAAGCCAGUAAUUGAUGCCACUCUCAUAAUUAACUACUAAAUCUUAUUUCAAAACUGCAACACUUGUUAGGGAUUGGCGGGAUUACCAUUUUUGUGGCCGCAUGUUUCAUCCUCCUUUAUUAGCCAGUAAUUGAUUCCUUUUUUGCCUCUGUUUAUACAGGGAUAUCUAUUCAACUUGUUGCUAUUGUGACAUUUUGCUUCGCUACGCGAAACACUUUGCUUGAUUUCAGUGCAACUGCACAAAACGAGAUUGGAUUUCCUAUUCAUGUUGGCAGAUUCGUACGUGAUCUUGUGUGCAUCAUGACAGGUUGGUACUUGCCUUCAUCCACAUGAUCGUGCAGUGUGUUUUGAGAUGUUGUGCUACUUGUAUUGGUACUGUUUCAAUAAAUGAUGAAUUGAAGCUAUUGUAUUGCUGUCUUUUCCCAUUAAGUAGUGAACAAAAAUGGGACCAACCCAGACAUGAUGCUUGUUGCUUUGUUACAACAAAUUCAGCAUCACCCCUUUUAUAAGCCAGUAAUUGAUGCCACUCUCAGAAUUAACUACGGAAUCUUAUUUCAAAACUGCAACACUUGUUAGGGAUUGGCGGGAUUACCAUUUUUGUGGCCGUAUGUUUCAUCCUCCUUUAUUAGCCAGUAAUUGAUUCCUUUUUUGCCUCUGUUUAUACAGGGAUAUCUAUUCAACUUGUUGCUAUUGCGACAUUUUGCUUUGCUACGCGACACAUUUUGCUUGAUUUCAGUGCAACUGCACAAAAUGAGAUUGGAUUUCCUAUUCGUGUUGGCAGAUUCGUAUUUUAUCGUUGUCGGUCUCAUGAAAGGUCAGUACAGGCCUUCAUCCACAUGAUUGUGUAGUGUGCUUUGAGAUGUUGUGCUACUUGUAUUGGUACUGUUUUAAAUAAAUGUUGAAUUGAAGCUAUUGUAUUGCUGUCUUUUCCCAUUAAGUAGUGAACAAAAAUGGAACCAACCCAGACAUGAUGCUUGUUGCUUUGUUACAACAAACUCUGCAUCACCCCCUUUAUAAGUAGAUGGAAGCACAUACUGUUGUUGCGCCCACUCUACCCUGGAACUGAAUCUUAGUUCAAAACUACAAACACUUGUUAGGGAUCGGCAGGAGUACCAUUUCUGUUAGGGAUUGACCGUAGUACAUGUUUAAGAAAUGUAUUGUUCAGAUAAUGUCUCUAUUAUUAUAUAUCAGUUACAAACUUACAGUGUUUUACAAAUGGUACUAUCCUGCUUUUUAGUUAUUUCUACAUGUUUAACCAAGGUAUUGUUAAGAUAAUGUCUCUGUUAAAAUGAAUCAGUCGCAUUGUUUUAGGAAUGAUACUUUUCUGCUUUUUCGUUCUUUAUACAUCUUGAAACAAGGCAUUGUUAAGAUAAUGUCUCAGUUAAUAUGAAUGAAUCACACUGAUUGAGAAUUGCUACUCUCCUGCUUUGUUUCCCAUUAAGAUAAGGUAGAUCAGUAGGUGUUUUUCUUCUGAGAGUACAAGUCAUCAACCGUUAUUUCUCAGUAAUUGUUUCCCUUAUACCUUUUGUUGCUUACAGGGAUAUCAAAAUUAAAGCUUAGUUUUAUUCUGACUUCGAUUUUAGUUCAACUGCACAAAAGGAGCCAAUGUGUCCAAGGCAAACUGCUGCAUUACUGGGUCCAGUUGGUCGUUCCACUUUCCAGAAAGAAGCAGUCAUUGUUUGCGCUACAUUACAGAAGGAAUGACCGAGAAGCUUUACAGAGUAUUAGGCCUUCCACUAUGUAGGCCAAAAGAGGUGCCAAUUGCACCUUUUCUUAGUUUGGCACCGAAUCCCUCCAUUGCUACAGCCGGUGCCAUAAAUAUUAGACACCGGUGACAUGACUAGUCUGCAGAGACCAUUGGCAAUUUAACAACACGUGGAGUGCCCUGGGCAAGAAGUGCCCAAACAAGUACAAGAAGUGACAGGACUCCACGAUCAUAGGCAUUACAUAUUUUGAAUGGGAAAAGCUUGUCAAAGUUUAAUCAUUGAUGUUAGCAAGAAGCGACAUGACUCCACGAUCAUAGGGAUUACAUAUUUUGAAUGGGAAAAGCUUGUCAAAGUUUAAUCAUUGAUGUUAGCAAGAAGACAUUAGUUUAAUAUAUUGGAAUUGGAAAACCUUGUCAAAAUUUUCUCAUUGAUGUUAGCCAGAAGACAUGCAUUUGAUAUUUUUGAGUGGGACGCCCUUGCUGUGAGCAGCGUCGACUGUUUUUUCCUAUUCCUGUGUUUAGUUUAGAAGUAAAUAGUUACUCUGCUGAGAUAUUCCUGUGUUAAGAGUUUGUUCUGAAUAUUGUCUAUGUAAUGCCAGGCCUUGUGUUUGAUUGCAAAGUUGAGCUUGGAAUGUUGUGGCAUGUGGCAUCACGAGUUGUUCGCCGUGCCUCCUGAGAAUAAUGCUUCGUAUUGUUUUGCAUGUCGAUCUAAUGCCAGUAAUUUUCUUGUUAAGAAGAUCAUCCUCUUCUGUUGUUUCCGUGCUUAAGAAGUUCAUCGUCUGAUGUUUCAUUCAUAGCCUAUACGACAGGUCGGGUAGGUUAGACGUGAAACCAUAUGAUCUUCCGACCAACUCAUGAUGUUAGGCCGUGAUUGGAUCGUUGUUUUUCAACCAAAACCGCUUGUAAAACUGACGCUUGUAAAUUAAAGCAGAUGGUCUCGGGCGAAGGUGCUUGGUUGGUCGAUUUCGACUAGUAAAAUAUCGGAAGUACUUGACACACGAUAAAACGCUGAACGACACUCGGACGAUUGCUAAUCCAGCCGUUAGCUGCUAUUUCAGCCUUGCCCAUGGAUGGCAUGAUACGCACGUCGUGCAUGUAUUGUCUGGUAAUGUCGUCCAUAUAGCAGUGCUCGUAAAAUAUACACUGGUCUCUCAAAUUACACGCGUAACCCGCCGGUUUUACUUACAGACCUCGGGCCCUCAGUUUCAUUACGCCUGUAUUUUACGCGUUGUUUUCGAUGACGAGUAAAUUACACUUGUAUGUUAAUACAUGUCUGAAAUAAACCAGAGCUCCCAAGUGCGGCCUUACCGUUUCAUGCCGUCUUAGUUUCUCGAAGGUGCUCAUAGGUGUCCGAUGAUCCUGGCUUCCUGAAUGAGUAGCGGGCACUGUAUCAGACCAUCCGUAGGGCCCGCGAGGCCCUCUCCGUUGUCCUUUGAGUUGUUGCGCUCGCCGUGGCGCCGAGCAUUGUUAACAUCGUCAACGAACAUGAGGAUUCAGGAGAUGACUUUAUUUUGACUGGAUGACACUAGGGACCCACUAGGGCCAUAGCCGUACGUACGCAAGUGCCUCCUUAUUAUGUACAACUAUUUUUUUUUGCUUUCUCCUGGUUUCCUGACAUCACGGUCCCACACCAUUGUCAACCUAUGUAGUCAAUAUAAAUGAGAGAAUUGCACAAGGUGCGGCCGACAGCUGGGACCAAGCAGCUCGAGCAGUAUUUGUGUUUUUGAGGCGUGAGCACUGCAGAGUUUUUCUUGGCGAUGAUUUCGUUGUUGUUCAGAGGAGAGCAGGGUAUUAACUGGGCGGGUUGUGGCCCGUCUAGCCCAAGCCAGAUAUCCAGCCCAGAUACUAAUUUUUUCAAGAUGAAAAUGGCUAGCCCAGCUAUACGUCUUUUUGAGGAAUACCCGGGCAAAGUCAACUUGUUAUUCUCUGCCCCGCUGGGCUGCAAAUCUUUCCUAGGAGGGAUGCAUUAGGCUUAACAGGAAAAUGGGCUUUAAAAAAUAAUAAAUGGGAUGUAAUUAUAAAAAUUGGGCAGUAACUAUAAAAAAUGCGCCAAACACGAAAUUAGUUUAUAAAAUAUUAUUUAUGGAUUUUGAAAAUCUUAAAUUUUCAUUGUUGCGCGCGCAAUGUUUCGUUGGAUUUUUACGUAAUACAAAUUUAUAUUUAAUCUGACUAGAAAUUUCGGGAUAAAAAUAUUUCGGUUCCCAUCAAAAUGUGGGAAAUUUUAUUGAAUUCUGUCUUCAACGGUUGGUUGAAAUUAUUAAUCAUUGUCCUAGCUAGAAAAUGGGUUGUACUUUUAACAAACUGUAAAUGGGCUGUUGUAAAUUCCAUUAGAAUUCCAAAAUGGGUUGUACAUUCUUACAAAACGCAAAUGGGCUAUAAGUUCUCUGCCACAAACUUGUGGGCCUACUAAGUGACGUGUCCCCUAAAAGAAUAAGUUGACGCGUAUGCAAGGCUUUGCCAACUUAUUAUAGUCAACACACGGUUCUAGCAGCGGUGGCCGUUGGAUGUCUAUCCAACGGAUGUCGUGCUUCUUCAAUCUCCGAUAUUCUUUGCUUCGGCUGCCCAAAAAAUGAUUCCUCCCCCUGACAUCUGGGGCGCACCGUUUCGGAGGCUGACCUGUGGGCCUACUAAGUUGGAGCAUACCAAGGGCUUUGUCAACUUAGUCAAUAAUAAACAUUUCUAGCUUCAGUGACCGUACGAUGUCCAUCCAACGGCCGUAGUGCUUCUUCAACCUCUGGUCUUUUUGGUCCAGCCACCCAAAGAAGCGCCGGUCAUGCCGCCUGCUCCUGCCUCCCAUGGCCGGCUGUGCUGCCGCGGAGGCCUCACCGCCCCCAUACUACUCCCACCGCUGGCCAGGCCAUCCCUCCACUCACCCACACCCCCUGUUAUUCUGCGACGAUGACAGCCUCACACCGCAGCCAAACUAGUGAACCUUCGUACUCCUCUCCGCGCGGGCUUCCACUGCUGCGUCUUGCCCGGCUCCGCAUCGUCCCCUUCCUAGGCCUCACCGUCGUCCAGACCACCGCCUUGGUGCUCUUGGCGCGGUGUGGUCAACGUGAUCAACGACCGACUUCCAUCGGAAGAGUACUAUACGUGGAGAGGCUGACAGCUGGGUCCAGGCGGCCGCAAGGAAGUGCCUCCUUAUUACGCGCAAAAUAAUUAUUCCUCCACCUUACAGCAGGGACCCGCCGGACGGGCCACCUUAUUUCGCGAAAAAAACAUUUACCCCUGACUGCUCGGACCCACCGGACGGGCCAGCGUAUUUCGAGAAAAAAACAUUCCCCCGCUAUCAGCUCGGACCCACCGACAGUGCCUCCUUAUUACGCACAAAAAAUGAAUACCCCCCUGCUAGCUGGGACCCACCAUGGUGGGAGGCUGACUUGUGGGCUUACUAAGUUGACUGGGAUGGGGGCCUCUGUCAACUUUAGUCAAUAUGAACGAUUCUAGCUCCAGUGACCGUACGAUGUCCAUCCAACGGCCGUAGUGCUUCUUCAACCUCUGGUCUUCUUGCUCUAGCCGCCCAAAGCAGCGCCGGUCGUGCCGCAUGCUUCUGCCUCCCGUGGCCGGCUGUGCUGCCGCGGAGGCCUCACCGCCCCUACUAUUCCCACCGCUGGCCAGGCCCUGCGGCGAUGGCAGCCUCACACCGCAGCCGAACCAGUGAACCCUCGUACUCCUCUCCGCGCGGGCUUCCACUGUCGCGUCUUCCCCGGCUCCCCGUCGUCCCCUUCCUAGGCCUCGCCGUCGUCCACCGCCCUGGUGCUCUCGGCGCGGCGUGGUCAACGUGGUCAAGGAACGACUUCCAUCGGACGUGGACUGUACUUGGAGAGGUUGACAACUGGGUCCACGACCGCAGCAAGGAAGUGCCUCCUUAUUACGUGCAAAAUAAUUAUUCCUCCAACUGACAGCGGGGACCCACCGGACGGGCCACCGUAUUUCGCGAAAAAAACGUUUCCCCCUGACUGCUGGGACCGAUGAGCUACACCUUCGCACGCAAGGAAGUGCGUCCGGGCAAAAACAAAACAAAACGAUUCGCCCCCCUGACUGCUGGGACCCACCAACUACAUCUUUGCACGCAAGGAAGUGCCUGAUAGUUGGGACCCACAUGGUCGAAGCAUACGUAGCGUUGUCAUUCUAGUCGCGAACGUGUACGUACAUAUAUAUUGGUCGAUGUAGAGGCGCGCACAUGUCGUAGUAGAGGCGUGCACAUAGCAUGUACACGUACGUACAUCGGUCAGGGUGCAAGAAAUAAAAUACGGCCACAUAUGUGUACAUACGGUCGGGGUCUCAAACGCCUACUCGCGCAUACGUACAGCAAGGGCUCGUGUACAUGGCUGGGUCGGAACGGAGAAACAGCAUCGUCGUCAUGUUCAUGGGGAGGCAACGGAAUGCGUCAUGUUCAUGGGGAGGCAACGGAAUGCGUCGUGUUCAUCGGGAGGGCUUGGACGGAACAGGCGAUGGAAACGAGGCCCGGCGUACCGCAGAACAGAGGAAACGGCCUUGUGUUCGACCGGCCAUGGUCGAAACGGGAUCCUGUUCAUCAGGUGGGGUGUGGCGUACCGCAAAACAGAGGAAACAGACCUCCUACGCUCGAAACGGGGGUCCUGUUGAUCGGGAGGGGUGUGGCGUACCGCAAAACGGAGGAAACGGACCUCCUACGGGCGAAACGGGGGUCCUAUUGAUCGGGAGGGGUGUGGCGUACCGCAAAACAGAGGAAACGGACUUGUGUUGGAGCGCUAUGGUCGAAACGGGGGUCCNNNNNNNNNNNNNNNNNNNNNNNNNNNNNNNNNNNNNNNNNNNNNNNNNNNNNNNNNNNNNNNNNNNNNNNNNNNNNNNNNNNNNNNNNNNNNNNNNNNNNNNNNNNNNNNNNNNNNNNNNNNNNNNNNNNNNNNNNNNNNNNNNNNNNNNNNNNNNNNNNNNNNNNNNNNNNNNNNNNNNNNNNNNNNNNNNNNNNNNNNNNNNNNNNNNNNNNNNNNNNNNNNNNNNNNNNNNNNNNNNNNNNNNNNNNNNNNNNNNNNNNNNNNNNNNNNNNNNNNNNNNNNNNNNNNNNNNNNNNNNNNNNNNNNNNNNNNNNNNNNNNNNNNNNNNNNNNNNNNNNNNNNNNNNNNNNNNNNNNNNNNNNNNNNNNNNNNNNNNNNNNNNNNNNNNNNNNNNNNNNNNNNNNNNNNNNNNNNNNNNNNNNNNNNNNNNNNNNNNNNNNNNNNNNNNNNNNNNNNNNNNNNNNNNNNNNNNNNNNNNNNNNNNNNNNNNNNNNNNNNNNNNNNNNNNNNNNNNNNNNNNNNNNNNNNNNNNNNNNNNNNNNNNNNNNNNNNNNNNNNNNNNNNNNNNNNNNNNNNNNNNNNNNNNNNNNNNNNNNNNNNNNNNNNNNNNNNNNNNNNNNNNNNNNNNNNNNNNNNNNNNNNNNNNNNNNNNNNNNNNNNNNNNNNNNNNNNNNNNNNNNNNNNNNNNNNNNNNNNNNNNNNNNNNNNNNNNNNNNNNNNNNNNNNNNNNNNNNNNNNNNNNNNNNNNNNNNNNNNNNNNNNAUCCCAUCGAUCGGCUUCAGUUAGCAGCAGUAGCGAAGGAAUCGCUCGAUCGGGUUCAGUUAACAGCCAUCGAUCGAUUGCUCGGGUUCAGUAACGCGUAGCCUGCAGUGCAAUCGCUCGGGUUCAGUUAGAGCCCAACGCCUCGCUCGGGUUCAGUUAGAGCCAACGCCUCGCACACACGCGCAUACAUGUAUGAGAGAAACGCGCAUCGCUCGGCCCCCGACCUCCCACCGUAACCGGGAACUCCCCGAAAUUUUCCUCCCCCUCGCUUCUACCAUGGUUUUUUCCGUCAUGGACGGCCCAAAGAAUGUCAUGCAGCCGCGUCUCCGGCCCGCCCAGGACGAAAAACAAAUUUUCUGUCAUGAUUUUUUGUCAUAGAAGUAGGAGCCCACCACAUCUAUGAUUAUACCGGGUUUUGUCACAAUUAUCGUCAUAGAAGUGUCAUAUGUAUGACAGAAAAAAAAUUCGUUUGGCCCAACAUGUCACGGAUGUUUCUUUUUUUGUAGUGUGUGUGGAACUAGCUAGCUAGUACUACUUACUUUCGGGUAUGUCCAUCGCAGCUCCCCCGGCAGUCCCGGAGCUUGUGCGGUGAAUACUUUCCAAACCCUGCGAGACAAAGAAAAUAAUUACUUGAUAUCAGGAAAUGAACAAAAAGUUGCCGAUAUGGUGCGAUAAUGAUCGAUUGAACUUACUUCUCAAGAAUUUUAGUCAUGUCCACAUAGGUCUCGGGAGAUUUUUGUCUCGAGUCUAAGACGGUUACUAGUCCGUGCUCAAGCUUAAUCUCCAGGAGAAUAUAGUGGAAGCUGUGCACGCAUGCAUAACUCAUCAAUUACAUUACUAUAACCUCGAGUAAUAAGGGAAACCGAAUAUGCACAAGACAGUAACACUCACUUGAAGUUGUAAGGAAAGAGUAUUUUAUCUUUGUUUUGAUUUUGAAGCAAAGAUUUGAGCAAGUUGGCCUCGGUAUCUUUGGCUUGAAAUUUAAUCGUAAAUUCAUCUAUGUGAUUUGUGUUAAUGAACACAAUGUCAUAGAUUUCUACUUUUCUGCAUUCGACGAUCUUCAAUCUGCAUAAUAUAGUGAGGAUAAUCAUAUAUACAUGCAAUGAAAGAGCUGAGCUAUAUAUAGAGACUUAAUGGCAGAAGUAGUACUUACAGACAGUAGCAAGUGACCGUUAAUUUAUCGAGGGCCUUUUGAUUGAACCACUGGAAGAACUCCUCAAAUGGAACAGUCAACAGUUCAAUUCCAACGAGGUUGUGCUCCUCUUUAACUCUCAGCAUCAAAGUAUCCUUCCCCCUAGACUCUCUGCAGGUUUUCAUGUACCAAUCAUGGAAUCUUCGCAUCAUCAUUGUCAGAAUAGUUUCAUCUCUGACGAGAGGCUUCCUGUACUGGUAUUUGUGUUCGUCCACCUCCAUUAUAUCAAAAUUUGUGACGAUAUCGUCGGGCAGGUAAUCUCCAAGAUUGGUAUAACCGGGAACCAUCCUUGGAUCUUUAGCGACGAUAUCGCUAGACACCUUGAGCGGGGGGCACAAUUGGUUCACUUGUUCGCCGAGCUGGGCAAUUUUUUCCAGCUCGUCAUUCUGCUAACCUUCGAUCACUGAUAGUACUUCCCGACCGCUCCACUUCGAUAAAUGACUUUCUAAUAAUGCCCUCAUAGUUGGUUUUCGGCGGAGACGAUGGUGGUUUCUUCAGGGCAUUGAGUGUGCGCUUUGCUCUCAUCGGAUCUACCUUCUCCUCCUGUGGUGGAUGUUUCUUUGCUUUCACUGCUUCAAAGAAGUCCCUCACUUCGGCUUCCACGAUCUUCUUGUUUUCCUCCACGGACCUCUCAUAUGGUAACUUCUCUAGAGGCUUUAGAGAUGGACCGGAUCUUAAUUGCCUCCCGCCUCUGGCUGUACUGCUAGAUGCCGGCCGAGCAGACGGAGCGGCUGCGACUGUCUUCUUUGCUUGCUUAUGAGGCGGAGGAGAACGAGUACGACGCGCCGGAGCAGCCUGAGCGGCGGCGGGUCUCUUCCGCCCUUGCUGACGAGGCAGAGAAGGAGGAGGUUGGCUGCUCGGGCGCGCAGGCGCAGGCGGAGAAGGAGGCGGAGUGCUGUCACACGUCGGAGAAGGAGGCAGAGUGCCCUGGUCACUCGCCGGAGGAGGAGGAGGAGGAGGCGGAGUGCCCUGACUCGCCGGAGGAGGGGGGGAGGCGGAGGAGGAGGCGCAGUGCCCUGACUCGCCGGAGGNNNNNNNNNNNNNNNNNNNNNNNNNNNNNNNNNNNNNNNNNNNNNNNNNNNNNNNNNNNNNNNNNNNNNNNNNNNNNNNNNNNNNNNNNNNNNNNNNNNNNNNNNNNNNNNNNNNNNNNNNNNNNNNNNNNNNNNNNNNNNNNNNNNNNNNNNNNNNNNNNNNNNNNNNNNNNNNNNNNNNNNNNNNNNNNNNNNNNNNNNNNNNNNNNNNNNNNNNNNNNNNNNNNNNNNNNNNNNNNNNNNNNNNNNNNNNNNNNNNNNNNGCAGUGCCUUGACUCGCCGGAGGAGGAGGAGGAGGAGGCGGAGUGCCCUGACUCACCGGAGGAGGAGGAGGAGGAGGAGGCAGAGGAGGCGGCGGAGUGCCCUGACUCGCCAGAGGAGGAGGAGGAGGCGGAGGCGUCCAGUUCGGAAGGUUGAUGAGCUCCUUCCGCUAUAGGCAUGGAGUCUUCAGAGCUGAACCCAGCCGAGUCUCCCCUUCGCCGAUAGGUUGGUCAAGCUCGAUGUCGGUGUCAAAACCAGCGGAUCUCGGGUAGGGGGUCCCGAACUGUGCGUCCAAGGCGGAUGGUAAUAGGAACCGGGGGACACGAUGUUUACCUAGGUUCGGGCCCUCUCGAUGGAGGUAAUACCCUACGUCCUGCUUGAUUGAUCUUGAUGAUAUGAGUAUUACAAGAGUUGAUAUACCAUGAGAUCGUAGAGGCUAAACCCUAGAAGCUAGCCUAUGGUAUGAUUGUCCUCGUCCUAUGGACUAAACCCUCUAGUUUAUAUAGAAACCGGAGGGGGCUAGGGUUACACAGAGUCGGUUACAAGGAAGGAGAUCUACAUAUCCGUAUUGCUAAGCUUGCCUUCCAUGCCAAGGAGAGUCCCAUCCGGACACGGGACGAAGUCUUCAAUCUUGUAUCUUCAUAGUCCAACAGUCCGGCCAAAGGAUAUAGUCCGGCUGUCCGGAGACCCCCUAAUCCAGGACUCCCUCAGUAGCCCCUGAACCAUGCUUCAGUGAUGAUGAGUCCGGCGCGCAGAUUUGUCUUCGGCAUUGCAAGGCGGGUUCUUCCUUCGAAUACUCCAUGGAAGACUUUGAACACAAGGAUAGUGUCCGGCUCUGCAAAACAAGUUCCACAUACCACCGUAGAGAGAAUAAUAUUUCCACAAAUCUAAUCUACUGACACGUUUAGCAACAUGACAUCAUGCCAUGGCCCGGUCAUUAUUCGAACCGUUUUUCUCAACCAGCACUGCACAUAUCGCGAGGCAUUUUUCUUGACAUGUCUUGUCGAAGCAGAGAACGUGUCCCCUUAUUACGGGAUUCUCAUCAAUACGGGCGUGGGUAACCCAAUCGUGCCCGUUGGUAUGACUCCUCGAUUUUAGGCAAGUCCCAAACGGCCACGAGGAGGACGCUUGAUAUUCACCCUCUUUAUAAAUAUGCCAAGGCUUGUCCUUUUUUCCCUCUCGUACUCAAUCGAAUCCUUCCCCCGCCUCGAUUUCCAACACCCAAGGCUUAGGUCAGGCGCUUCGGACCUUCAACCAUGUCCGGAUCCAACCUUCAAGGUCGGUGGAUGCCUUCCUCUGUCACAGAGGAAGACAUCAAGAAGCUAAGAGGGCCAGGCAUUUGACCGGCGAAAUCUCGCACAGGCUGCCUACUCGAGGGCAGGUCAUUCCCACUCCUGGACCCGGCGAGAGCAUUGUAUUCAUAUCUCACUUCCUCCGAGGGCUAGGCCUCGCUCUGGAUCCCUUUGUUAGGGGGCUCAUGUUCUAUUAUGGGCUGGAUUUCCAUGACCUGGCCCGGGAUUCCCUCCUUCACAUCUCGUCGUUCAUCGUCGUGUGUGAGGCCUUUCUCCGCAUUACCCCACACUUCGGCCUAUGGCUCAAGACCUUCAAUGUGAAGCCGAAGAUGAUCGAGGGGUGACACACAAAGUGCGGAGGUGUCGUAAUAUGCAAAAGCGUUGAUGUUCCAUGGCCGGAGGGUUCCUUCCCAGAUGUGUCCAGUUUAUGGCAGCGGGAGUGGUUUUAUAUCACAGCUCCUCGGAGUACCAAGUGGGUAGCCACCCCUGCCUUUCGCUCGGGCCCCCCACCUCAACUGACGUCAUGGAUCAACAAGGGGCUAGACUAGGGGCCAGUAAAUGAUGUGCCGAUAUUGCAGAGUCGCUUCCGAGAUCUCCUCGAGAGAGAUGUCAGCCUGGUCACGGUAAUGCAAGUCAUGCUAGUUCGUCGAGUCCCGCCUUGCAAACGUCGACCCCUCCGUAUGUGGGAAUUCAACCCGGAAGGACCGCGAACUAUUCAGCACUUCCUCGGCAUGACGCUUGAAGAGAUGUACAAAUUGUUCUUCGGUCCACAAAUAAGGUGUCCAGACACCACCGAGGAUGUGGGUCUGAGCUGCAAUCGCCCAGAUACCCAAGUAAGUAAUUCCGUGGCCGAACACACUGUCUUUUUAUUUAUCAUAACAUCAUUCUGAAAAGUCGCUCUUUGACCAGGACUGGGUAAGAAAGGCGAAGAUGAUCAGGUGUUCGGCCCCCCUUCCCGAAGGCUCAGCAAAUCCAGUACUGGCCAGAAUGCUCGAGCCGGCGCCUUAUCAGGCGCCCUCAAGGGAAGAUAAAGGGGGAAUAAAGAGGCUGAAAGCAGGCCUCACUCAUUAUCCAUCCAAACCAGGGGAAUUAGCGCCUCCACGAAGGAGGAUAACCAGGGAGAAGAAUCUGAAAUUCCCUCUCCCCAAGGAAGGAAGAAGACCACCUCUGAAGACCCAGAAACAAAGGUUUCCAAACGGGGGAAGAGAUCUUCGCCAGGGGGUCCUGCCUCGGCGGGUACUCUUGCCGCACAGUGCCCACAAGGGGAUCAGCACUCUACCAAGCUGUAAGUAAACAAAAAGUACUUAAUAGUAAAAAUAUCCUACAUUACUUCUGAAGACAAUAACCAAAGCAUAUGUUCUGUAGUUCGGAUCGUAGCCCUUCUCGACAGAGUUUGUCUUCGGGGGAUCUUCUUCUGGAGAUGAUGGAGAGCGAAACACCUCCCCAUGCCACCCCGCUUCAUGAGGCGGGCGACCACGAAGUGUCGUUGCGGAGGGUUUCUCCUGAUCCGCCAAGGCCAAAGGGUAAUCCUUCGGCCACUCGAAGUCCUCAGUAUUCGGAUCCUAAAGAGAGCAACAAAAAGAGUCCGGAACCAUCCGGUGUGUGAUCGGACACACUGAAGGAUCUUCUGGAGCAAGUAGCCAUCUCAGAAGCGCAUCGUACGCUAAUGGGUACGGUGAUUGAGAGGAUUUCAUCCGCCAAAAGCGGGUUGCAUGAAGCUUUUAUGAGUCUGCUGAAAGGCUUUGAGGUACGUGAAAUAGUGUAUGUUUUGACGGUACCACACACGUUAGGUGUACCCUAUGCAGAUACUAGCCCCUGAGACUCUGGUUGUUGUCGAGAGCGGAGGCAAACAGAAGAUCAUAGUCCCAGGAAUAAUCAGGCCACCUUCAUAUGCAGGUGGCGGAAGGUCCGGUGGCUAGCCGGACUGGUGAGGUGGCCGAGCUAAAGCGGCAACUUGAUGCGGCAGAUGCCGACAUCGUGCUUGUCAACAAGCAACUCGAUGAGGCACAGGGUAUGUGAUUUCUCUGGUGAUCAACACAUAGUAAGAGGAGCAUGAUGCUAGUAUCUUUAAUAUGUUAUGACUGCAGAUGGAGAUGCCGCCGUGGAGACCCUUCGGGAGGAACUUGCCCGAGCCAAGGAAUAGUGAUGGGGCCGCUCUAAAGGCAGUCGAAGAGCUGAGAGCCGAACAGGCUACGCAUUGCCAAAGCAAGGAAAAAAUAGGCAAGAUGGCUAUUGAGUUAAAAGAUGUCGCCGAUCAUUACCAGCUUCUUGAAAAAGAAAGCCGAGCGAAGGCGACGGACCUGGAGAAGGCCAUGGUAGCAGCCAAGGAAGCCCGCUCUAAAAUCAGGGCGGCAAAGGAGGAGCUGCGUCAAGCUGGAGAUAUCGUGGCUGGGAAGCCCUUUUUGUUGCGGACGAAGUUCGGAGAUCCAAAGUAUGCCCCUCUUGAUCAACUAUGGAGUUCUGCACAUGUGUACGUGGAUUUGGCAGCAAGUGUUGCUGAUGCGGCCGAGUACUUCAAGGAUCAAAAAGAUCGUGAAGUGGAAAAGAUGUUCUGGUCAUAGUUCCAUGUUCCAGUGCGUCCGCUAUUGCUGAAUGAGCGAAUGGCCGAAUGGGCCGAGCUCCAUAGGUUGUCCGGGCUUGCCAUGAGGUCUGUUGUGGAUCAUCUGUGGCCGGAAGGGCCAAUGCCGAAUAGUGCAACGGUUCCUUGGUGCUAUGCCGCAUAUCGAUGCUAUAAAGAGGUCGGCGUGCAUAGAGGGUGCGCGUAUGGCACUUGCCCGUGUCAAGACAUACUGGGCAGAGAUGGAGGCCACCGCUAUUGCAACCCAGAGUUCGGCCGUAGGCCGAGUAUCUGCCGAGCACUACUUUGAAGAAGUCCUUGAAGGCGCUCGUUCAAUAGAGGCUCAGUGCUCCAAGAAUAUUAUAUUCUAGUGACAUGUAUUCCCAUUGUAAAAACAAUGUUUUAUUGAAUUAUGUAGGCUGCGUUUAUACUUUUGCCUGAAAGUAUUAUGAUGCCUCUUGUGCGGCCGUUUAUGUAUAUAUGUAUAUAACCUGAAAGUUUACAGUCGUCGGCUUCAGCCCCCACGCAUAUAAUCCGGGGGUGUUCGUAAAAAAUGCGUAUUCACACUUGAUCCAACGUCUUGGUCCAUUAAGGAGGUGGUAGCGCAGCGAACGAGGCAAUCAGACUAUACUGCUUUAACACUUUCACUUAACCAAUGUCAGUGUCAAAACCAGCGGAUCUCGAGUAGGGGGUCCCGAACUGUGCGUCUAAGGCGGAUGGUAACAGGAGCCGGGGGACACGAUGUUUACCCAGGUUCGGGCCCUCUCGAUGGAGGUAAUACCCUACGUCCUUCUUGAUUGAUCUUGAUGAUACGAGUAUUACAAGAGUUGAUCUACCACAAGAUCGUAGAGGCUAAACCCUAGAAGCUAGCCUAUGGUAUGAUUGUCCUCGUCCUACGGACUAAACCCUCCGGUUUAUAUAGACACUGGAGGGGGCUAGGGUUACACAGAGUCGGUUACAAGGAAGGAGAUCUACAUAUCUGUAUUGCCAAGCUUGCCUUCCACGCCAAGGAGAGUCCCAUCCAGACACGGGACGAAGUCUUCAAUCUUGUAUCUUCAUAGUCCAACAGUCCGGCCAAAGGAUAUAGUCCGGCUGUCCGGAGACCCCCUAAUCCAGGACUCCCUCACUCGAGGUCCUCAAAUCCCUCCAUUAUUUCAUCCACCGUCACCCUAGCAUAUCCUUCUAGAAUUGGACGGCAGUGAAAAGUUGCAUCGGGUUCGGGAGGUCGAAUAGAGCCGACAGCCGCCUUGACUUUGAAGUUCUGCCAUUGCAUCAUAAGGUGGCAAUUUUGAGACUCCCUGAUAGCAUCCACGGGGUAGCUAGCAGGAGCCACGUUGCUUCUCCGCUGAGAUGGCUGGGUAGCUACGGGGGUAGCUUCGGCAGGUCGGUUGCUACGAACUUCUUCUCGUUCCUCUAUUGCUUGUACCCUUGCGUGCAGCGCCUGCCAUUGGGUAUGCUCUACUUUCUUCCUCCUCUCCUGGCAUUUGUAACCGCCUGCGUCCGGAAACCCAACCUUCAAUGGAACGGAGCCUGGCAUGCCUCAUGUCCGUCUAGGGUGCUCAGGAUUCCCGAGGGCCAUUGUGAGCUCGUCAUUCUCUCUAUCUGGAACAAACAUCUCGUCCUACGCUGCGGCGAUAUAGAACUUAAGCUUCGUGACGGGUAUUCACAUUUUCUCUUUCGUCCAAAUGCACGUCCCUUUUAUAGGGUCCAAGCUUUCGCCAACCCCGAAGAACCAAGUCUGGCAACGGUCUGGCCGGUGCAAUGUCUCUGGUUCUACCCCUUUAUCAAGCAGGUCAUUCUCAGUCUUGGCCCACAACGGCCGGGCUUUGAGGUAGCCACCUGACCCCGUGCGAUGGUGAUGCUCCUUCUUCGCAGCAUUUAUCUUCUUUCUCGCUGACAUCUGCUUACUCUUCUCCGAUGUCUUGUGGGCCACAAAUUCGUCCCAGUGAUCUCUGAUCUUCUCAUACCGGCCAGUGAAUUCUGGUGUCUCUUCUUUGUCGAUAAACGUUGUUUUCAGCUCAUUCUUCCACCUCCUGAAUAGUCUGCCAUCUUCUUAAGAGCAUGAGACUUGAUCAAUUGCUCUUUAACUGGCUUCUCCGGAUCCUCCUCUGAUGGUAGGGUGAAAUUUGCCUUCAGCGCGGUCCAAAGAUCAUCUUUCUGCAUAUCAUUGACAUAAGAGACCUCAGGGUCUUCCUUUUUAGGCUUCAACAUUGUUGGAUGCUGAUCGGGAUCUGGUCCCUAACUAGAACCCCGCACUGAGCAGCAAAUGCUUCCUUUGUCCGGAUGGGUUCAAUCGGUUGGCCAUCGUGCACGAUUGCUGUGAUCGUGAACCUUUCAUCUGGGCGCAACUUUUUCUUCGGGCCUCGUUUCUUUACCGAAGUUGUGCUCGAUCCGGAGGGCUAGAAAAAAGAAGAAAGACGAGAGUUAAUAUGUGUACAUACCAAAACAAUGAAUGCAUCAAUUAGCUAGUCAGCAUAGGCUUAAUAUAUACCUGGCCGGACUCUGUUCGGUCAACGGAGCCGUCAUCACGGUCUCCUUCUUGCACCGGCAUUCGGUCACCGGAGCCAUCAUAAUAAUGUAUUUCCUCCUCCAUUGUUCGAUCCCUGUAGCCUGCUUCUUCACCCUAUCCUUCCAGACCAUCAUUGUCGUUAAGAUACAACAUGACAUCACCUCCGGCUAAGAUUAUGCCCCCCAACACCUGUUCUGCUGCCUCGUCUCGUCCGUGCUCCAUUGUUUCUGGAAAUAUUACAACAUGGCAAUUAUUAUACAAACAUGAUAGCAGGUGGAAAUAUUAGUGUCAAACGUAGACCUAGCUACCUAAUCACAACAAGGAAUCAUAUUAGUGGCCUCGACGCUUCUCUAGUGUUUGGGGUGGCCUCAGCAACGCUUCUAGGGUUUGGGUCAACUUGUGCACAUCUAUAAUGGGGGCAUUCUUGAUAAAUCUGGACCCUCGACCCCUGGACGACCCCCGACCCUCGACCCCCUCAUGUCACCUUUGUCUAGUGUCAAAGGAUUCAACAAAACCAUGUCUUAAUCAUUAGGCGAAAGUAACAGGCGCAUGAUGGUAUGGAGUUCUGCAAAGUUGUUCUGGAACGGAGUCCCAUAUAGGUUAAUUCGCUUUUUCAUACAAAGUUCAGCAAGAGCCUUCCGAAUAUCGCUAUUUGGAAGGCCUUUGCUGAAAUUCAUACAAAAAGGCAAAUUAUUCUAUCAUGAACUCCGUUCCAAAACAACUUUGCACAACUUCGUAUCAUCAUGCCCCGGUUACUUCCGACUAAUGAUGAAGCCAUGGAUUUCUUCAAUACUUUGACACUAGGCAACCUCUCGACCCCUCGGUGACCCUCGAACCUCUACCCUAGUUCCCGACCCUUGCCCCUCGAACCCUCGGCGACCCCCCACCCACAUGUCAAAGUUAUUGGGGAGGGAUAUCGACCCCCCACCCUCAUGUAAGAAGAGGAAAAAGAUCGAAGAAGAAAAAAGAGGAGAAGUAGAAAGGAAUAGAGGAAAAGAUCAAAGAAAAAAAGAAUAAAAAAAAGAUGAGAAGAAGAAAGGAAUAGAGGAGAAGAAGAAAAAAUAUCUUCUUCUCCUCUAUUCCUUUCUUCUUCUCCUCUUUUUUUCUUCUUUUUUUCUCUUCUUAUUUUUUUCUCCUCCCCUCUUCUCCUCCUUUCUUCUUCUCCUUCUUCCUCUUCUUAUCUUUUUCUUAUUUUCCUUCUUCUUCUUUUUCAACUAUAAUGCACUAUAAAUCAACUAACCUAAAUCAACUAACUCAGCAUAUGAAGAAGGAAAUGUUAUCAGAGAGAAGGUAUAUCGAACCCCCCCCCCUCAUGUAUCCACAUACAUCCACCCAUCCAUCUAUGGAUCAUCAUUGGAAAAAAUGCAUACAUCCAUGGAUCAUCAUUUCUCAUAUAUAUCCAUCUAUAGCCACAUACAUAUAUAAAUAGAAAAAAUGCAAUAAAAAAUACAUUUUGGACAUCUAAAUUUCUUUUAUGAACAACUAAAAACAUCUGAAAACAACAUAUAAGAAAAUCUAAAAACAUAUAAACAAAUAGCAUAUAUAUAACAAAAAAAGGAAAGCUAGGGGUCGGCUGGGCAGAGGGGCAUGGCAGCGCCGGCGCCGGCGGGGCAGGGCAGGGGCGCGGGUGUGCGAGGCAGGGCAGUGGCGCGAGGCAGGUGCUCAUAGNNNNNNNNNNNNNNNNNNNNNNNNNNNNNNNNNNNNNNNNNNNNNNNNNNNNNNNNNNNNNNNNNNNNNNNNNNNNNNNNNNNNNNNNNNNNNNNNNNNNNNNNNNNNNNNNNNNNNNNNNNNNNNNNNNNNNNNNNNNNNNNNNNNNNNNNNNNNNNNNNNNNNNNNNNNNNNNNNNNNNNNNNNNNNNNNNNNNNNNNNNNNNNNNNNNNNNNNNNNNNNNNNNNNNNNNNNNNNNNNNNNNNNNNNNNNNNNNNNNNNNNNNNNNNNNNNNNNNNNNNNNNNNNNNNNNNNNNNNNNNNNNNNNNNNNNNNNNNNNNNNNNNNNNNNNGGGGCGGCGGGCGGCAUCGGGACGGCAUCGGGCGGCGUCGGCGACGGCAACGAGGAGCGGCCUGGCGGCGUCGGGGGAGAAUGGGAGCAGUUGGGCAAAAUUUUCUAAGUGUGGGCUUAUAUAGUAGAACCUUUUGUCCUGGUUGGUGGCACCAACCGGGACGAAUACACCCCUUUGGUCCCGGUUCGUGCCACCGACCGGGACCAAGGGUCUCUGUUUCACCAAAGGGGUGUAUCCGUCCCGGUUGGUGCGACGAACCGAGACCAAAGGAGGGUAUUCGUACCGGUUCGUCCCAUCAACCGGGACCAAAGGGUGGUACAACGGUGGUGUGGUGGGAGUUUAGUCCCACCUCGCUAGCUGAGAGAGCUCAUCACCUAUUUAUAAGCUACGUUGCGGCUCAGGUGCUGAGCUCCUCUCUAAUAUGUAGGCAAUACUUGCCUACCCUUGUCACUACCAUGUUGGGCCUAUUGGGCCUGCGGGCCUGCAUCCUGGCCCAUGUACAGAUGGGUUUCUAGUCGUAUGCAGGCCGUGUGGCCUAGUAGGCGGCAUUUUUUUUAUUUUUUCCAGUAAUUUUCUUUUUUUGAAUUAUUUAUUUUCUUUUGAUUUUGCUUUAUUUUUUUAUUCUUUUUGCUUUUAGGUUAGAAUAAUUAUAAACUUUCUAUUAGUGCCAUUAGUUUCCAAAUUUGAAUAGUUUAAAUUUGAAUUCUUUGAAAUUUGUGUGAAUCACUAGUUUGUGAAUAACUUCACUAUAAAAAUAUAUUUUGAGUGAUUCUUUUUCCUGCUAUUUAAUAUUUCUGCAUUUUAUCAUUAUAUUAAAAAACAGAUUUUGUUAUUUUAGUUUCUAUCAAAAAUAUUCUUUAUGAAAAUUCUUUUUGCUACUAAAGUUUCUAACAAAAAAUUCUUUAUGAUAAUUCUUUCUGCUUUUCAUGUUUUGAUAAUUCUUUCAUGCUUUUGGUUGCAUAAAUUUUAUAUAAGUUUAAAAAAUAUUAGAGGUUUAUAAAAGCUUUUUAGUUGAUUCCUUUUGCUAUUAGAGUUUUAUAAAAACUUUUUAGUUGAUUGUUUUUGCUAUUGAAGAAUAUUAUAGUUUUGUUUUAGUUGAUCAUAACAUAAUAUUUUAAUUGAUUAUUUUAAGUUCAUUAUUUUUGCUAUUAGUUCAUUAUUUUUGCACUAAAUGACCCUGAAAUUGAAAAGCACUACAAAUGAACUCUAAAAAGGUUGAAAGUUGGCAUGGUAUCAUAAUUUCACCCACAUAGCAUGUGCUAAAAAGUUGAGAGGGUUACGGCAAAAACUGGAUGCACGUCCUGUACAAAAUGGACAAUCUCUUUCGAAGUAUCAGGGUUUCGGACGAAAACUCAUCUGUUACAAAGGGAUUUUAUUUUUUUUGAACUUAUUUCAACUCCGGACUUUUUGUGUGUUCAAAAUGCACCAUUCAAAGACACAUGGAUAGAUAAGUGACCAAAUUAAUAGAAGUUCAUCAUCACAUUAUGUGUGUCAAAAACCAUUACAGAUUCAUAUGGAUAGAUAAGUGACCAAAUUAAUAGAAGUUCAUCUUCACAUUAAAAACAAAGUAUAUACAUAGUUCUCAUUGAACAACAUAUAGCUCUCCAGAGCAUCUUGUUAAAGCAUACAUUGAAACUAUGUAAAACCUUUCAAUGCAACAACAAAUGCGAUCAUAAUCACAACCAAGGUAAAAAUUAAUCCAACGGCAUAAUAAUACCAAGCCUCGGUAUGAAUGGCAUAUUUUCUAAUCUUUCUAAUCUUCAACCGCAUUGCAUCCGUCUUGAUCUUGUGUGUUGGGUUCUACGGUAGGGUGCGUCGACUACAAAUUAAAAUUUUCCUACGCGCAGAACAACCAAGAACAUGCUACGGGAGAUGGAUCACAGUUCGUUACCACUAGACGCGUAGUGCCGUGCAGCGGAAGAAGAGUUGGGCAGCGCGUCUGCGUGGAUCGUAUCCUCCUCUUCUGAUCUCCCUCGUACAGUUGGUAGUCGGUUCCCACGUACAGGUUCGCCGGAGCGGCGCAAGUGCACCGCCUCUAACAGUAUCCGCGCGUGCAGGAGGAACGUCGUGCGGCGGACUGCUAGGUCCGAUCACACAACCGGCGGCGAGUGGAGGUGUCUAUUCGCAACACAUGCAAACCCUAGUGACAGCGCCGAAGCGAUCAACCGCGUGAGUGUGUAGCACCUCCACUUCAUAUAGGCGUCCGUCGCGGGCUCAACACUUGGGCCUCGCACGGACCCUAAAGCCCAUAAGUCUACUCGGCCACAAUCCGAAUACAGCUCGGAUCACAUCCGACCAGUGUCCUCGGAUCCGACCUUGUAGGUUCCUUCCCUUAAGCUCGCGACCCUUUAGGUUCAAGUCGGCUUGGUCGUAGUUCGGAUCACCUCCGUACUACAUGGCUGGUAGCGGCCUGCUACCUCUUGAGCACUGCGUUGGUUUUCCCUUGAAGAGGAAAGGGUGAUGCAGCAAAGUAGCAUAAGUAUUUUCCUCAGUUUUUGAGAACCAAGGUAUCAAUCCAGUAGGAGGCUACGUGCGAGUCCCUCGCACCUACACAAAACAAAUAAAUCCUCGCAACCAACGCGAUAAGGGGCUGUCAAUCCCUACACGGUCACUUACGAGAGUGAGAUCUGAUAGAUAUAAUAAGAUAAUAUUUUUGGUAUUUUUAUGAUAAAGAUGCAAAGUAAAAUAAAAGGCAAUGAAAAUAAAUAAGUGUUGGAAGAUUAAUAUGAUGGAAUAUAGACCCAGGGGCCAUAUGUUUCACUAGUGGCUUCUCUCAAGAGCAUAAGUAUUUUACGGUGGGUGAACAAAUUACUGUUGAGCAAUUGACAGAAUUGAUCAUAGUUAUGAGAAUAUCUAGGUAUGAUCAUGUAUAUAGGCAUCACGUCCGAGACAAGUAGACCGACUCCUGCAUGCAUCUACUACUAUUACUCCACACAUCGACCGCUAUCCAACAUGCAUCUAGAGUAUUAAGUUCAUAAGAACAGAGUAACGCUUUAAGCAAGAUGACAUGAUGUAGAGGGAUAAAUUCAUGCAAUAUGAUAAAAAACCCAUCUUGUUAUCCUCGAUGGCAAUAAUACAAUACGUGCCUUGCUGCCCCUACUGUCACUGGGAAAGGACACCGCAAGAUUGAACCCAAAGCUAAGCACUUCUCCCAUUGCAAGAAAGAUCAAUCUAGUAGGCCAAAUCAAAUUGAUAAUUCGAAGAGACUUGCAAAGAUAACCAAUCAUACAUAAAAGAAUUCAGAGAAGAUUCAAAUAUUGUUCAUAGAUAAACUUGAUCAUAAACCCACAAUUCAUCGGUCUCAACAAACACACCGCAAAAGAAGAUUACAUCGAAUAGAUCUCCAUGAGAGAGGGGGAGAACAUUGUAUUGAGAUCCAAAAAGAGAGAAGCAGCCAUCUAGCUAAUAACUAUGGACCCGAAGGUCUGAGGUAAACUACUCACACUUCAUCGGAGGGGCUAUGGUGUUGAUGUAGAAGCCCUCCGUGAUCGAUGCCCCCUCCGGCGGAGCUCCGGAACAGGCCCCAAGAUGGGAUCUCGUGGGUACAGAAAGUUACAGUGGUGGAAUUAGGGUUUUGGCUCCAUUUCUGAUCGUUUGGGGGUACGUAGGUAUAUAUAGGAGGAAGGAGUACGUCGGUGGAGCAACAGGAGGCCCAUGAGGGUGGAGGGCGCGCCUGGGGGGUAGGCGCGCCCCCUACCUUGUGGCUUCCCUGUUGGUUGCUUGACGUAGGGUCCAAGUCUCCUGGAUCUUGUUCGUUCCAAAAAUCACGUUCCCGAAGGUUUCAUUCCGUUUGGACUCCGUUUGAUACUCUUUUUCUGCGAAACUCUGAAAUAGGCAAAAAACAGUAAUUCUGGGUUGGGCCUCCGGUUAAUAGGUUAGUCCCAAAAAUAAUAUAAAAGUGAAUAAUAAAGCCCAAUAAUGUCCAAAACAGAAGAUAAUAUAGCAUGGAGCAAUCAAAAAUUAUAGAUACGUUGGAGACGUAUCACGGCCUUUAGCAAGGCGUGUCGACCACCAAGCAGACGUUGAAGCUGAUUAGGCGGACCUGUACAUCACACUUCCAUUCCUUUUGCCACAUGAUAUAUGUUGUCGGGCUCAAGGCGAGUCUGUCAUCCUUGUGCUAGCCCGACCUCUUUCUCGUUCCAGUGAUGCCGACCACAAACCAGAUUAUCUCAUAAUCCUUGUCGCAUGGCCAUGCUUAUCCUGGUCGGAUCACACGAGGGGCCCAGAGUCUAUCUCUCCUGAUCGGAGGGGCAAAUCCCAUCUUGCUCGACCACGUCUCGCGGCAUGGUUCUGGAAAAACCUGAAACCUACCUUUAUAACUACCCAGUUACGGAGUAGCGUUUGGUUGGCCCAAAGCAAGUCUGUCACCAUCCUGAGUACAUGCGUCAGCUCAGGUCUUAGGACAUAGAACAUAUGUUGUACUAGAGACUCACAGAUGACAUAUCGCUGUGUCUCAUAGUUGGGUCUGUCCGACUCGGACCUUAUCUCGACUCGGAUCCGACUAUGUCGAAUCCGACCAGAUCCUUCCAAGUCCAUAUUAUCCGGUUAGCGUCCAAUGCUCCAUGGCUAGUGAGACCAAGCCAUCAACCGUGUCAUAUGCUAGUCUAGUUGGCUGCGCAUCCACACAGCCCUUUCGACUAGGGACCUUUUAGGACAAUCAUCAUACAAUGCAUAGUCCCACAAACAAGUCACGUACUUGCUGAUACACAUCAUUGAUAAUGUCCAAGGACUAUCUUUAUUCAUAAACACAUAGGAAAUAUCAUCAUACAUGAUUGCCUCUAGGGCAUACCUCCAACAUUAUGAUCAUCGACGACAUCCGCAACAUGCAACUCCAAUAUCAUCUUCUCCUCCUCAUUUUUUAUUUUUUCUUCAAGUAAUUGUUUUCUUCUUCAACUAAAUUUAACUCUCAACAAUAGGGUCGGUUGGAAUUUCCGGUUCAACUACCUCCUACAUAAAUAAAAUCUAUGUCACAUUGGUCGGCAUAAUUGUCAUAAACAAUAAAUGAACCAAAUAGUUAUAAAAAGAUAAUAUAUACCACAUCUGAAUCAUAGACAGGACGAGGGCCGAUGGGGGCGGAUACCAAAACCAUCGCACUAUAUAUUAACAAGCAAUAAUAAAAGUAAGAAAAUUAGACAAGUAUCUAUCUAAAGUAAGAAUUCUUUUCUUUUAGAAAGAAGAUAAGAACAAGAGGCUCACCACGGUGGUGCCGGCGAUGAGAUCGGCGCGGGCGAUCGACGAUAGUGAAGACGGGGACGGGACGUGACGGACCGCUAAACCUAUGCAAAUAUUGGGGAAUGGAGCUUGGAGGUCGAGCUUCGAGAGGAGAAAGCUUAACUAGUGUGGCUUGGGCAUUUCAUAGAACACCUUAUGCGCAUAGGAGGUGAGCUAGAGCACCCAAAUGCCUUCUCCUCGCCGGCCAGAAAAAACAAAGCACUGUGGAGUGCUCUGCUGCGGCGAUGGGGGUAUAUAUAGGCAACUCAUUUGUCCCGGUUCGUGGCUGGAACCGGGUCUAAAGCUCCCCCUUCUGUCCCGGUUCGAGCCACGAACUGAGACCAAUGUAUGUGGGCCAGGAGCGAGGCCCAUUGGUUCCGGUUCGUGCAAGGAACCGGGACAAAUGUGUCCAGACGAACCGGGACCAAUGCCCACGAGACACUACUAGAAAAAGGGCUGCUAGUGGCACACCUAUUUUCGCUACUAAUGGCGCACUACAGGUGCGCCACUAGCACCACGCCAUUAGAUUUUUUUUUACUAAUGGCGCACCACCGGUGCGCGAUUAGUAUCUGGUAUACUAAUGGCGCACCACAGGUGCGCCAUUAGUAUAGCCCAUGGUGCGUCAUUAGUAUCUGGUAUACUAAUGACGCACCACGCAGGAGUGCGCCAUUAGUAGUAAAAAAAAUUCAAUUUUUUUUCUUAAUCUCGGGUCACUAUGGCUUAAUCUCGGGUCAACUCUGCGGUCAAACUUCCCAGAAGAGCACGCUUAACUUCGUAGUUCUAUCCAACCCCAGCACCACCUCACUUCACAGGCACUUGUUGAUAUAUCUAUCAUAUCAAUCCUAUUAAACCUUGCUGAUGUCUAGGACUUAGUUCAUGAGUAUGAUGAAAUUUUGAAAAAAAUAUUUCAAACUUUCCGGUCAUAUUUCGAAAAAUAAUUCAAUUUUUUUUCGAAACCAAUUCUUUUUUCUGUUACUAGUGGCGCACCUAGCAUACGGUGCGCCCCUAGUAAGUUUGAUUUUUUUUGAUUUUUUUUGCCUCCGGAUCUUAAAAGCCCCGUAACUUUUUUCUGUUAGGUUUUUAGGGAUUUUGAAAAUGUUUAACCGGGUUCCCCCCGUUAUAUUUGGAUGUAACUUUUCGAGUAGAUGAUUUUUCAUAUAGAAAUUUUUUUAAUCCGAAUUCGUAUGCAAAAGUUAUGCCCAUUUUACAAAUUCCAGAGAGAUUUUGCAAAUAAAGUCAAAAUUCAUAUUUGUAAAUUUCCCAACAACUAGACCACAUAUCACAUAGGAAGCUUAUUUUCUUUUAUUUUUUUGAUACUUUCAUCAAUUUCUUUUAUUUUUUUUAAACUGAAAAGGCAGUCCACGCGGAGGGGGGUGCAUUCGGUGGAAGUUUUGGGCCAAGUUAGUAAUGGCGCACCGUGGGAGUGGUGCGCCAUUACUAGUAGUAAUGGUGCACCACUCCCACGAUGCGCCAUUACUAGUUUAAAAAAAACAAAUUUUGAAUUUUUUUUUGAAAAAACUUAGUAAUGGUGCACCAGUUGACAGUGCGCCAUUACUAGUAAUGGCGCACUGUCCACUGGUGCGCCAUAACUAGUUUUGAAAAAAUAAAUAAAUAAAUUUAAAAAAAAUUUACUAGUGGCGCACCGUGGAUGUGGUGCGCCAUUACUAGUUUAACUAGUAAUGGCGCAUUAUCCACUGGUGCGCUUUUACUAGUUUUGAAAAAAAUGAAAAAAAAUGUUACUAAUGGCGCACCAUGGAUGUGGUGCGCCAUUAGUAUUUGGACACUAAUGGCACACCUACACAUGGUGCGCCAUUAGUAUUAGUAUAUACUAAUGGCGCACCACAUGUCUUGUGUGCCAUUAGUGACCAUAUCAUCUAUAGCCAUUUUUCUAGUAGUAGCAUCGUCAGAGGGCGAGUGGAGGUGUGUCUCCAGCAGAUCCCCCGGGAUUCGGCCGGUGGUUGUCUUUGUUGGUUCUGCUUGGAUCCGGUCUUCGUUCAUCUAUGCUCAUCCUUCCGAAAUACGCUUCUAUUCAUCUGCGACGGUUGUUGUUUUGGUGCGGUGGUCCUAUUGAGCCUUAACAUGACGAUUUCCGACUGUCUACUACAACGAAAAAAAAUCCGGCUCCAACGAGAGCGAGGGGCCAUGACGGUGACAUGCCUUCGCUCACUUCAGUGCUUGUAGUCAUUGCUAGAUCGUUUACAGAUUUGGAUAUAAUUUUUAUUAUUUCGGGUGUUCGUCGUAAUGCCAAGUUUGAAGAUGAAUAGAUUAAAAGUUUUUUGGAAAAGAAAUUCAUGUACAUUUUUUUUGAUUAAAGAAAUUCAUGUAAUUUUUUUGAGUAACGAGAAAUUCAUGUAAUUAAAGACUAAAUAUGUUGCUGUCUCUUAAGUCAUUUUGGCCAUUUAUUUCACAACUAUUCCCCGCUUGGCUUGGCUUGGCUGGCCGUAUUUUCAAGACGAAAAAUGCGCAUGCUGUAUUUCAGAAUAGAGAAAAACAGAUAUGCAAAAGAGAAGCAUCCUAUUUUGGCCACGAACGGCCUGGCUUGGAAGCGUGCACCCGACGCUGCGUGAUUCCCCCACAAAACAAGGUGGGAUUCCAAGUUCGGAUGCCUCCUGCGAUCGCUCUUGUAGACGACUAGCAACACAGUCGGCGCUUUAUACUCUUGAUGACGAUCAUGGCCGGGUGCUUCUUUUGCAUCUCACUGCUGCCUCGAGCCUUGAUCGACGUGCCCCACUUUCGUCGACAAAGCUACUACUUGCUCUAUCAUGAAAGUUUCAAGCAGAAUACGGAAGAAAUUCACAUGCCGAAGGCGAUGGUUGGGUCGGGAUAAGAGAGCCAUCCGGUGAAACGGAGUUGGUAAAACUAUCAUCUUGUUCUGCCCAUCUUAUUUUCUGGCAGAAACUAGUAUGGUGCAUGCAAUCCCGCGUACCAAACUGAACACGUAGUCGCAACACUUUUUUUUUCAACCGGUCGGACUCCGACGAGGCCCCGUUUCUGAAGUUUGUGGGUUUCUCGAAGCAUCUGGGGCGCUCCUGCGUAUUGGCAGCGCGAAAGUGUCCACCGAGAUCAACGUUCGGCUGGUGCAGGUGAGGUAGGUGAACCUGCCGUGGUGUGCUAUCAAGUUUUCGAGGCAAACUUUUGUCCCUGUGGGAGUAAAAUCGGAAGUGGAUUGAACGGACGGCCACUGCUGGCGUCGCCAUGUGUGCACUGCCCUGCCAUUGUUGGGAAAGGGCACACCUUAAUUUCGGGCGUAGGGAAGAGUCCAGCAACUAUGUGAACUUUAUCUUGUUGUGUCGAUCUUGUUUGUUCCGAGGGCUUUGGCUAUUUUUGCUAGUAGUACGUGACUUGGUGAAGUGAACCAACCACUUCUUUGACCGAUUUAAAAGUGAUGCGUACUACUCUCUCCGCUUCAAAAUAGAUGACCCAACUUUGUACUAAUUAGUCAUCUAUUUUGAAACAGAGGGUGUAGUAUUUGUUGGCGGGGCUUGGCGCAGCAGGUAGGCCUGCUGUGAUAGAACUGGCUUGUCAAUAUGCGCACAUCCGCUCGUCGAAGGAUCAGUUGAAACCGUGUCUAUGUGUCCGUGUCACGAUAACGACAAGGCAUCGAUUUUGGCCAAGAUCAAUUCUUGACACGGACAGUAAGUAAAUUAUAAACACGGUUUACGAUAGGAAAACACACACACUCCCUCUCGUGACGGGUGGAAAGAAUAGGAUAAUCUCUCUCGAUGACCUGGUGCUUUAGGCGCGCGCGCACACACACGCGUGCACACACACACACACACGGUGCUUUUUUUUUGAGACAACACACACACGGUGCUUUCUUUAGGCAUGGUGCUUUGGCACUAGUUGGGCCGUUACUAGGCUUGUGGAGACCCAUAUUUGUAACAGGCCAAGGUUGUGGGAUUUGGCCCAGUUUGGUCCAGCAAAGUCUACGAUUUACUUUGCGAGUGAAAGUCUAUGCUUUACAAUUCUAUAAACAAAAAGAAAUGAGUUAUGUUAAGGAAAUAAUUACAGAGAUAUUUGUACAUGGACCACUAAAGAGAUUUUAGAUUCAAGAUGGCUAAGCCAGACGUUUUCUCCAAAUUUUGAUAUUUUUCUCUCGAAUGCUAUGAGGAUUUACCAGCAGACAACACAUGCAAUUAGGAGAUUCCGUAUGGUAAAUUUGAGCAAUGCUACAUCUACGUAAUCAAUCAUACGUAAUUAACAUAAUAGCCUACUUGGCAUCUUUUUGUUGGACAGAAUUAGAGAAGGGGACCCACCACUUNNNNNNNNNNNNNNNNNNNNNNNNNNNNNNNNNNNNNNNNNNNNNNNNNNNNNNNNNNNNNNNNNNNNNNNNNNNNNNNNNNNNNNNNNNNNNNNNNNNNNNNNNNNNNNNNNNNNNNNNNNNNNNNNNNNNNNNNNNNNNNNNNNNNNNNNNNNNNNNNNNNNNNNNNNNNNNNNNNNNNNNNNNNNNNNNNNNNNNNNNNNNNNNNNNNNNNNNNNNNNNNNNNNNNNNNNNNNNNNNNNNNNNNNNNNNNNNNNNNNNNNNNNNNNNNNNNNNNNNNNNNNNNNNNNNNNNNNNNNNNNAGUUUAAAAAGGAAGUUUACGUAAAAUAUUACUUACCAUUUUUGGGUAAAUUUUGGUGCGUGCCUGUCACUACUUCCGUGGGUGGUUUUCAUUGCAAUCUGUUCAAGUGUCCCGAUUUUUCCUCCGCUUACCACGACGCCAGUAUCGUCUAAUGGCCGCAAUUUCAUUGUUUUCUAUGUUGAACCAAACGCUCCAUCCUAAGCCGUCCUUGAAUUGACAGCAGCAGAUUAACACGGAGCGAUGCUUAGGCGUUAAGAAUUAGGACCAUGCAUUGAAGUAGUGCGUUGGGCGGCAUGACCUGGCGAUCUAGAAGCUCUCACUGAGUUGUCAAUGGCAUCAGCAAUUCAGAACCUACGUUGAGGUAUCGCCAAAAAUUGUAAACCUCCAUUUCUUCGCCUAGUCGUAGGUAGGUUGGACAGCUGACGCUUGCCCGGUACCAACGAUAACAGCAAGAAAAGGCUGAACAAGAAUGCAGGACGGUGGCUCUUGCAGGCAUAUAUUUGUUCAUUACAAACAUAAAUGUACAGUCAUACUCCCUCCAUUUUAUAAUGUAGUGUUUCCUUUAUCCCCGUGCUUCAACUUUAACCGUAAAUUUAACUAUCAAGACCGAUUGCGGCGGGAGUAAAAAUUAUAUCAGUGAAUUCGUAUUCGAAAGAAGUUUUCAAUUAUAUAAUUUUUUCUUCCGCCGCAGUUGGUCUCAUUGGUUAAAUUUAUGAUCAAAAUUGAACCUCGAGAAGCGCGGGCGCACUAUAUUUUGGAAUGAAGGGAGUACUACUACUUGUAAUUCUUUCGAAACUGCCAAAUGCAAACGAACUAAACUCUCUCUCACACAUAGACGGGAGAAGACACAUGCCCAUGGAUCAAGGUAGCGAUCCAGACGAAACUCAGAAGAUAACUUGCUAGACCGCCCUGCAGCUCAUCAACAUCCUGAAUUCUUUUCUCAGACCAAGAAGUGACCCGGUCUCGACCAAGUGGCACACUGACAUUGGGAUCGUCGCUGCAGUCCGGGUUUAUUCUCUCUACUGAACGCGCAGAAGUGCAGAAGCGGAUGACAGUAAGGUACACUCUCUGCAUGAGAAAGGCAAGGAAGCGAUGGCGAUCAGUGGACAUUUUCAGUACGGUCAAGGGUGAGUGCAAUGUGCCAAUGUCCUGAAGAUAGAGAGUAGCGUGGCUUACACCAGGGGACGAUCUUCCAGCGCUGGUUGUCGCCCUUGCACCACUCCCAGAGCACGACCUCGGUGCCGUCGUGGACGCCGCCGUGGUCCUUGUCGCCGUGGAGCGCGUCGAAGUUGAGGUAGAUGUUGUUCACCAUGCGCACGCAGCGGAAGCCCUUG
rnacentral:lncRNA from 1 species